CCUCUCUCUCACUCUAGUCCUUAAGUUUUUAUUAAAAAAAAAAAAACUUUUUAUAUAAAGAGGCAAUACUGAACAAAACAACUAUUCAUAACCCGUUAUGUGAAAAGAUUCUUGUAAAAUAAUAAUAAAUGAGUUUCGUUAGUUCAAAGAAUAAUACUUAAUUGGUUAUGUAAAAUCUUCAAUAAAAUUACCUGAAUUGAAUUUAUUGAAUUGCGUGAUGAAUUAUGCUGCGAAAUAACCAAUUAUGUGAAAAUAAUAGUAGCAGUUGUGCUAGCCUGAGCCUGAGCCUGACCCAGAACCAGAACCAGAACCAGGUGAGCAACUUGUGGGCCUUUAACCCUUUUUUUUCCACCAACAAUAGGCUAAGAAUUUGGUUCCUUGUUAACAAGAUCAUAAGAUGUCUCUCGUUGACUAGUAAGAUAUAAUAGGCUAUUGAUUGUCUGCUGAAAAAAAAAAAACAAUUAAAAUUUGUCUUUUUCUUCUUUUAUUUUUUCUCCUUGAGAAAACCAUUAUUUGUGAAUUAAUAGUAAUUAAAGUUGGAAAAAAAACAUUACUAAAAUAUAUCAAUUUUGUUUUGAUAUUAUUUUAAUUUUAUUUUUUAAAAGUAUUUUUCACUUAAAAAUAUUUCAAAAUGAUUUUUUUUUCAAUUUCUUUUAUUUUUAACAUCAACACAUUAAAAUUACAAAAAAAAACACCAAAAGAAAAAAAAACAAAUUUAUUAGGAUAGAUAAAACACAAAAGUUUUUGUAUUUAUUAAGAAAAAAUGUCAAAACCCAAAGUGCUAAUUAGGGCAUGAACAAGAUCAAGAAAUCCCAUAAAUGUCCAACAAAAUAAGGGUUCUAAGAAGUAUGCAAAUAAAGCUCCAUCGCCAUAGCUUUGUUCAUCAACCAAUCAACAAUAAAAUUUGAUUUCUUAUAGACUUUACCUUCUUGACUAAUCAGUCUAAAGCUGGCAGGUUACGGGUAGAUUUUGUCAAACACGUGGAAGAUUGUAACUUGCCUAUUCAUCCCUUAACAUUCUGAGCAACGACCAAUGGACGGGGACGGAGCCAAGAUUCAAAAAUAAAGGGAGUAAAAUAAAACUUUUCAAGAAAAGUGGGAGCAAACAUCUAAAAAGAAGAGGAUGAAUUUGAAAUGAUAAAAUUAAAGAGGACUAAAAUGAAAUUAUUGAGAAUUUAAGGGUGGUAAAUGCAUCUCUACUCCUCCAUGGACCGACCGUGUAGCUCCGCCUCUCCCAAUAAAUUCAUCACCACCACCGACAUCCGGCAAUUAUUUAUUUAUUUAUUUUUGUAUUAUUUUAAAAUGAUAUUUUUAUAAAUUCAUAUUUAAAUUAUCAUGUAAAAUUCAUAGAGAAAUAUGUAAUAUAUAAAGGAAUGUUGAUGGGCCAUGAUGAGUUUUAAAUAUUUUUUUUGUUGUAUUUCCUCACAUAUACAUUUUUGUAUGCUAAUUGAUAGAUUUUUUUUUUCGGAUGAUCAAGAGUAUCUUUAUAUAUAUAUUUGCAAACGAUUUUAAGUGUGCAUUUCAAUAUCUAUCUAGCGAGUUUUAAAAAACAAAUUCUCAUGUACGUUAUUUAUACGGUUUUAACUCAUGAAAUUAAUAAAGAAAAAAAAAAGAAAAUCUUAUUAUCACCAAAUUUAUUUAUUGGAUUUAUAUCCAUGGAGUGCUCGUUAAGAGAUUAAUUGUUAAGGCAUCUCCAACCUGAUGGUAAACGAGAAGUGAAAUUGAAAAUAUAUCAUUCUAGGCUCAUCAUCCACUCCAAUAGAAUAUCCAUAUAAAACACCAAAAUCUCCUUUCUCCUUAAAAAAUAAAUCAUCCCUAUAUAUUUUGUAAAAAGCCAAAACCCAACUGACAAAAAAAAAAAAAGAGCACAAUAUAUUAAAUAACGGUAUUUCAACCUGGGAUGUAGCAUAACUGGUUAGUCCUGAGUUUGUUUCCUAGAAGUCACCAGUUUGAGUCUUACAAAUCUCAGAGCCACUGGAGGCUUACAUGGUUGUUAACUUCAAGGCCCGUGAAAUUAGUUGAGAUGCACGCAAAUUAACCCGGACACCCACGUUAAUCUAAAAAAACAAAUAACGAUAUUUCUUCAUCUUUUAGUACAUUAAAUAUAUUAAAAUGCAAUUGACUCUUUUAAAUUGUCUUUUAAUAUUGGAGUGUAUAUAAACAAAAAAAAAUUAUAGGUAAAAUAUAUUAAUUUAAAUAUUAAUUGAGUUUAAUUUUCUAUAAGUAAAAUAGUCUAGAUUGCAAUUUAAUUUUUCAAGCAUUCCAAACAGUAUAAUUGAAUUUAAUUUUAUAAUUUAAUAUUUUAUUUUAAAUAUAAAAAUUAUAAUAGAAUAUAAAAAUUAUCAAUUAAUUUCAAUUUCAUAUAUAAUUUGAUUCCAAAGCAAUAAAUAAACUCUCAAUCAUAUCCUUCAAUUAAUUUCAGUUAAUCAAAUAAUUUAGCAGUCAUAUAAAACUCACAUCAUUUCUUCUUCUUUUUUUAAUAUAAAACUAUCACAUACUUUAAGAUCAUGUGAGGAGGAGAAUUUUUUACACGGAAAGAAAAAUUACAUGAAUUGCAAAUGAUAACUUAAUAAUUCUGUCAAAUAAGACUAUCAAAAGGAUCUAAUUAAAAACUUAUUAAUACAUUAAGAGUCUAAUUGAAAAAUGAAACAUGUGGGGACUGUCUUAAGAUUUUCCAAAAAGUUAAUAUCCUCAAUUUAUUUAUUUUUAUUAAGAAGAAAAGCCAAGAUUUUGAAAGAUGAAACCCAUAAAAACACGGCAUUAGCCGACUCUCAUCAGUCUUCUCUGCUAAGUAAACGCGAAGAAUUUUCUCGCAUUUUCCUGCACUUUCUCGCCAUCUUUCCCGGAAAAUAUCCGAUCAGGUACACUAAACACCCAAACACUCUCCUUAGAGACUCGAGCUUGCGCUGUAUUCUCUUCAUUUUCUUUUGGAAUUAAAAUUUCUGCACUUUAGCUCCUUAAUUAUGUCUUAAUAUCUUAAUUUCGUCUUUAUUUUUGCUAAUUAAUUGCUAAUUGCAGAUGUUAAAUAAAGAGAGCGAGGACGGAAAGGAGUAUUUUCGCAAACUUUCGAGAAAAGAACUUCAAAGUUUGUGUAAGCAAUGUAGUUUGCCUGCUAGAAAAUCAACUUCCGAAAUGGUCGAAUCGCUUGCGUUUUACUUUAUGGUAAUUAUUUUAUGAGGAAUCUCAAUUUCUGUUAUUAAUUUGCUAAAUUUGUAGUGUUGAGGACGUAAAUUGGAAAAUUAGGCAAUUUUUUUAGAAGUUUUUUAACUUAAUUUUUGUUAAUAGCUUGCCAAAUUUGUAGUUUUGUUACUAUUGUUUGGAAUUAUCUGUGUGUUUUAUGAAUAUAUGGUAUGUAAUUGAUAUGAGUUGUUUAGGAAGAAAGAUUUGUAGUUUUGUUAAUAUUGUUUGGAAUUAUCUGUGUGUUUUAUGAAUAUAUGGUAUGUAAUUGAUAUGAGUUGUUUUGGAAGAAAGUUUUUGGAGUAAAUGCUAGUUUUGGUUGGCAUGGAAGUGCGGUUUGUUCUCGAAGAAGUAUGAUUCGGUUUCUUUAGUAUGUUGUAGAAAAUGUUUUUCGAGGUUUUUGAACUUAUCGGCAUGCUUUAUUUGCCAAAUUCGUAGUUUUUGUUUUAUUUGAAACCAUCCACGUGUUUUAUGAAUAGUUGGUAUGUUAAUUUGCUAUGAGCUUUUUGAGGAUAAACUUUGAAGUACUUACUAGUUUUUGUUAAAUAAUGAAUUUUGGAUCUGAUUCGAUUGAGUGCAGUUCAUUCUUGAAGAAGUUACCAUUUUGUUUUUUAAUAUGUUUUAGAAAUUGCUUUUUUGUUAUUUUUGAACUUAUUCAUGAGUUUUAUAUGUAUUUGAGGAGGUAGUUGUGAAAAUUAGGCAAGUUUUAGUAUUGUUUUGCAUGGUAUGCUAAUGGCAUGAGGGUUUGAAUUUUUGUUCUUUUUUCCGCGCACAGACAGAUUUUGAGUUCUGCAUUUGUUUUGAUAUCAGUUAAAAUGUUUUUGCUUGUUAAGUACACUGAAACACUGAUGCCUUGACAUAUUUGCAGAGGAAGGGUUUGAGUUUGGUAUCAUCUAGCACAAGCAUAGUUGGGGUUCAAAAUGCUUUACUUCAUACGUCUUCGAUGCCACCAUUGCAGCCUAAGCCUGCAUUAAAUUCAAUACAAGGUUUGUGCCUUUGCAAACCACCAAACUCUGUGAUUCUAAUUUCAUUGAAUUUAGUAUUAUAUUUCUGAUUGUAAAUUGAGUUUCUAUCAAAUUGAUAUAGAUUCUUAUGAAAACUGAUCAUUAUUUCUGUUUCAGAUGGUUUUGAACUCAGAUCUUGUCCCGGAGAGGAGAUUAACAAAGGGAAUAGAAAUUUCAAAUACAAUAAAUCGGAAAGUUUUAUUGGGCCUGGAGCUUAUAAUAAGGUUUGUUUAUAUUUUUCUUUUUUUUUCCUGGGUGAAAGUGUUUAUUAAGAUUUGAAUGAUUGAAAUGCUUCCAUAUAGACCAUACAUGAUGCAUAUUCCUCCUUUUUGAUUGACUCAAGAUGGGUCUUAAAUUUCGCAUGUGUUAAUCAACAUGGGAGAUGUUAGAGGUCGAUAUCAAAGGAAUCUCUUGAUUUUAAGACUUUUUAUCUGUAUUACAAGUGCUGCAAAAUCUGAUCUCCUGCUUGUUAAUUUUGUUUUCCUUACAUAUCCACAGGAAAUCUUUGGUGGCUUAAUUAAUGAUUUUCGAGAGGUAUCUCCAUCUCAGUUUUUUUCUCAAUAUGCUGGGAGUCAUGUCAACCAUAAUAAGCCCCAAUUAAGCCUUGGUGGCAGGGUAGAAGAUUCGCCCCCAUUUCAUGGUACAGAUGUAAAUACUAUAGCCAGUUCUGAAGAGAAUGCCCAGCCUUCUAUGAAAACUACUGCAAAUGUCCCAGCAUCUUUUGAAUUUCAUGUCAGUUCGGAAGAGGGAAUUAAACUUUGUGUUGAUCUGAAUUCAAGCCCAUCAGAGUGGAUUAAGAAAUAUAAAAAUCAAGUUUCUUUGUGCGACAAUGUGGUUAAUACUAAGUCUCGGAGUCUUUAUCAAGAGCUUGGGUGUAUUGGAGAGAGUAAUAAGAAAAUGAAAAGUUCUGUUCUUCAGAAUAUGGAUUCUGACCAAAUCAGGGAUGACUUUGUGCAAACUGAUCCUUCUCCAAGUUCAGUUGCAGGAAAAAAUAUUAAUGUGAGUAAUGGUCAUCCAGUUGGAGGUAAUAAUUCCCUAAUCUCAUCACCCAUAAUACCUUGUGGUGUAGUUGUAGAUGUUACGCAAUCCUUGGAGGCGGAUCCAGGACUUGCCUCAGCCGAACCCAGUUCUGAUGGGCAGAACCAGAAAACUUCGAACACUGAAUCCUGUAGCAAAAAGGAGAGCAUCGCUGCCCCUGAUUCAGAUAUCACUGACACUACGUUAGAAAAGACAGCCUGCAAUUUUGCUGUAAACUCCAUCUCCAACGGUUCUGUAGAUUGUAUUGCAUUGAUGCAUCAGAGUUCAAAGCGUGAUGAUGAAGUUUGUGAGAAUUCAACCCAGCAGAACAGUUGUAAUCUUGAGAAUGCUAGUGUUGUAUUCCCUGGAUGCUUUAUGGAGAUGCAGUUAUCAGAAACUGGAAAUUAUCCCAAAGAUGCAUCAUGUUUACCUCAUAAAAAUGGCAAAUUCUUGGAUCCAUAUAAUUCAAAGCACAAUAGAGGAUCUGAGCAGGAUGGAUUAGCCAACUCAAGUGAGAACAAUCGUUGCGAUAACCAGGUGCCCGCAUGCUCCGAAGAGCAGGUUAUACCUUUUCUCGUCUACUUUGGGUGAACAUACUAUGUUGCAUUUUCAUGGUUUUUCUUGACAUCUACUUUAUCUAGAUUUGAAAGUGUGGCAUCUGGUUAUGUCCUGUGUCCUAAAUGUCUUGCCACUUUCUUCAUAUUAGACCUUGGAGAUCAAGAUACAUCAUGAGGCAAUGUUACGAGGCUGAAGUUAUUUCAAAUUAUCAAAUAGUUAUGGAUGGGAGUUUCAUCUGCCUCACUGUCAAAUCUAAAAUUAUAUUGUCACUGUAGAGACCCUUUGUUUCUUUUUGUUUUUCCUGCAGUAAGGUUAGUUCUUAGGAGAAUUUGGAAGUUUGGGUGGAUAGCAAAAUGGUUUUCCAGCCUCUUUAUCCACCAAAAGAAAAGAACAUGGUUUUGCAAUAUCUCAUCCUGUGAUUUUGAUGAUUGUAGAUGAUCCUUGGGUAAAGUUCUGACUAAUUCAAAUGUCAGUGAAUUUUCCAAUACUAUUACGUAAAAUAGCUUUAGUUCUGACUAUUGCUUGUGAGUUGUCCACAUCCACUAUUUUGUUGGACAGUUCAUUCAUUGUAAUCCUAAUUGUGAGGUGCUCUAUAUCGGCUAAAUAUUUUAAAGAUUCCAUGGUUCAGAUGAUAUUAUUGCUUCUCUCACUUAAUUUUUGCUUUAAUCUUUUUUCUCUGUUUGUUGCUGAAAGAAAUGAGUUAACGGUAGUUUUAUGUGUUCUGCAAUUAAAAUUUCCCUCUUUUGUUGACAGAACUGUAAAAGUUUUCUACUGUCAAUUAGCAAAUAUUCUCUGAUUUAUAUUGGGAGAUUUACAAAUUUAAUCAGAAGACAGUUUUGUAUAUUGACUGCUCUAACUCUCUCAUAGGUGGUCUCUUUUUAUAAAUUGAUUACUUGGGCAGAAUCUUCUUGGCCCUAUUAUGCAUUCCUCUUAUGUGCUGCAGCAGCAUGCAAAACUGACUACUAUUAUGGAACCUUUGUUGAAACAAUAUUUAUUUAUUAAAAUGCAAAAUUUUACUUCUUAUCUGUAAGAUAUCCACAUCUAUUUUUGGUUUCUGCCAAGUAUACCCAGUAAAGCUAAUGAGUUAAAACCACAUUCCACCUUUGCAGGAAUGGAGCAAUGCUAUCAGUGGCAGGGAGAGUUCAGUGUAAUUUAUUUUUCCUGUAAAAGUCUCCUUUUCUACUGUUUUAUAUUUAUGCUGUUAGCUGAUUGUAUGCAAAUCUGCCUCGUUCAGAUGCUCGCAGGUUGAUGACUCAUUUGGUAAGACUUCUUUGAAGUCUGAAAUUCUCAGAUCAAGUGAAGAACUCCUUAGAAAGAGGUCACAUGUAGACAGGGCGAGUCAAAAUGGCUGUGGCAAGCAUGACACAAUAAUUUUAAGAAGCACAAGGCGCUCUGCUGGAAAGGUCCUUCCUAGAAGAUCCAUGAGGCUAGUCUCUAAGGUUCUCUCUUGAUGCAUUACUUUGGUCAUACUACUAAUUACUGCAAAUGGACACCUCGUUUAAGGGGAUAACUAAUCAUGACCUAGGCCAUAUAUCUACCUGGUAGACCAUGACCUGUAUUGGCAUCAGAGCUGCUAGUUUUCAUGUCUUAUGUUCUAGGCUUCUAACUUUUUGCCAUUGUAUUUAUCUCGAAAUGUUAGUGAUUCCCUGCUUUUCUUGCUUUCUUUCUUUUGGUUCCAGUGAGUUCGCGUUCUAUAUGCUGCCUGCAUCGCAACAAUUGGAUUGAUAUUAUUAUUUGGCUGUUUCCAAAUUUAGGGUACAGUUUAUGGUAAGCACAGCACUCAUUUUACUCUUACUUUCUUUGGAUGUGAAACAAGCCGAUUCUUCUCUAUUGCGAAGCAGUCUCUAUAUAGAAGAUCACGUUUAGAGUUGUUGAAAGGGAAUCAUGUUAUUCUGUAACUGCAGUAGAUACGGUCUGCUCUUUAAACGGAUCGGUUUCCAGAAUCAUGCAUGCAUUCAUGUGUGAAUGUGCUUGCUUGCAUAUUCAUUUUUAGUUAAACUAAUUAAUCUUCCAACUGAGGAAGUUCCACCUAAAAUAACAUAACACAUGCUUAGACCUCCUGACACAGAUAAAGGCCCACAAGUUUAAGAACACAACACUCACAUACACAUGGCUUAAAUCCAGACUGCUGCUCUCUUACCACGAAGUGAAUUAUAUAUAUGUGAUGAUGAUGAUGAUUGGCUUUAUUCAUUCAAUACAUACGUACAUGCCGGCCAUGCAUGCAGAUACAUGUAUAUGUAUGCAUGGCAAUAAUUGACUUUAGAUUUGUAUUAAUGGCCCAUCUUACUUUCAUUAAGUUGCAGAUUCAACAUUUUUUGGAGAUCAGUUCGCACAGGAAAGAAAACUACAGUCUUCAAGGUGGUUAAAGAGCCUUGUAAUUUUUCUGCUGCCACAAGAGCAGUCACAAAAGCAAUCUGAAUACUGAAGUACAAGGUAAAUAUCAAAUUGUUGUUUUUUUUUUUUUGUAAUAAUUACCUGUACUGUAUUUUUUUUCUUGUACGGAAUGCCAGAUUUGUAUAUCAUCCGGAUCUUGUAACCUCCGAUUCUUUUAUGAAUUCGUAAAACAAAAUUUCCUGGAGUUUUAUUGAUCUUUGCCUUGAUUUUUCAAAAUCUUACGGUAUGUUUGUCAAGUGGAUUGGAUAAAAUGGAAGGACGUAGAAGGAAAAAGGAUUGAAAAGUACAUGCCAAGAAGUAUUAGAGAGGGAUUUCUCCUCUCUUUUUUUUUGUUUUCGUUGGGCUUUUAUCCUUCUUGCUAAACGAAGGAUACACCUCCCUUCAUGUCCAAUCCUACAUCAUCAAUUCGGCUGCAUGAUGACCAGUUGGUGAAGGCAGAAGAAAAAAUGAAGCUCAAAAUCCAAUGGGCUUUGCUAUGGACAAAAUAUGAAGCUCAACAUAGGUAAUGUUUCAGAUUUUCCAAGUUGAAAGUUAGCUCCUUCAGCUCUUGACUUUCUCUCAUUUAAACUUACUGUUUGUUAGAAUCAGCUCCACCAGUGUUUUUAGAGUGUUGACUAAGAUAUAUUAAUCAUAGUUUAUUAAGAGAAAAAAAUAUAUCCCAUUUGGACUGCCUAAGGAUCCGAACCUCCGAACCUCCCAAAAAAUCUUAGUUUAUUAAAAUAUUAUGUCUAACGAGAAUAAAAAAGGGAGGUGUGAACUAUCUAGGUGGUGGUUCAGUGAUAAGAGUUUGGGACCAAGAGGUUUGCUCUCUCUGUGGUCUCAGGUUCGAGCUCUGUGGUUGCUCAUAUGAUGGUCACUGGAGGCUUACAUGGUCGUUAACUUCGUGGGAUUAGUCGAGGUGCGCGCAAGCUGGCCCGGACAUCCACGUUAAACUAAAAAAAAAAAAGGAGGCGUGGGGGGAAAUGAUGAGGGUGUGUUUGAAAACGCAAUUGAAAUUGUGUUUUCUAAAACUUUGAAUUUUAUUGUUUAAAAUUAAUUUUUUAUAUUUUUAUAUUGUUUUGAAAUAUUAAUGUUAAAAAUAAUUUUAUUUUUUAUUAUUUUAAUAUAUUUUUUAAUGAAAAAUAUUUUGAAUUGCAAAUUAGUGAGGGAUUUAAUUAAAUAAAAUUUGAGUUUGAAGAUCUAAAUGAGAGUUGGAGGAUACAUUAUGGGCUAAUGUUUAGUUCAUCUACGUCUGAGUCUCUAAGAGAUUCCUCGUCAAGAAAUUUCAGCAUCUGCUCAGUCAGUUCACUUAAAUAUUUAUUUAUCCAUGGAGUUUAUACCCUUCUAAUUCGUUGCACAUGAAAUACUCGUAAAACGGGAAUAUUAUAAUAGAAAAAUUGAAAAAAAUCACAACUCGUGAAGACUACUAAAUAUAGAUUAUGACCUUGAAGUUUCUGACCACCGCAACAUAUUUUAUUUUUAAUGAUCCAUCACAGAAAAUCAUAAAUAUUCUAACAAAUAAUUAAAAAUAAUAACAAAACAAAAGCGUAUACCUUCCAAAACAAGUGAAGGCAUAGUACCUGGCACGACUAUAACUCGGUCAUGGUCAUGGUCAUGGGCUAGGUUAGGAAUUAAUUAAAAUAAUAUUAUUUUAAUUUUUUAUAUUUAAAAUAAUAUAAUUUUUAAAAAAACCCAGGUUUUAACUUAAUCGAUUAAAAAUAGAAGUUAACUAAUUACAUCGAUUAAGUUAUACUGGGUCAACUUUCUACCCAGAUCCCAGCCUGAUGAGGUCUCUUUUCUUCUUCUUGGACGGUCUACUUUUUAAUAUAUAUAUAUAUAUAUAUAUAUAUAUAUAUAGAUAUAUAUAUAUAUAUAUAGCUAAUUGUGUGGCUCAAGGUGGGUCAUGUAACCGAUUAUUCAAUUUAAAACUCUUCAAAUUCUUACAUUUUCAGUCAAAGCACACGAAUCUAUUACCUGUGGCUGCUUCAAAAGCCAGUCUCUCACUUAUUUACGCAGUCCAAAUCUUUUUCUAUGAAAAGAUUUUUUCUACAAUGAUUUGCUAGACGUGUACCCUUGUGUGUAGCUCAUAACAUAGGCUCCACAAAGCUUACUAGGUUUCUUUUGAAUAAUAUUGAUUUGAUUUAGUGGUAAUUAUGGGUAUUUCAAGUCGAUUUAUAUGUUGAUUAAGCUUAAAUAUAUAUUUUUAAUCACAUUGAUAUGAUAUUUUUGUAUGAGUUUAAUACAUUAUAUUGGAUGCUUAUCUUAAAAUUCAAAUUAAAAAAAUAAAAAAAUAAAAAAAUAAAUUUCCUUGAUCACCAUGUUGAUCCAUUGAAUUUAUUUUGCAAUGUACCUUAUCAUAGGUUGCUAGGGUUUGCUAACCUUUCAGAUUAUGGUAUUUGAUCCUCCCAACAAGAUUAAAUAUUCUAUUAGAAGUAAUAUAAAAUAAUAGCUGUUUGAGAAAAAGAUUAAGGCACACAGAACUAGAGGAAGCAAGUAGACAGAAGAAAACCAUAGAAAAGUCUGCAGCUAAACCUUUAUUUUAUUUUUAUAUUUACUUAUUUAUUCUUUAAGAUAUAAAUCCCGGUUUGUUCUGGUUCAUUACCCGACUCGAGGCUGGGUAACAGGUUAAAUGGAUCAACUUAUAUACACUCAAAUCAAUUCAAAAUAAUAUUAUUUUAAUUUUUUUUUUAAUAAAUAAAUUAAAAUCACGCCAUAUCAAGUUUUACAUAUCAAAACCUGAAUUGAUAAAUCAUUAAUUUGACCUGUCUAGCUAGAUUUUGACUAAAUUACUAAUGAUAGAUAACUCCCAUCUAAUUUAACAUGAUAUUCAGCUUAGGUCAGAUAUUGAAUAAUUGAUGAAUUAUUAUUUUGACUUGUCUAGCCAAGCUUUAAAUACGUAGGUAACCUUCUUCUUCAUUUUUUUAAAUAGAAAUUGGAUCCUUUUUUUUUUUAAUUAAACUGUGAAUCUUCCUGCGAACCAAACUAAAAAUCAUAAGCAGAGAAGCUUAAACCACCAAAACAAGACAAAAAAUAGAACAAAGAUAUGAAUUAAUAAAUGUUCAUUGGCUGGCCCCUUUCCUUAAUUCGAUGGUAUCAUGCAAAAUCCCCAUCUUACGCUGUAUGCAUAUCCCUUGAAAUGGGGACUUAUUUGUGUUCUUGUCCUAUCACAUGACCCUAUGAAUUUCUUUUAUAUACUAAUCUAAUUCCAAUAAUAAUAAUAAUAGAUGUGUUUUUGUAAUUUCAAUUAAAUUUCUUUAAAUACAUAAAUGUGUUUUUGAAAUCAUUGAGGGAAAAAAAUAAUCUCAAUUAAUACAUAAAUUAAUUUGAAAAUACUUUUAUUAAUAAUAUUAAAAUUAUCCUUAAUCAAAUCAAGAUAUAUAGAUCAUAAUCCUUACCCUUAUGUCCUAGGAUGAGGGGGUACAUCUCAUUAAUUCAUUUAAAGACUAAACAUAGGUACAAGUACUAUCCAACCAACUAAAUUUAAUUUUUAACCUAACCUUCCUAAGGCAACAAAGGGAGGUCUCUAGCUAACCCUAAGACAUCUUUAAUUUUUUUAUUUAUAUUAUUUUUUAAUAUAUAUAAUUAUGAAUAAAAAAAAUUGAAUUGAAAGAUUUUUUUUUUAAAUUACUGAUGGGUGGAAAGAGAGUUUAUUGUACAGUGAAAUCCAAAGAAGUUAUAUAUUCCAGUCAAGAGGGUCACCUCUAUUUCAGCCGAAUGCUAAAUGAACCACUUCUUCUUCUUUUCUUUUUUAUUAACAUGCUAUCCAGAUCAGUUUAUACGCAUUUCAACUAAUCUCAUGAAUCCUGAAAUUAAUAAUUAUAUAAGUUUUUAAUAGCCCUGAGGUUUGUGACACUCAAAAUGAUGACCUCUAAAGAGUAAAUUUAGAAUCUAACCAGUUAAAUUAUACCACUCAAGAUUUAUCUUUUUUAACCUAUAUUUUCAUGAACAUUUUUGUUCUUUUAGAAACAGAAUUUUCAUUAACUCUGCUGCUUUACUGUGAGAAAUUAAUUAGUAAUCUAGUAAAAUUUAUUGAAUCCGAUGGAUAAAAAAUCAAAUCAUGAGUUUAGUCAAUUAAUUCAAAACAAUUUAUAAUAAUGUUAUUUUAUAAUAUUUAUUUAAAAAAAUUAAAACUAAGGGUUCAUGUAUAAAUUAAAUCGAAUUUAAUAACUUUUAUCCCGAGUACGUUACCAAAUAUGAAAUUUAAAUUUGAAAUCUAAGUGAGAAUUAUCAACUUAAACCAUAAUUCACUGGUCAUUAACAAAAAAAAAAAGGUUUAAGCAACUAUUAAUAGCAUGCAGGAUUUCUUGUAUUUGUUUUUUGGACAAUCAUAACAUCUUUAUGACGGUUAGUAUAAUUAUGAUAAUAAUCAUUGAAAAAUCUUUUGGAGGAUGCUAAUUAUAGUGAAUUCUUACACAUAAAAUUUGUAACUCAGCACAGUAUACUCAUCGGAGGCCAAAGCCAUGCAUGAGAACCUAUCAGAGAAGAAGAAGGUGGUUUUACACUUUGACUCAAGAAGCGAAAGAGUUAAAAAAAAGAGGUUUGACAAAAGCUAUAGAGUGCAGUAAACAAGGCAUGAAAAACAUCAUAUAGCAUUAACUUCCUCAUUUAUUGUCUUCACCUACACCUGCCUGUAUUGAGAAGCUUCAGUUUUAUGGACAUUUAUUACUCUCUCUCCCUCAUGCCUGAAACCACAAUGCUCCUGUAACCAUCAUCAACAAACUCAUCCCACCUCAAGGUAUUUUUUUUUUUUUCUUGAAGCAGUAUUAGGAUUCUUCAGGAGCCCACAUGCAAAAGAGAGAAGCCCUUUUUACUAAAAAUGAGGUGGGGUUGAAGGUAUACUUGAAAGAAGCUGAGGUUUGGCUCUAAAUGUGAUCUAAUGCAAGUUUCUGGAUCCAAAACUUGCAGAAGUCUCUCUUUCAGUUAAAGGGUAAGUUCUUUUCUUAAAGCAGGGAGGUAUAGAGAUAAAAACCUGGACAAGUUCUUGGAUUUUCAGCUUAAGGUGUUGUGUUUGUGAGAUUGUAGUUUGUAGAGGUUCUUGUGUUAAGAUAGCCAGUUUUUUUAUUCUGGAUUUUGGUUGUUUUUUUGGUUGACCAUCAGUAGCUUCAAGUAUAUUUGUGUUGUUCAUCGCAUUUUCUUCUCCGUUGUUGCUUAUGCUUGAGGGUUGUGUGUUGUGGUCUUUGGAUGCAAAAAAAGGAGUAUGGCUUGGUGUUUAGGUGUUGUUCUUAAUGGAUUUUUGCAUUUCUUUGCUGGUUUAUGUUGUGGAAUAAUGACAGACAUCAGAAUUUUACAUCUUGGUUUAAGAGGCUAGCUAACAUGCAAGUCCUACUCAAUGAAGUCCCUGUCUACCUGUAGUGUUGGUGGUUAACUAUCAAAAAAACAUCAGGUUGGUGGCCUUUCAUAUCUAUGUUUGGGGUUUGGCUGGUGUGAUGGGGAAUUGGAGCCAUUCUGUUGGAGAUUUCCUUAUUAGGGUCUUGAUGACUAGCAAAUGGAAUUGUGGAUUUGUGGUUCAAUUUGUGGUUCUAUCAGAUUUAUGGUGGCUAGUCUCAGGUUUAGGCUCCAUGUCUUCCAUUGCCAUUUCUUAUGGUGAGAAAGGUCCUGCCUUUUGUGGUAUAAAAUCAGAUGGGUCUCAUCUUGUGAAUUGUUAUGGUUCAAAUUCAGCUAUAAUCCAUGAAACUCCAGCUUAUUUUCAUUUCAUUGGUCUAACUGCUGGAGAUGGCUUUGUUUGUGGGCUUCUGUUGGAAUCUAACCGACCGUAUUGUUGGGGAAGUAGUGGCUAUCUUCGACCAGGUGUGCCUCAGCCUAUGAUGGAAGAGGCUGAGUAUGUUGAAAUCAGUGCUGGUGAUUACCAUUUAUGUGGUUUGAGAAAGCCUUUAACAGGCAGGCGUAGAAACCUUUCUCUUAUUGACUGUUGGGGUUACAACAUGACAAGGAACCAUGUGUUUGAUGGGCAGAUUCAAUCAAUCUCAGCUGGUUCUGACUUCAAUUGUGGAUUGUUUUCUGAGAAUAGGACUGUUUUCUGCUGGGGUGAUCAGGCUAGCAGCCGUGUAAUCAGCUUGGUUCCUCAAGAAAUGAGAUUUCAAAAGAUUGCAGCUGGUGGAUAUCAUGUUUGUGGGAUUCUAGAGGGGGUGAAUUCAAGAGCCUUCUGUUGGGGAAGGAGCUUGGACCUUGAAGAAGAGAUUUCUGUGAUAUCAGCAGCAUAUGUGAAUCAAGGAAAUGUUGAUUUGCCUCCGAGUGAUCCUAUGCUGUCUGUUGUUGGAGGAAAGUUCCAUGCUUGUGGAAUCAAGAGUUAUAACCGCGAGGUGAUUUGUUGGGGCUAUAUUGUAAAGCCAAGCACUCCGACUCCUACUGGCAUUAAGGUCUACGAAAUAGCUGCUGGAAAUUACUUCACUUGUGGAAUUCUUGCCGAGAAAUCUCUCGUACCUGUUUGUUGGGGUCUUGGGUUCCCUAGCUCUCUUCCCCUAGCUGUUUCACCUGGACUCUGCAAAACUACUCCUUGCCCUCCCGGUUCCUAUGAAUUUGUUGGUGCCAGCACACCGUGCACAUCUCCAGGCUCUCGUGCUUGCUUGUCUUGCAGUAAUGGUUGUCCUGCUGAAAUGUACCAGAAAACCAAAUGCACUUCGAAAUCAGAUCGUCAGUGUGAUUAUAAUUGUUCCAGUUGUUAUUCAUCAGAAUGCUUCUCAAACUGUUCUUCUUUAUAUUCCAAUAAUGCUAAAGAAAAGAACAGGUUUUGGUCAUUGCAAUUGCCAGUCAUUAUUGCGGAGAUUGGCUUUGCUAUGUUCUUGGUGGUGGUUGUGACGACAACUGCUAUUUUGUAUGUUCGCUAUAGGUUGAGGAACUGUCAAUGCUCGGCAAAACAAUCAAAGACCAAGAAAAACAGUGGUAGCGGUUCUUCAGUUUCUAAAGAUAACGGAAGAAUCCGCCCCGACAUGGAUGAGAUCAAGUUAAGGAGGGCACAGAUGUUCACUUAUGAGGAACUUGAGAAGGCCACCAGCGGAUUCAAGGAAGAAUCCCUAGUGGGAAAAGGAAGUUUCUCGUGUGUUUAUAAGGGGGUUUUAAGGAAUGGGACACUUGUUGCAGUGAAAAAGGCAAUAGUGUGUUCUGAUAAGCAGAAAAACUCGAAAGAAUUCCACACUGAGCUUGAUCUGCUAUCAAGACUAAACCAUGCUCAUUUGCUCAACUUGCUUGGCUAUUGUGAAGAAGGUGGAGAAAGGCUUCUGGUUUACGAAUUCAUGGCUCAUGGAUCCUUGCACCAGCAUCUUCAUGGAAAGAACCCUGCCUUAAAAGAGCAAAUGAAUUGGGUUCGAAGGGUUACCAUUGCAGUACAAGCAGCUAGGGGAAUUGAAUACUUGCAUGGUUACGCUUGCCCACCCGUAAUUCAUCGAGACAUCAAAUCUUCAAACAUUCUCAUUGAUGAAGAACACAACGCCAGAGUGUCUGAUUUUGGCCUUUCUUUGUUGGGGCCAGCUAAUAGUAGCUCACCGUUGGCUGAGCUACCUGCAGGAACUCUUGGCUAUCUUGAUCCUGAGUACUAUAGGCUUCACUACCUCACAACCAAAUCCGAUGUUUAUAGCUUUGGCGUGUUGCUCUUGGAAAUCCUCAGUGGCCGAAAGGCCAUAGAUAUGCAAUACGAAGAAGGAAAUAUAGUCGAAUGGGCAGUUCCCCUGAUCAAAGCAGGAGAUAUAUCAGCCAUAUUGGACCCAGUUUUGAAGCCUCCAUCCGAUCCUGAAGCUUUGAAAAGGAUUGCAAAUGUGGCUUGCAAGUGUGUCAGAAUGAGGGGGAAGGAAAGGCCAUCCAUGGAUAAAGUAACAACAGCUUUGGAACGUGCCCUUGCACAACUGAUGGGCAGUCCAAGUAAUGACCAACCAAUAUUGCCAACCGAAGUUGUUCUUGGAAGCAGUAGAUUGCACAAGAAAUCUUCUCAAAGAUCUUCAAACCGAUCAGCGGUCUCAGAAACUGAUGUUGUAGAAGGAGAAGACCAAAGGAUCGAGUUUCGAGCGCCAUCGUGGAUAACUUUUCCUAGUGUUACUUCCUCUCAAGGGAGAAAGUCUUCAGCCUCCGAUGCAGAUGUUGAUGGUAAAACCUCAACUAGAAAUUUAGGCUAUGUUGCAAACGUCGGGGAUGGGUUGAGGAGUUUGGAGGAAGAGAUUGGACCUGCUUCACCUCAAGAAAGAUUGUUCUUGCAGCAUAACUUCUGAAAUGAGUGCCUGAAACAUUUUGAUUUCUUGGUUGUGGUUUGUUGGCUUUGCAUUUGGUUUCUUGUAGAAUGAAUUUUUUUUUUAUAUAAAAAAAGGGUAAUUUUCUGGAACACCAAGUGAUUCUACCUCUACCAUCAGCAUGACAAUCACUUCGUUAUCUUGCAACUUUCAGCUGGCAAUUUAUGUAUUCAAUUCUUACGAUUAGGUGGUUCUUCAUAAGGUUCCGACACUUUCAGAACGUACAUGUUUUUGUUCAUGUUCUAUCCACAGGUUGGUUUGCUGCUUCAUCCUUCAUGAACAGUUCCCUUCCCCUCCUGGAGAUUAAUAUGAUGAAAUACCAGAGGUUCAAUUUGAACCCCAAACAAGACUCAGGCCUCCUGUUCUACAAGAGCAUCCCUUCGCUUAAUCCCUGUUAGUCAACUUCAGCAAGGUUGAGAGUGGCUGCAUGUUGAAAUAUCAAAGCAAAUGCUGCCCUUUUGACCCAUGCAUUCAUGCAGUUUGAUGCCUAGAUAGCUAGACAUGCAAUCAAACAUAAAUAACAGGAAAUACAAUUACAGCUAAAUGGGUUAUGAAAAUCAUACAUCAACAAAACUCUCAUGGUCUGAAUUGAUGUCAUAAACGCGUGUAUCAAUAAAAACAAAUGUUUACAUAUUUCAAGGUGGUAAGGAGUUUCGCUGCCAUAACUAUUAUUUAAUAAUUAUUUGUUUCAAGUGUGUAUACAAGAGCCCUUAUAGCUCAGUGGUAGAGCGUCAGUCUUGUAAACUGAAGGUCCGUAGUUCGAUCCUGCGUGAGGGCAUUUUCUUUAUUUGCCUUAAUUUUUGCAUACUUUACGUCGUAGUGCACAACUAUCCCGUAGACGUUCAUUGAUAUAUGGGGUUUUCAUUAUAUCUAUAUUUCAUUUAUUAUUUAACAGAUAAAGAAUUUAAAUAUUCAUAUUUUAUUUAUACAUGUAAUCCAAGACUAAUUUUACCAUUUAAUAUAAUUUUAUCUAUAUUAAAUGGUAAAAUUAUACAUGUUAUACAUAUGCGUUUUAUGUUAAUAUUAGGAUAUGAAUUUAUUAUAUUUUAUUCAAGAAAUAAAAAUAUAAAUGUUUUAUAUAAUGUAUUAGAUUUUAAAUUAAAUUUAACAAUAUUCAUAUUAUAUUUAUUACUUAUAAAUUAAAAUAAUUAUAAAAAUAACAAAACUCGCUAUCCAUUACUCAUCCAUGUAAUUAUAAGAAGAAACCUACUCAUUCAGUUUUGUACUAAAGAAGGUUUAUUUUUAAUUAUACUUUAAUUUUUAUAUUAAUAUAUCAAAAUUAUUAAAAAUAUUAAUUUAAUAUAUUUUUUAAAUAAAAAUAAUUUAAAAACAGAAUCAACCGCCAAACAUAGGAGCAUAGUUUUGAAAUCCGACUUGACUCGACGGGUCGACCUGGGAUCCGGCCGACCCGGAUCUAGAACCAGGCCGGGUUGAUGAAAAAAUAGGAAAAGUCAUGACCUGGUGUGACCCGGUGACCCGGCAAGACCCGGUCAAAACCGGGUUGCAACCUGUUGAUUUUUGUUUUAUUUUACUAAAACGACGUCGUUUUGAAUUUUUUUAAAAGUAGAGAUUGACCCGGCUGACCCGACGACUCGGUCAAAAUCCGAUAACCCGGUUAAAAUCUAAAACUUAAAUCUUGAACUAGACCAGGUUUAAAAAUUAUGCACAGGAGUAGCAUCAUCAACCGCUCGAAACAUCCUCGUCUGUAACUCCAAUGAUGCCCUUCGUCUCAGGGUGAAGUUUCAUUACUGCACAAGUUUGGUGUUAUUAAAUAAAUAUUAAAUAAGGAUCUUUUGUCGAGAGCUCGUCUACGUGUCACACCGCCAGGGAGAUUUAUUGACUUGAGCUACUUGGUUUAUCCCGCGUGUCAGAUUUUGUUUUUUUCUUAAAAUAAAAAAUAAAAAAAUACCAUCGGCCUUUUGACCAUAGCUAUAAAUAAUUAAAUAUUCAGUGAAUUGUCGGUUUAAGUCUAACCUAACAAUUAAUUUAGAGAUUCAAGGACUUGAAGAAAUCUAAAUCAGGUGGAGCUAGAUUUUUUUAAUAUAAAAAAUUUCUUAUAUUUUUUUAAAUAAAAUUAUAUUUUCUUAUUCAAUCCCUACGCUAUCAAGAUUUAUUUAUUUUAUAUAAAAAAUAAUAUCAUUAACCUUUUAAUAAUAAUUACAAAUCUAACUUUACAUAGGUUGAUCGUCAAUUCAAAUAUUAAUAUUAACCAACUUGAAAAUUAACCCAAGCAUAAUUUCUUUUUGAAUUAGAUUUUUUUAUUUAAUAAAAAUGUAAUUUAAAUAUUUUUUAUUAAAAAAAUUAUAAUAAUUCAUGUUUUAUUAAAAAAAAAUAAAAAAUAUAUUAUUUUAAUAAAAAAAAAAAAGGUUUGAACUUGCUCAGCCUACGACCCUGAUUUUGGGUCUAGCAGAGCUCGAUCUUUAACAAAAUAAUCAUGGCUCGGAAGGCCCAAAUUAAAAAAAUGGGCCUAAUUCCCUGAUUCGGGGCUCUCUUUUUUAUUUUUCCAAUUGAUUUCUCACUCUCGUAAAAGAAUACCUCCCUUUCAAAUUUUUCUCACCUUCGUUAGUUUAGUUCUGUUUCAAUUUGAUCGUUCAUCCACGAUCCAGGUAUGGCCAUUUCAAAUUUAGGGUUUUUUUUUGUUUUCUGAGAAAGUCGCUGAAAGCGAAGAAAAAUGUCAACUUUUUUGCUGUUAUUUUUUAAAUAAUUUUAUGUAAUUUAAUGUACUGCUGAUAGUUAUGAACUCAUUUAUAGCUUAAAGCUAUGAAAUUCCAAAUCAUUUUGAUAAAAUUUGUGUUGAUAACUGUGAAGUUUUGAACAAGGAAAUGUGUUUAUGAAUUCAGUUGAUUUGAUUCUAUGUUGUUUUUUUAAAUUCCAAAUAGCAAAUACAUGGUGGGUGGAUUCUGGUCGUAUAGUUUUGAGGCUGUGUAGAAGGGAUUUGCUAAUAUCUUUUUGGAUAUGGUUUUUUGUCAUUUGCUAGUAGUGAGUUGUGGUUACUAUCUUGUUGAUAUGCUGUACUGUUCUUUCAUAUUUUUCUCAUGUGGGUUUGGGAGGUGCACAAGUGAUUCGCUGUAAAAUGAGGUGUUACAGUCACUUCAGCCUUAGCAUUCGACAUUAUUCAUUCUGUUGAUGCAACGUUGGUGGGUUGUUUUUGUGUUGAUUCCCAAUAGCAAAAUUCAUGGUGGGUGGGUUUUGGUCAAGAUGGGUUCUACUAUUUUCCUUCUAGAUAUGGUUACUAUGCUGUUGAUAUGCCGUACUAUUCUUUCGUUCUUGUGUGGUUAUAUCUAUGAAUAUAGCACAUGUCUCGAUUUCUUGGAGUACAGCAGCAAUGAAACUGAAUUUUAUGUUGGACUGAUAAAUCAAGUUGUAGGUUUGGAUAAUGGGAAGAUAGUCUCCAGUUAUGUGGCUAUGGUUUGGGUCUAUUUUUGUUCAUGAUGUGAAUAAUAAACUGUAUGGAAUGACAUUUAGAGCAAUCAAGGAGGAUAGGAGCAUGUGGCAACAUCAUUAUAUCAGUCUUUCAAAACUUUGGAAGCUUUAUUGUGGAAAAAGUUCAUCUGAUUUUUAAUUUCUGAUAUGUAUGUAUUAUUUGAUUUAUGAAUUUGAUGUUAUUGAUAUGACUUUAGUUGUAAAGGCUAAUUAUGAUGGAAUGUGUUUAUGGACUGAAAAACUGGGAAUGUCUAACUUGUUUAGGUUUUGGAUGUAUUGUUACAGGUUGAGUGUACCAUCCUAUAUGGAUUCUACUUCCACAGCUGAAGCAGACUAUGCUGCGUUUCUGGAGAAGGUGAAACGUACUGUUUACAUUGACAACCUUUCACCACAAGUGACUGAAUCUGUCAUGAGAACAGCUCUAGGUCAGUUUGGGACUGUGAAGAAUGUGCAGUUUAUCCCGAACUACACAGGACCCAAAAAUAUCCCAUGCUGUGCCUUAGUGGAAAUGGAGUGUCUUAGACAAGCCGAAGCUGUUGUUUCAGAGAUCACCCAGUUCCCCUUCAUGAUGUCUGGGAUGCCUCGGCCUGCUAGAGCAUUUCGUGCAGAAGUGGAGAUGUUUGAUGAUCGCCCAAUCAAGCCUGGUAGAAGGAUACAGUGCCGUUGGGUGGACAGAAAAGACCCUGAUUUUGAAGUGGCAAAUAAAAUUAAGCGUCUUGUCAGAAAGCAUGCUGCUGAAGAUUUAUUUUUGCUCCAGGUAAGUUCAUGUGACAGCAUCCAUUGAAUUUCAGUUUACUUGCUUGAUGCUUGCAUGUUUUUCAUGUAGAGUAGAUUUUUAAUAUGUUUUGGCUGGUUAUGUUCAUUUAAAUUGCCAUUCUCAUUUGCAGCAACAGUUGGCCCAAGAAGAGAAGCUUGCAAAGCAGCAAGAGGAAACCCUCAAAGCAAAUUAUAAGAAGUUCACCAUAAUAGAUAAUGUCGUGUCUGACGGAACUGCUCCUGGUUUGGCAAAGUUUUACAACAUGAAGGUUUUCGAUGCUUGAUUAGUUCUGAAUCAGUAGAGAUCCUACAAAACAUAAGACAUACAGUAGUCUAAUUAGCUCGGUGCGGACCUCAUUAAGAUAAGAUUUUUGUAUCCCAGGAUGCAUUACCUGUUUUGUAAUCCUGCUUGGGUCCAUCUUUUAGAUAUCAGAAGUGUAAAUCCAAUUAGCUUGGUCAUUCUGGAUUAAUGUAGUUAACUAUUUGAGGAAGGGUAACUGAUACAGAUGGAACUUUAUGAACUUCAUCUUUUUAACUGUGCUUUUGUGUUUCCUAUGUAGUAAGAUCAUCAUCCGCUUAUCAAAACUGAUUGGUCUGGAUCAUGAGUUUAAGUUCUUCGACUUCUCAGAAUAUUAUUGCUCUAUAGUUGCUAUUUUUUCCCUUAAGACUGCUCUUAAGUGGUAUUUGUUGCUCUUAACUGAAAUUGCUUUCUAUCCCUCUUUUUGGCUGUUACCAGUUGAGUGAGAGCCCUUGUUUGGGCUGUGGGGACAAUUUGAAGCCAAACUUUUCUCUGUUCUGUAAUUGCUGAAGGAAAGUUUAGUCAAAUAUUUCCCGAUGCCUUCAGCAUGUGUUAGCACAACUUGCUUGUUGAAGGCAAAGGCCGGAAUGGCACUUUGAUUUUUGUUUUUGUUUUCUUGUCCUUUGCUUUAUGGUGGCAAACAUAGUUUCCUAUCUUAACUUGUGAAUAGGAGAGGGGAGAUGGGGGGAUCUAGCCUCACCCACAUCUACCCAAUCAAAAUCCACCUCUGUAUUGCACUUGAUGACAUCUUCUUUCUUCACAAAUUCCUUAUCUCCCACCAAGAAUCCGACCCACACUCAAGUCCUUCCACACUCCAUCAAAGCCAUCACAUCCCUCCUCGCUACUUUCAUCACCUUGACGAUUCCACAGCUUUCAGACCCUUUUCCUUGCCCUUUCUUUCUAUCUCGAAUGGCUACCAGCUCUUUACGGUCCCUCAACCACCAUCACUCCCUCCUCAAGUUCCAUCCCUCAGACACCACCCCUCCCUCUUCACUCUUCCUCAAGCCUACCACCUCCAUCUCCGUCAACACCGACACUUCUCUCUCCCUCUCUAUCUCCUCCCCAACAAUCACCACCGCUUACUCCGUCUCCCCCACGACCUCCACUACUCCCUCCACUUCCAAAACCGACUCCCUUGACCUCCUCCAGCAACAUCUCUCGAACCAAAACUUCCGCGAAGCCGAUGAAGAAACCCGCAGACUUCUCAUUGUUCUAGCUGGUGAAGCAGCACAAACGCGUGGCUAUGUCUUCUUCUCCGAGGUCCAGUUUAUCUCAGAGGAAGACCUUAAAGACAUCGACGAACUAUGGAAAAAUCACAGCAACAACAAGUUCGGAUACAGUGUUCAGAAAAGAAUAUGGCAACUGAAGGCUAACAAAGACUUCACCAAGUUCUUCAUCAAAGUUGGGUGGAUGAAGAAGCUUGACACUGAGGUUCAGCAAUACAACUAUAGGGCUUUUCCUAAUGAGUUCAUUUGGGAUCUUAAUGAUGGUACUCCUGAAGGUCACUUGCCUUUGACAAAUGCACUCAGAGGGACACAAUUGCUCAAAAACAUCCUUAACCAUCCUGCUUUUGAGGUAGAUAUUGCAGAAGGGGAGGGAGAUAAAGUUGAAGGUAAUGAAAAUGGUGGGCUAAAGGGAUUAAGGGAUAGCUCAAAGCUUCCAUUAAGCAAGAGAGUAUUGAAGACAGAUUACAGCUUUUGACUAAGAAAUUUGAAGCAAAUGAUCAGUAAACAACAGAGAUGGGAUUUGGACUUUUUUCCAUGUACAUGUAAUGAAAGUUGUUGAUUAAUUACAUCCUUUUUAUUUAAAUAUAUUUUCAUGCUUCUGUCUAUGUAGUGGGCAAAUAUUAUAUAUAUAAAUGAGAAUAUGCCCUGUUGUUUUUACAUUUGGUGCAGCAAGGAGCCUGCCCUUCUUGUAUCUUUGUCUGUCUUUUUCCUAUGAAACCAUAUAUCCUCAGGUGGCAAGGAGGUCUUGUGACCUUUUAUAUGUUGCCAUUGAUUAGUCCCAAGAAAUUACUUAUUUACUUGUGAUCAAGUGCCUGAGCCCCACUUCAUGACAAAAAAAAUAAAAAUCCAAGUCUCACUGGAUAGGGUUUUUUUCCCCGCAAAGAUUCUCGUGCAGGUGUAAACUAGCUAAUUAAAAAUAAUGCCUGAAAUAAAUACCUUGAGUCGGGUCAUAGGCUGGGCCAGACCUCGUACCUAAAUUUAAUACCCGUUGAGAAAAAAUUUAGUCAGGAUAUAGGGCCUGGUAAUAAAGCCCAUUAAUACUUUUAUAUUAUCAUGAAUUAGCCUAAACCCAAACCUACUUAUAAACUACCCAAGUCCAACAACCUCAACACCUCGUCUUUUCCAAUCUCUGUCUGAAAAAUAAAAAUAAAAAUAAAAAUAAAAAAGCAAAAAUGCCAGGGAAUCAGCAACAUCUCCUUCGGCUAGUCCUGUCCUGCCGGAAAAUAACAGCACAGGUAACAAAUCCGACGACUUCCACAAUAAUCGCCAUGGCUUCCUCCGCUGAGCAAGAAUCCUUCCUCUCUCACUACCGCAACACCACUCUCUCUCGCUUCCCUCGCCAAUCCUGGGACUCAAAAGCGGCGUCGCGCGUCGGGGAGAAAUUAGGUUUUAGAUUAAAGGGAAUUGGUGUUAGUAACAUCUAUAUUGAUUUAAACGAAGAGUUGUCAAGGUCGAUUCAUUAUAGAAAGCGUGUGUUACCGUUGUUUGAUUCGGUGAAACGCGUUGGCAUUGUAGUUGAUGGAGCUGAGAAGCUGGGAGAGAUCGGUCAUGUUUGAUGGACGGUCAGGAUUUAAUUGACGAGUAUGCAUUUUUUGAUAAGGAGAGGUUCCUUUCUUCUUCUUCUUCUCUCUCUCUUUUUUUGCCUUUUUAAUUUGAAUCGAUUUGAUUUCAGAAUUGUAGAUUAUGAUGGAAUAAUUAUCACAUGAGAAUGAUUUUUUUUUUUUGCAAUUUUAUUACUAUUUUGUCUAUAUUUUCUUACCCAAUUUUUAAUAUGUAAAGCUAUACAAACAAAUGAAUUAUCCACCUUUAGAUUAAAAGUUACUCAAAUUGUUAAGCUAGUCAUUUAAUUUGCAAUUGUUUUUUAGCAUGAUCUAAACCAGUAACAUUAUAUAUUAAUUCGGUAUUAAUCCCGAAUUUAUCAUUUCAUGACCAUAGAAAAAAAAACAUUAUGUGUGUGUGUGUGUGUGUGUCUCUAUAUAUAUGUAUGUAGUAUGUAUAGCUUUGAGGUACAUUGUGGAUUGCAGUGUUGGUAUGGGUGGAGGGUGGGGUGUUUUGGAGAAUAGAUGGUAAGACAAGGGUAUGCUUAGUGUCAAUUGGUAUUCGGGCCGAGGGCAAUUAGGAGUGUUUAAUUGGGCUGUUUUGAUCUAUAUGGGUAAGAAAAUAGGCAGGCUUUGGAUUUAUCUGAAUAAUGUAAGUGUAGUUUUGGACCUUUGGUUGUUAGAUUACUAGUAAAUUUGUGUUUUGGUGAUGCUUGAAUUGUUUGCAUGUUUGAAGUCAUUCCCAUGGUAAAUGCUGGAUUGCCAUUUUUCUAUGAUACAAUUUUGAUCACGAUUGGGGUUUUGGGAUCCUGAGUUUGUUUGGUGGGCAUGGAGGAGUGGGUUGGUGUUAUGUAAAUUGAGUAAUGCUAGGUGUGUAGACAUGAUAUAUUUUGGAAGUAGACUUCAAGUCUUGUUGACCUUUUCAUUACUUUCCAAGCUCAUGAUUCUGUAGUUGCCAUGUUGUCUUUGAUUAUCAACAUUGGGGAACUCCUCUAUUGAGUUGAAAGUAAACCUUAAUGGCGUUGUUUUGCUUACUACUUGUGCAUUUUGAGUGUUAAAAUUUAUCUUAGUAACAUUCCUCGAUGAUCCUUUGCCAUACGAUUUGAGUCUGUUGCUAGGUGAUAUUACUAACGUUUCUGGUCUCUACUGGAUCCUUUAUUAGUUAUGCUUUGCCAUCCUUAUAACAGAUGAAAAGGUGCACGGGUUGUUGAAAUAAAUGGGAAAAGGACUAGAGGAGAGCAAGGAGCAAGGAUUAUAGAAAUUACUGUAAAGAAAGAUGUGGACCUGGAGAAAAAAUAAGAAUACUAUUGCUUCAUUUGUUACACUCUUGUAUUAUUUCUCUUACUUUGAGAAAAGAUAAUCUUAUAUUACUAAAAAACUAAGUGUAGAUGGAAUGGACAUCAUCUUCGUGGUAUCAUUUUCAUGGCUCUCAAUCUGCCCACCCACAUUUGAAUACUCUUGAGUGUAUCAGCAUACCCUAGAAACCCAAAUUCUCUACUCUUAAUCAUGCUACAGACAUGUUGAAACCUGAAAUUCAAAACCACAUUAAGUGCUUCGAAACAAGUAAUAUCCUCCAUCUUAGUUCUAACAGCUCAUACUUCUCAACAAUCUCAUCCCACAUCUUGCCUUUACCCCUCAUCAUCCCCAGCCAAUCAAACUUCUCAUCACUCUCUUCAUAGGCCACAAAUCCAACAUCAAAGACCUCAAACAAGACUUUCCAUAAACUCAUCCACGUAAAAACAUCACCAUUUGUGCAAUUGAAGGCUUGAUUCUUAGCUCCAUCAGUCACCGCUGCCCAUAUUUGUUGCUCAGCUAGCACCCUUGUAUCAGGCAUGUCACAGAAGGGCUCCCAUGUGUAUUUGUGUAUCGAAAUGGUAACCCAUGGUAUUGACAGAUAGUGGCAUGGACAGAUAGAGUUAGCAAUAUGUUGUCCACACUUCUUGAAGAAGCACCUAUUAUGAUCGACCAGCGAUGAACUGGGUGUGUAAUGGAAGGAAAAUAUGAUGCAACCAAGUCUUCCAAGGCACAAUAGAAAUUGGGGUAGGGGAGUCUAUCUAGGUCCUCUUUGAAAGGUGGCUCCUGGUGGACAAGUUUGCCUUUGCCUUCAAGUGAAGGAUCCAAUAUCGGACCAAGUAUUGUUCCGUGCCUGUUUGCAAAGUAAUAUGUUUGAGUCGUGAAAGAGUAGCUGAUUAAUGUGCAUUAAGCACAUUGGCUAGCAUGGUGGAGUUCAUGGAGAUGCUCACAGGUUUGUCAGGAUAAGCCACGACUUGUAGCGCAGUAAACUAGUUUAUCCUAAAACAAGAUUAUAUGAUUUGCCUGGUGGUAUGCUCAUAGUCAUAACAUUAAAAAGAUAAGUUAGAUCUAUAAAUAACUUAAUUUCUCCUCCUAAGAACUCUCUCUUGCAUGUUUUGUUUUGCUUAGAAAAUAAAAAUGAAUCCGAUAUGUGUCCUGGGAUGUUUUUAGAUUGGGAAAUGAGCAAAUUGGGCUCCAUCUGAAUUUGAACCAACCCUUAACAAUAGCUUAAAUAUUAGGCUCGACUAAGUCUUGGGUCAAAUUCGUUAAAUUUAGUCUCUCUUUUUUUCUUCUUCUUAGAAUAGUUAAACUUUGUCAAAUAUGUGCUAUAAUGUGCCUUUUACUUUCCAUGUGGUGGGCAUCUAAACCAGGUCACUUUGAUAGGGUUGACAACUUGAGCUAUAAAAUAUGUCCAGUUAUUACUGCAGUUCUUGGGCUAUAGAAUUAGAUUGGGUUUGAGGCCUAAUUGUGUUAUGAUUUAUGCAUAUAUAGAGUUCACGCUCAGCCUAGAUCUUAUUCGAAAAAAGGGGUUGGGUUAAUCUAUGAGUUAUUGGGUUAAUAAGGUAAAAUGACAUUGUUUCAUUUUUUUUUUUGAAAAAAAAAUUACUCUAAACAUCCCAAACAAACAAUUACACGUUUUGACAGUGUAGUACCAACUUUAAAAAUUUAUCAAAAAACUAAAAUGCUCAUGCAUAAUAACACCAAAUAAGUAUGUUUUGGCAGUGUAGUAGCAGCACAUCAAAAUAAUCCAAAAUAUGCAAACCAUAUUAAAUUUUAGCAAAAAAAAAAAUUGAAUUUUUUGGGAACGCAGUUUGCAAAACAUGCAAAUCAUAUUAAAUUUUAGCAAAAAAAAAAAAAUUGAAUUUUUUGGGAACGCAGUUUGCACCGCGUUCCCAAAAGGUUUCUUAUUUUCAGCUGAGUUUAUUCUGUUUAUUAUUCUGGGAAGAAUUAAGUUGUUCAUCUGGUAAAAUAGAGCGCCACUUAUAAUUCUGUUUUACAAUUUUCUUGUUUCCAUAUCAUUAAUGGACAGGAGGUGUUCUGUAGUAAGUUGGCAUGGUUACAGGUAAGAAUGCUGUUCUAAUUCCUUCUGCCUUUAGUACAGGGAAGAUGAUGCCUAAGGCAACCUAAAGAUGACACAAAAUAAAAUUAUAAACUCUCUCUCUCUGUCUCUCUUAUUUUUAUUCUUUUUGGACUAGACCUUACAAGAAAAAAAGUAUGCACAAAGAAAGAUAAUUUUAAUGCUAAAUAUUUUUUUUUCUAACGUAGCAAUCUCUUUAAUAUAUAAGGUAGAAAAAUUAGAAUCCUAAACUGAAUAGAAAAACAACAUAAAAUUUAAAAUUAAACUAGAAAUCAAAAGAAAAUAACAAAAUUGACUAGGAUAGCAUUUCAUGAAAAACCAUUGCAUCAUUAGUUACACACUAUUGUAUUAUUUUUCUUACAUUGAGAAGAAACAAGCUAAGCAUUGAUUGGAGUGGACAUCAUCUUCAUGCAUGGUAUGAUUUUCAUGUCCCUCAGUCUCCCCACCCAAAUUGGAAUACUCUUUAGUGUAUCAGCAAACCCUAGAAACCCAGAUUCUCUACUCUUAUUCAUGCUACAGACAUGUUGAAACCCAAAAUGCAAAACCAAAUUAAGUGCUUCAAAACAAGUAAUAUCUUCCAUCUUAGUCUCAAACAGCCCGUAUUUCUCAACAAUCUCAUCCCACACUUUGCCUUUACCCUUCAUCAUCCCCAGCCAAUCAAACUUCUCAUCAUUCUCUUCAAAGGCCACAAACUCGACAUCAAAGACCUCACACAGGACUCCCCAUAAACUCUUCCACGUAAAAACAUCACCAUUUGUGCAGUUGAAGGCUUGAUUCUUAGCUCCCUCAGUCACCGCUGCCCAUAUUUGUUGCUCAGCUAGCACCCUUGCAUCAGACAUGUCACAGAAGUGCUCCCAUGUGUAUUUGUUCCCAGGGUAUCGAAAUGGUAACCCCUGGUAUCGACAAAUUAUAGCAUAAACAGAUAGAGUAAGCAGUGUGUUAUUCAGACUUCUUGAAGAUGCACCUAUUAUUAUUGAUGAGCGAUGAACUGAGUGUGUAAUGGAAGGCAAAUAGGAGGCAACCAAGUCUUCUAAGGCAUAAUAGAAAUUGGGGUAGGGAAGUCUGCCUAGGUCCUCCUUGAAAGGUUGGUCCUGAUGGACAAGCUCGCCUCUAAGUGAAGGGUCAUAUAUUGGACCCAUGUAGUGUUUGGUUCCGGUUAGCAAAGUGACAUGCCUGAGCCUUGAAGGGGCAGCGGGUUUGAGUGCAUUAAGCACGUUGGCUAGCAUGGUGGAGUUCAUGGAGAUGUUUACUUCUUCAUUUCCAUGGUGUUGCAUGGAAACCCAGAAGACGUGGGUGAUCUCAUGAGCCACAGGUGAGAGAUAUGAAACCGUCGACCAAGAAAGCGGGAAACCAUCUUGGCAAGGGACGCCUCGCUAUGCCAUACACCUUCCACGGCCUGCCUGGAGUUGUUGGCUUCUGCAGAUCCUCAGCCAAGCUAAAUCCUGCCAAGCCAGUUAUACCCACAAUCAGGGCAACUGAUGCAUCUGAAGAGUUUUCUCUCUCCAUAAAGAAUGCCCAAUUAUGUUUCUUUUUGGCCCUAGCAUUGCACUGAGAUAUCAUUGAAGAUAAGAAAUCCUCCCCAUCUUGUUUUUUUUUUUUUUAAUUUCUGACCAUAUAUACAUCCUCAGAAAUUGACCAUACAUCCUUGGAAUAAACAACGGGAAUUCUGUGGCUAUGGAAUGCUAUGCUAUCUACAAGAAGAAUAAUUAAAGCAUUUUUCUAGAUAUACUGAGCAUGCUUUUGAAAGUAUCCUGUAACAUUGUUUUCUAAUAUAUUAAAAUAUAUUUUUAAUAUUAAUAUAUUAGAAUAAUCUAAAAAAAUAUAUAAAAAAUUAAUUGAAAACUAAAAAAAAUCAAAAAUAUUUUAGAAGACAAUGCCAAAAUAUAAUGAUCGAUCGCUUUACAACUUGGAUAUGAUGAAAUGCAGCCAAACCCCACUUGAAAUGAAUGGCCUGAAAUCGAGUUUGAAUUGUUAAAAUGCCCUAUAAUUAUUUAAUCCAACAACAUAUAAACCAGAUCAAAAUGUAACAUCAGCCCAGCAAAAUUGGAUGGAGAUAGUCUUCUAUGUCAGGCUCAAUUUCUAUUUUUUUUUCUUUUUUCUUUUUCAUUAAAACAAAAAAAACUUCUUAUGUUAAUAUAUAAUUAAUCAUAAAAUAAUUGUUAAUAUUGUCAUAAAGCUAUAAUCUUCUCGAAUACCAUGACAUAAUUAGAAUAGUUUUAAAAUCCGGUCCAACCCGACAUGUUAAUUCGGGACCCGGCUGACCCGGGGUUGGAACCGGGCCGAAUUUAAGAAAAAAUAAGAGAAGUAAAAAAUUCGGGUGACCUGACAAGUUGACCGGCCUGGUUAAAAACCUGGUUGCAACCCAUUGACUAUUUUUUUUUACCAAAACAAUAUCGUUUUGAUUUAUAUAAACAACUGGGUUGACCUGAGUGACUCGAUGACCCGAUGACCCGAUCUAAACCUGGUGACCUAGGUCUUGAGUUGAGUCGAUUAUCAGACCGGGUUUAAAAACUCUGAUAAUUAGAAGCUUUAUUAACUAUUAUUAUUUUAAUAAAUUUAUUUUUAAGAGAAUUUUAUUUUAAAAUCAAUAAAAAAAAUGGCUCUUUAAGAAAAGAAAGGCACACUUAAGUAUGGGAGGAAACUGGAAAAGUUUGUGCGCAUGAGAUCGGAAGGCCACAUCCAUCUGCCUAGGUUUGUUUCUCUCUCUUUGUUUUUUGUUUUUUUCAUACAAAACAUCGUCUAUGUAAACACUCAACUUAACACUGGUAUAUCAGUACUAAAAAAGACAAUUUUUGAUAGAGAAAUGAUAAUUAAAAAGAAAAAUUUGCUAUAGAUGGGGAUGAAAACCUUUAGAAAUUUAAUUUAAAUUUCAGAUGAAAUAAAAUAAUGAAUAAAAUAAUGAAAUAUUAACCUUGGCUAAAAUAAUUAUUUAAAGAAUUUUUUUAUAAAUUGGGGAGGAAAACAAUGAUAAUAGAGUAUAAUUCUAAGAAAAAUAAUGUAUGACUUUACGUGCAAAAAAACAUUGAUUUUUGAUAUAAAUUUCACAUACAAUCACGCUAUUUUGACUGGAAAUACUGAAAACUCUAAGUAAAUUCUUGUGAUGAUUAUAUAUUGAUGAAAAUCAUCAAUGAAUUAGUUUAAAAAUCAUGGGAAUAUAAGUAAAUAAAAUGAUACGUAAAAGUUUGAAUUUUUUAUAUAAAAUUAUCUAAUAUUUAAUUUCAUAGUACCAAUUAUAUUUACUGUUGAAUUAGAUUGAAAUAAUAUAAGUAGUCUCCAUUAUAAUUUGAGUUAGAUUUUCAAUCGUGGUUGUAAAAACUUGAAAUGAAUGAAAAUGAACAUUUGAGCAAAUGAGAAACAUAAAAGAUUAAGCAGUGGCCAAGAAUGUAAUAAAUAAAAAUUAGAAUCCUAAACCUAAUAGAAAAACAACAUAAAAUUUAUAAUUUAACUAGAAAUCAAUAGAGAAAAAAAAAUAGCAUUUAAUGAAAACCAUUGCAUCAUUAAUUAGUUACACUAUUGUAUUAUUUUUCUUACAUUGAGAAGAAACAAGCUAAGCAUGGAUUGGAGUGGACAUCAUCUUCAUGGUAUGAUUUUCAUGUCCCUCAGUCUCCCCACCCACAUUGGAAUACUCUUUAGUGUAUCAGCAAACCCUAGAAACCCAGAUUCUCUACUCUUGUUCAUGCUACAGACAUGUUGAAACCCAAAAUGCAAACCCACAUUAAGUGCUUCAAAACAAGUAAUAUCUUCCAUCUUAGUCUCAAACAGCCCGAAUUUCUCAACAAUCUCAUCCCACACUUUGCCUUUACCCUUUAUCAUCCCCAGCCAAUCAAACUUCUCCUCAUUCUCUUCAAAGGCCACAAACUCAACAUCAAAGACCUCACACAGGACUCCCCAUAAACUCUUCCACGUAAAAACAUCACCGUUUGUGCAAUUGAAGGCUUGAUUCUUAGCCCCCUCAGUCACUGCUGCCCAUAUUUGUUGCUCAGCUAGCAUCCUUGCAUCAGACACGUCACAGAAGUGCUCCCAUGUAUAUUUGUUCCCAGGGUAUCGAAAUGGUAACCCCUGGUAUCGACAAAUUGUAGCAUAAACAGAUAGAGUAAGCAGUGUGUUAUUCAGACUUCUUGAAGAUGCACCUAUUAUUAUUGAUGAGCGAUGAACUGAGUGUGUAAUGGAAGGCAAAUAGGAGGCAACCAAGUCUUCUAAGGCAUAAUAGAAAUUGGGGUAGGGAAGUCUGCCUAGGUCCUCUUUGAAAGGUGGCUCCUGAUGGACAAGCUGGCCUCUAAGUGAAGGGUCAAAUAUCGGACCCAUGUAGUGUUUGGUUCCGGUUAGCAAAGUGACAUGUCUGAGCCUUGAAGGGGCAGUGGAUUUGAGUGCAUUAAGCACGUUGGCUAGCAUGGUGGAGUUCAUGGAGAUGUUUACUUCUUCAUUUCCAUGGUGUUGCAUGGAAACCCAGAAGACGUGGGUGAUCUCAUGGGCCACAGGUGAGAGUUUGUUUGCUGUAUCGGCACAGUCUAAGGCAUCAAGAGAUAUGAAACCGUCGACCAAGAAAGCGGGAAACCAUAUUGGCAAGGGACGCCUCGCUAUGCCAUACACCUUCCACGGCCUGCCUGGAGUUGUUGGCUUCUGUAGAGCCUCAGCCAAGCUAAAUCCUGCCAGGCCAGUUAUACCCACAAUCAGGGCAACUGAUGCAUCUGAAGAGUUUUCUUUCUUCAUAAAGAAUGCCCAAUUAUGUUUCUUUUUGGCCCUAGCAUUGCACUGAGAUAUCCUUGAAGAUAAGAAAUCCUCCCCAUCUUGUUUUUUUUUUUUUUAAUUUCUGACCAUAUAUACAUCCUCAGAAAUUGACCAUACAUCCUUGGAAUAAACAACGGGAAUUCUGUGGCUAUGGAAUGCUAUGCUAUCUACAACAAGAAUAAUUAAUUAAAGCUUUUUUCUAGAUAUACUGAGCAUGCUCUUGAAAGUAUCCUGUUUGUUUACAAAGUAUGAUAAAAAAUUGUUUUUAAAAACAUUUUUUAUUUUAAAAUAAUAUUUUUUUUAAAAAAAUAUUUCUAAUAUUAAUAUAUUAGAAUAAUUUAAAAAUAUAUAAAAAUUAAUUGAAAACUAAAAAAAAAUAAAAAAUAUUUUAGAAGACAAUGCCAAAAUAUAUAUAUAAUGAUCGAUCGCUUUACAACGUUGAUAUGAUGAAAUGCAGCCAAACCCCCCCUGAAAUGAAUGGCCUGAAAUCGAGAUUGAAUUGUCAAAAUGCCCUAUAAUUAUUUAAUCCAAAAACGGAUGAACAAAAUCAAAAUGUAACGUCAGCCCAGUAAAAUUUGAUGGAGAUAGUCUUCUCUUUCAGGCUCCAUUUCUAUUUUUUUUCUUUUUUCUUUUUCAUUAAAAAAAACAACAACAAAACGGUACUAUCUUUUGAAUCUUAAACUCUCAAGUUUUUUUAUAUAUUCAAAGAUAUAUAGUAUGUAAUACUAAGGUAGUGCUUUUAAAAAUUUAUUUUUAUUUAAUUAUAUGAAAAUUAAAAUAGAUAUUCAUAGUAUGAUAAAAAUUCUGGAGAAAAAAAUUAUUUUUUUAUCUAAAAUUAUCUUUUCUCACUCAUGUAAUUUUUUGUUUUGUUUUGACAAUAACAUACUCCUUUUGUUUUUGCUAGCAUCAUGAUUUAUUGAGUAAAAAUGACUUGAAUUAAAGAGGAAAUAAUAUAUCUUUUUAAUGAAAAAUCAUCUUUCCUUAUCUGUGUAUUUCUUUUCUUUUCUUUUUUAACAGAAACAUGUUUUUUUUAAUUAGAAGUAUUGUUCUUAAGAUAAAAAAAAUAUUAUGAUUGUAGCAGCAAGUUUCAAUAAAAAAUAAAAAAAAUUAUGAAUUAAUAAUUUCAUAUACAUCUAUGAAUAAAUAUAAAAAAUAAUAAAUAUAAGAAAAUUAUAUAAAAAAAGGUUACAAUGAGAAAAUAACAAGAUAGAUAUUAUAUUUUUAUUGAAUAUUAAUGAUAUUUUUUUAAAAAAACUUCUUAUGUUAAUAUAUAAUUAAUCAUAAAAUAAUUGUUAAUAUUGUCAUAAAGCUAUAAUCUUUUGGAAUACCAUGAUAUAAUUAGAAUAGUUUUAAAACCUGGUCCAACCUGACAGGUUGAUCCGGGACCCGGCUGACUCAGGGCUGGAACCGGACCGGAUUUAAGAAAAAAUAAGAAAAGUAAAAAAUUCGGGUGACCCAACGGGCUGACCCGGUCAAAAACCUAGUUGCAACCCGUUAGCUAUUUGUUUUUACCAAAACAACAUCGUUUUGAUUUAUAUAAAAAAGCGGGUAGACCUGGGUGACCCGAUGACCCAAUCAAAACCUGGUGACCUGGGUCUUGGGUUGAGUCGACUAUCGGGUCAGGUUUAAAAACUCUGAUAAUUAGAUGAUUUAUUAACUAUUAUUAUUUUAAUAAAUUUAUUUUUAAGAGAAUUUUAUUUUAAAAUCAAUAAAAAAAUGGCUAUUUAAGAAAAGAAAGGCACACUUAAGUAUGGGAGGAAACUGGAAAGGUUUGUGCGCUUGGCGUCGAAGAAAACCCGAGGCAUGCAUGAGAUCGGAAGGCCAAAUCCAUCUACCUAGAUUUGUUUCUCUCUCUUUGUUUUUUGUUUUUUUCAUACAAAACAUCGUCUAUGUAAACACUCAGCUUAACACUGAUAUAUCAGUACUAAAACAGACAAUUUUUGAUAGAGAAAUGAUAAUUAAGAAGAAAAAAUUGCUAUGGGGAUGAAAACCUUUAGAAAUUUAAUUUAAAUUUCAGAUGAAAUAAAAUAAUGAAUAAAUUAAUGAAAUAUUAACCCCGGGUAAAAUAAUUAUUUAAAUAAUUUUUUUAUAAAUUGAGGAGGAAAACAAUGAUACAAUAAUUUUAAUAAAGUAUAAUUCUAAGAAAAUAAUGUAUGACUUUACGUGUAAAAAAACAUUGAUUUUUUAUAUAAACUCUGUAUACAAUUACGCUAUUUUGACCGGAAAUGCUGAAAACUCUAAGCAAAUUUUUAUGAUAAUUAUUGAUCAUCAAUAAAUUAGUUUAAAAAACAAAUCGGUAUGAGUAAAUAAAAUAAUACAUAAAAAUUAAAAUUUUUUACAUAAAAUUAUCUAAUAUCUAAUUUUAUAAUAUUUAUUAUAUUUAUUGUUGAAUCAAACUGAAAUAAUAUAAGUAAUCUUCUAACAUAUUAUUAUAAUGGUUGUAAAAACUUGAAAUGAAUGAAAAUGAACAUUUGAGCAAAUGAGAAACAUAAAAGAUUAAGCAGUGGCCAAGAAUGUAAUAAAUAAAAAUUAGAAUCCUAAACCUAAUAGAAAAACAACAUAAAAUUUAUAAUUUAACUAGAAAUCAAUAGAGAAAAAAAAAUAGCAUUUAAUGAAAACCAUUGCAUCAUUAAUUAGUUACACUAUUGUAUUAUUUUUCUUACAUUGAGAAGAAAUAAGCUAAGCAUGGAUUGGAGUGGACAUCAUCUUCAUGGUAUGAUUUUCAUGUCCCUCAGUCUCCCCACCCACAUUGGAAUACUCUUUAGUGUAUCAGCAAACCCUAGAAACCCAGAUUCUCACUCAUGUAUUUUUUGUUUUGUUUUGUUUUGUUUUUGACAAUAACAUACUCUUUUUGUUUUUGCUAGCAUCAUGAUUUAUUGAGUAAAAAUGACUUGAAUUAAAGAGGAAAUAAUAUAUCUUUUUAAUGAAAAAUCCUCUUUCCUUAUCUAUGUAUUUCUUUCCUUUUCUUUUUUAACAAAAACGUGUUUUUUUUAAUUAGAAGUAUUGUUCUUAAGAUAAAAAAAAAUAUUAUGAUUGUAGCAGCAAGUUUCAAUAAAAAAUUAAAAAAACCAUGAAUUAAUAAUUUCAUCUACAUCUAUGAAUAAAUAUAAAAAAUAAUAAAUAUGAGAAAAUUAUAUAAAAAAGUUUACAAUGAGAAAAUAACAAGAUAGAUAUUAUAUUUUUAUUGAAUAUUAAUGAGAAUUUUUUAAAAAAACUUCUUAUGUUAAUAUAUAAUUAAUCAUAAAAUAAUUGUUAAUAUUGUCAUAAAGCUAUAAUCUUCUGGAAUACCAUGACAUAAUUAGAAUAGUUUUAAAACCCGGUCCAACCCGACAGGUUGAUCCGGGACCCGGCUGACCCAGGGCUGGAACCAAACCGGAUUUAAAAAAAUUAAGAAAAGUAAAAAAUUCGGGUGACCCAACGGGUUGAUCCGGUCAAAAACCCAGUUGCAACCCAUUGACUAUUUUUUUUUACCAAAACAACAUCGUUUUGAUUUAUAUAAAAAAGCAGGUAGACCUAGAUGACCCGAUGACCCGAUCAAAACCUGGUGACCUGGGUCUUGGGUUGAGUCGACUAUCAGGCCAGAUUUAAAAACUCUGAUAAUUAGAUGAUUUAUUAACUAUUAUUAUUUUAAUAAAUUUAUUUUUAAGAGAAUUUUAUUUUAAAAUCAAUAAAAAAAAUGGCUAUUUAAGAAAAGAAAGGCACACUUAAGUAUGGGAGGAAACUGGAAAGGUUUGUUUCUCUCUCUUUGUUUUUUGUUUUUUUCAUACAAAACAUCGUUUAUGUAAACACUCAGCUUAACACUGGUAUAUCAGUACUAAAACAGACAAUUUUUGAUAGAGAAAUGAUAAUUAAGAAGAAAAAUUUGCUAUUGGGAUGAAAACCUUUAGAAAUUUAAUUUAAAUUUUAGAUGAAAUAAAAUAAUGAAUAAAUUAAUGAAAUAUUAACCCCGGGUAAAAUAAUUAUUUAAAUAAUUUUUUUAUAAAUUGAGGAGGAAAACAAUGAUACAAUAAUAUUAAUAAAGUAUAAUUCUAAGAAAAAUAAUAUAUGACUUUACGUGUAAAAAAACAUUGAUUUCUGAUAUAAACUCCACAUAUAAUCACACUAUUUUGACCGGAAAUGUUGAAAACUCUAAGCAAAUUUUUACGAUGAUUAUUGAUCAUCAAUAAAUUAGUUUAAAAAAUAAAUCAGUAUGAGUAAAUAAAAUGAUAUAUAAAAAUUAAAAUUUUUUACAUAAAAUUAUUUAAUAUCUAAUUUUAUAAUGUUUAUUAUAUUUACUGUUGAAUCAAACUAAAAUAAUAUAAGUAGUCUUCUAACAUAUCAUUAUAAUGGUUGUAAAAACUUGAAAUGAAUGAAAAUGGAUAUUUGAGCAAAGAAAAAACAUAAAAGAUUAAGCAGUGGACAAGAAUGUAAUAAAUAAAAUGAGUGCAUUUAAAUGUAAUAUAUAAAAAUUAGAAUCCUAAACCUAAUAGAAAAACAACAUAAAAUUUAUAAUUUAACUAGAAAUCAAUAGAGAAAAAAAUAGCAUUUAAUGAAAAACAUUGCAUCAUUAGUUAAUUGACUCUUGCAUUAUUUUUCUUACAUUGAGAAGAAACAAGCUAAGCAUAGAUUGGAGUGGACAUCAUCUUCACGGUAUGAUUUUCAUGUCCCUCAGUCUCCCCACCCACAUCGGAAUGCUCUUUAGUGUAUCAGCAAACCCUUGAAACCCAGAUUCUCUACUUUUAUUCAUGCUACAGACAUGUUGAAACCCAAAAUGCAAAACCACAUUAAGUGCUUCAAAACAAGUAAUAUCUUCCAUCUUAGUCUCAAACAGCCCGUAUUUCUCAACAAUCUCAUCCCACACUUUUCCUUUACCCUUCAUCAUCGCUAAGCAAUCAAACUUCUCAUCAUUCUCUUCAUAGGCCACAAACUCAACAUCAAAGACCUCACACAGGACUCCCCAUAAACUCUUCCACGUAAAAACAUCACCAUUUGUGCAAUUGAAGGCUUGAUUCUUAGCUCCCUCAGUCACUGCUGCCCAUAUUUGUUGCUCAGCCAGUACCCUUGCAUCAGACAUGUCGCAGAAGUGCUCCCAUAUGUAUUUGUUCCCAGGGUAUAGAAAUGGUAACCCCUGGUAUCGACAAAUUGUAGCAUAAACUGAUAGAGUAAGCAGUGUGUUAUUCAGACUUCUUGAAGAUGCACCUAUUAUUAUUGAUGAGCGAUGAACUGAGUGUGUAAUUGAAGGCAAAUAGGAGACAACCAAGUCUUCUAAGGCAUAGUAGAAAUUGGGGUAGGGAAGUCUGCCUAGGUCCUCCUUGAAAGGUGGCUCCUGAUGGACAAGCUGGCCUCUAAGUGAAGGGUCAAAUAUUGGACCCAUGUAGUGUUUGGUUCCGGUUAGCAAAGUGACAUGUCUGAGCCUUGAAGGGAAAGCGGAUUUGAGUGCAUUAAGCACGUUUGCUAGCAUGGUGGAGUUCAUGGAGAUGUUUACUUCUUCACUGUCGCGAAGUUUUCUGGAAAUCCAGAAGACAUGGGUGAUUUCAUGGGCUACAGGAAAGAGUUUGUUUUUAGUAUCUUCAUGGUCUAAGGCAUCGAGAGAUAGGAAACAGUCGAUCAAGGAAGAGGGAAACCAACUUGGCAAGGGACGCCUUGCUACGCCAUACACUUUCCAUGGGCUACCUUGAGUUGUUGGCUGCUUUAGAGCCUCUGCUAAGCUAAAUCCUACCAUGCCAGUGACGCCCACAAUCAGGGCAACUAAUAUAUCUGGAGAUUUUUCUUUCUCCAUAGAGCAUGCACAGAGAUACAAGCUUUUUGGUUAUGUUCUAGCUAGCAUGCGUGCACUGAAGUACACAAAUGAGAGAGAGCCAAUUUAUGCAUGGAUACUGAUCUCUGCAGCAAGCCAUUCCAAAAGAAAUUGUGCUUGUAAAUAUUGUUGUUCAAGUAAAAACAAAUUCCUCCACCAUAAAAUGUAAGAUUGUCCUUCAAAUAUUAAACUAAUUAACCCAGAUCCUCAGUGGAAAAGACAAAUAUUGCAUUGUUAGAAUGGCUGGCCUGGCUAUAUUCCUCUCCUAAAAUGUUAAUGGCUUGAAUAUUUCCAAUAAUUAAUAUUACGCAACAAGUCUUUUAUCUUACCUUCUAUAUCUCCUUCGGCUGCUUAGCUACAAUCCAACAACACAAUGACACUGGUAAUCAAACAAGAAAUAAACCAAACCCACUUAUUCUUGGACGGCCUGUUGAAAUCCAAUUGUUAUAAUAAUCCAACAACAUAAUGGCAGAUCGAUCAAACAACAAAUUAAAUAAACCAAAUUUACAAAGUCUCUGAAACUUCAAAUCAAAUUUUGGUUUUUCCAUUGCUAGUAUAGUGGGCUUUGGAUUUUUUUUUUCUAAAUAAUUUUAACAUUAAUAUGAUAAAUCCAUGACUUAAUUGAUCUGUUAUGGUAGCCAAAUAUUCACUAAUCAAAUAAGGUGGAUGUUUGAGGUUAUCAACUCAUAUAACCUAACUAUUCAUGCCUUCCCUGGAAGAAGAUGGGGCAGGCCUUUCCUAAAUGAUCUAGUGAAAUGCAAAAAGGAUUUAUGCAAUUAACCAUGUAUGAGUUUUUGAAAUGCCUUUCUUAGGAGUGAUUUGCUGCCGAUUUUUUUGUUUUUGCAGUUCAAUCGUUAUUUAUAAAAAUUUUAAAUUUUUAUUAUUCUAAAUUAUUUUUUUGAUAUUAAUUUUUAGAUCGUUUUAAUAUAAUGAUAUUAAAAAAAUAUUAUUUUAAUAUAUUUUCAAAUAAAACGUAUUUUUAAAACUAGAACACCAAAUGCUACUGUAUUCUAUUUUCUUAUUUUAUCCAAGUAAUAUUCAACCCUAAACAAAUGUAUUUUGAACAUGGACAGGGUAGCAUUCAAGCCAUUUUUUUCUCUACUUUCGUUAAGAGAAAGGAUCCCCUCAAUGCAAUCAAGGAUGAUGAAUGAUCAUGUGAUGUGAUUAAGAUGAAAAAAAAAAAUAAAAAUUGCAGAAAAGCUAGAAAAAAGUGACCAAAGUGUAAAAAAGAAACAGUAGAGGGACACUUUAUUAGGUCUUGGUUCCAUUUUCAUGUUUCUGAAUACUAUAUUUAAGCAUGCUACUGCUAGAGUCAUUUAGCAAGAACUAGAAGAGGAGGGGUUUUAGUAUAUCUUUUCUUAUAAAGCAUUUAUUUAUUGAAAGAUUGCUUUGUUUUUUUUUUUUGAUUUUUUAAUUAAUAUAUUUUUUAAUUUUAUUCUUUAAUAUUUUAUUUUUUUAUUUAGUUAUUAUACUCUCGUAACAUAAAUCUUAGAUUUAAGAAAUUAACUUGAUUUAUUCAGCUAACCUAUUGAGUUAAAUUUUUUUAAUUAUUAAAUUGGGCCUAGUAAUGUAAGCCCAUUUUCCAUCCAAUGUGUCUAGAGGCAAUAACUUUUGUUCACGCAGCACAGUUCGCUUCCUUUACCUCUACAACAGGGAUACUUCCACGAGUCCAUCCUACUGGUCUAGGGUAUGUCUAUGUAAUAUGGCUAGACUAGCGAAUGAAGCAGCAAAGAUAAGGCGUGUCCUUGAACCUCUGUUCCAGAACUUCGAUGCUAACAAUCACUGGCCCUAGAAAAAGGAGUUGUCUACCCUGUUUUGACAUUUUUGCAGUCACUUCUGGAGGAAACAGGCUGCAUUUGGAACUUGAUGCGCCAUCUCUUUAGGCUGUUGCGUAUGUGGUUUUGGAUACCCUAGACUGUAAUUCAAAUAACCUUUUGUAGACAUAACUGAUAUAUGGUUAUAUUAUCAUCAGGAGAAAAUUCGCAUUUGCUAUUAUCUAUCCUGGUCAAGCACUUGGAUCAUAAGAGUGUUGCCAUACAACCUUCUUUACAAGUAGACAUUGUUAUAAUGUCACAGCACGACUUGGACAAAGCUCAAUGCAGCGAGCCACAGUUGCUAUCAUUGGUGCAAUAUCUGACUUGAUGAAACAUUUACAAAAGUGCCUGCAAAAUUCAUCCAAAUUUUCCAACCCCAGGGGUGGCAGUGAUGGAUGGAAUGCUGAUCUUCAGUUUGCUUUAAAACGCAUCUCACAGCUCUCAGAUAAGGUCUGCAGUUGUUCCUUAACCAUAAUUUAUAUUAAUAUGCAUGUAAAGUUGUUUUUGAAAAGAAUUGAGGUUAUGCUAUGUAAACUGUUUCAGGCUUUUCCUGAUGCUCUAUUCCACCAAUUGCUUGUGGCAAUGGCCCACCCAGACCAUGAGACUAGAUUUGGAGCACACAGUGUUUUCUCUAUCUUGCUCAUGCCAUCCUUGUUUUCUCCUUGGUCAGACCAGGAUAAGAAAACCUCUGAAGCUGUUUCUGAAACUUUUGGUGCAUCAGCAUCACAAAAGAGGAGUAAGGUUUCUCCUUUCUGGGUGAAAGCAAAGAUAAUGUUGAUGCCGUGGAUGGAAAAUUGUGGGAAGAAGGCAAUUCAAUUUCAAAUGUGGGUGAAAAACAUGAUUCUCAUGAUCAUUUAAACAGCUUCUGGCAUGCUGCCCCAGAUGGAAAAAUGGUAUGGAGCUCCAAAGAUUUUGCAUUUGAGAAUUCAUUUAGUUUUCAGCUGGGAUCUCCAUUUCACAUCCUUUAUAAAUGGUCUCAUGUAGUUGAAUGUUUGCUGGCAGCUAACUUCCCUUCGAUUGAGUAGCCGUCAAAUCAGUCAUUUGCUUUCAUCAUUAUGGGUUCAGGCAACAUCUGCAGAGAAUAUGCCCACAAAUUUUGAGGCCAUGAGCCAUACUUAUAAUAUCACUUUGCUUUCCACACGAUCUAAGGUGAGAGGAUGCAUUUACUUCAAUCUCCUCACAGUUAUAAUAUUUCUUAAUUUAUCAAAGUAUAUCUGGCAAUUCCUUUUGAAUCUUUUGAACUUGCAAUGAUACUUCAAGCCAGCAACAUUUUUUCUCAGUUUACUAUUUAUCAACCUUUUUAUCUUUUGCAAUGAUACUGACAUUGAAUCUGGAGAAGAAAAUUGCUGUGAGGGGCUUCCGCAUAGCCAGAAAAAAAGUUUAAUGUCUUGCCAUUUCUUUCAAAUCACCCAGUUUAAGAUAACUGAAGAAUUUUAUGCUUUCUAUUUGAUGAUUAUAUUUAGCCUGUUUGUUGAUGGAUACAGGCCUCAAGUCACAUGGCACUAGUUCGGUGUUUUCAGCUGGCAGUCUCUCUGGCUCAAGAAGGUUAGCUGAAUCUGUUAGUGUAUGGUAAAUUGGUAAUAUGUUUUGAUUGUAGGGAUUGACAACAUUUGCUCUCUAAUUCCUCUUUUCUCUUUGGCUAAAAGAUCCCUGAUUUAUGAUUUCUUAAUUGCUCUUGAAGUUUAUUUUCUGAAAUUAUUAGAUUGGUUAUGUUGGUGCACUUUACUUCCCAUACCUGUUUCUUGCAUCCAUAUCUAAGCAGGUCUGCAACAAUCUCGUGGAAGGUCUCUCUUCACCUUGGCAUCAUUCAUGCUUAUUUUUGCAGCAAGGGCAGGAAAUCUUCCAGAGCUAAUUCCUUUUUUUAAAUCCUAUCUAACAGAAAAAACAUUUAGUUUACUUUUCCAUUACCAUUUAGAAGGAAAUGUUUUGUUGUUGUUUUUCUAUGACUAUGACAUGUUUCCCGUGGAGCUUUUGUUAAUAUAUUUGCAUCAAUUUAUGAAUAUUAUGGCAGGCCAACCCUUAUCUUGAAUUAGUUGAAGAUAUCAGGCUGCAGGCUGUUUAUGUAGAAUCUGAUGACGGGAAAAUAGCAUAUGGAUCGGAGGAGGAGGAUGUUGCUGCUUUAAAAUCUCUUUCACAUGUGGAAGCAGAUAAUGGUCAUUUGAAGGAAACCCUGACAUCCCAAUUCAUGACAAAAUUUGUCAAAUUAUCAGAGGUGAUAUUGUUAUUUAUAUUUAUCCAAUUUCUUAACAAGAUCACUAGUGAAUCCCUCUUUCCUAGAUCUGAUAUAGGAUUAGCGGCAUUUGUGUCAUGUAAAAAUUAGAGAAUAUAUUAGGAUGAAUUAUCAGGCAUUUAUAUUCGCGGUGUUUAUCAAAAUUAGCCACAUUUAUAUUUGCGGUGUUUAUCAAAAUUCACUCCUUUUUUUUUCAUUUUUUUCCAGGAUGAAUUAUCAGGCAUAAAACAGCAACUUCUGCAGGAGUUUUCACCUGAUGAUGCAUAUCCAUCAGGAGCUCCCCUGUUUAUGGAUACACCUAGGCCAUGUUCCCCUCUUGCCCGAAUGGAGUUUCAGGCAUUUGAGGAGGUAACAUCAUUAAGUUAAUGUUUUCCAUCUUACAGUUAGCAUCCGUGGUGACAGUUCACUUAAUUUAUAGGGUGUCUCUGAGAUCAUGCCUGCAGCUGCCUUGACAGAUGAUGAAACCUUCACAGAACUUAAUGGAAGCCAGUCAGGUCUCAGAACAUCAAUAUCUAUCCAUACACUUGACAUCCUAAGCGUCAAAGAACUUCUGGAACCAGUAAGGGGAGCACUUCCUGUUUCUUCGUUUCUUUUUCGACAUUUAACUGCUUGGUGCAUGGAAAUGUCAUUCCUUGGCUGCAUUUCUUUCCCAUUUUAUGUUGUUUAGAUCCGUGAUCCUUAGCAAGGAAUGGUUUUGGAAUGUAUUGAAAAUUGCAAAUUUAGGAAAGUUCAAAAAAGAAAAGAGUUAGUUUAAAAUUACCUGUUCCUUGCGACCAGAUGAAGAGUCAGUGUGAAGCUCUUGUAACUGGGAAACAGCAGAAAAUGUCAAUACUGCAUAGUUUUAAGCCUCAAGCAGAAGCCAAGGUUUUCCCCAUUGAAGAAGAAAAGAAAGACACCUCAGUCUAUGAUGUGGUGAGUCUGUUUACUUUACAGAUACAAACCAUGCUUAAUGAAUUGAUUCCCUUCUGUCUUGUUUUGUCCCUUUGCAAGAACACAGUUGCUUCAGUCCUCAGGUUUGGUGGUAGUGACAUUAAAAUUGAAACUGUCACUAAAAACAGCAACACCAAGAAGAACAGUAACAUUAACGCCAAUAUUUGAUCAAAUUUAGUUAUCACCAUCAUUGUUUUCACUAUAAUACCUGAAGUUUGAGAUAUCCGGAAGUUUCCUGAAAGUUGGUGAAUUUUGGUCUUUUGUCCUUCACUUUGGUUUUGGAUUUCUCUGUUCUGAAGGGCCCCACUAUAAUUUUUUGCCUGAUUAGCCUCAGAGCCUUUUUGCCUUCAUAUGUUGUUAUCUCAGUGAAUCCAUAAUUUGACGUGGAGCAAUAAACAAAAAAGAAUUAAAACAAUAAAAAAAAAGCUUUUAGAGAAAAAAAAAAUGGGGGUUGGAAAAUAUGCAAACUCAAAUAAAAAUAUAUAAAUAACAUAAUUCUAAAACAUCUAGCUCAUCAAUUAAAAUCAUUUAACAUAAAUAACUCAAAUAAAUAAAAAAAAAACAAUGAAAUAGAUCCAAAUAAACUCAGUCUUUCAUCCAAAAAAAUAAUAAGUUGGACCAUUCUAUAUCAUUUCUAUUAAUAUAAUAUACUCGUAUAAUCUACUGAAUGUGUGAAUGUCCCCACCAUAAUUUAUGUGCUGAUAAAGUUAAUUUGCAAAAUAUUCAUUAUUUAGAAAGUGGAGUUGCCGCAAUGUGAUCUGAAGUUAGCUGUUAAGGAGCAAAUUAGAACACCUGAUCAGCUUUCCCUCUGCUCACUCCAGUACGGACAAAAUUCUUUCAGAUUACCACCUUCAAGCCCCUAGACAAAUUCUUGAAAGCAGCUGGAUGUGUUUAAUACGUAUGUGCAACUAUGAUGUUCGUCAGAAAUGGAAGCUUGCCUUUUGUUAGCCUUACACAAACGUUCCCCAGUCUGGUUAGAUGGUUCUACAUCUCAGCCUUGUUCUACUGCGGAGAAGCGAUAUGGGGAAAAUGGGUGGUCAUCGUCUCCACUGUUUUCAUAUCUUUAGCAAGAUUUGUUAAAAUCUUUUCCUUUUUUCAUUUAACUUUUGGCUAAAGUCCCAUGAACACUGCUUGUGGACAUGGAAACAGGGGCCAGCUGAGAGAAUUAAGAGUUUCUUACACAAUUAUCAAUCUGAUUUUUCAAAUUGCAUGUGCUGUGCUGAAUCAGAUACGCCAUGCUGAUAGUUGACGCGAUAGCGAGAAGUGUAAUUUAUUUUUUACUAUCGUUAUAGUUUGGAUUGAUUUGAAUGGAACUCGAUUGAUUUAUAUGUUUUGAAGUUAAUGACUAUAUAAAUUUAUAAUAAUUUAAAAAAAAAUUAAAUUCGUGACCAUUAAGAAGUAAACUCAAAAUCCGAGAAGUGUAAUUUUUUUUUAUUAGCGUUAUAGUUUGGACUGAUUUGCAUGCAAUUCGAUUGAUUUAUAGGUUUUGAAGUUAAUGACUAUAUAAGUUUUCAAUAGUUUUAAAAAAAUUUAAACUCGUAACCAUUAAAAAGUAAACUUAAAAUCAGACCAGUAUUAUUUUUGUGUACUAUAAUUGGAUACUAUAAUUGGAUACUAGGAAGUGAAGAAAAUGCCAUUUCCAUGGUUGAUCUCUUGCUGGAGACAGAAUACAUUUCUCAUGGCUCACAUAAUUCAUACCUUUUAAGUUUGAUGGUAUAUCAUUGGGCUAGUUUUUGCAUCGAUCGAGAUUAAGUUCUUUUUUUUUCUUUUUUUUUUGAGUAAUUUUAAUGGUGCACCCUCUCUCUUAACCUAGUACAUGGAGGAAUUUAUUACUUGAUAUAUUUAAAGAAAUUUAAUAAAUUUUUUUGUUGUGUUGAUUUUAAUGUUUGAAUCUAGAAAAUAAUAAAAAAAGGAGUGCACUCUCCUAACCAUGAAGGGAAAAAAAAUAAUAUAUUAAAGCUUUCCCUUCAUUUCUCUCCUCAUCAAACUUUCCUUAAAUAUAAUUUGCUUGGUCAAAUUCAGAGUUUAUUAUCAUUUUGUUCAAAAUAUAAAUUUGAACAUGAUUAUUAGAUCAAUUCAUGGGUUAUUAGAUCACUAAUGUGUGUGUGUAUAUAUUAUUUUAAAAAUAAAAAAAUAUAUUAUAUUUUUAACCUAAUUAGUCCCAUCAAUUAAAUUCAAGUAAAAUAAUGAUUGUUAUUAUUAUUUAUUUAAUUACAAAUCUAACAUGUCAUAUAGUAUAACCUUCCAUUUGUUUUUUUUUUAAAUAUCAAAAUAAUAUUAUUUUAUUUUAAAAUUAAUGAGUUAAUUAAUUUGCAUUAAUUAUUUAUCAGACGAAUUCGAGUUUUACAACAAAUCUAUAGAUUUUGAAACAACCCAUUAAACAGAACCAAACUUGAUGAAUCACGUUCACAAAACAUGCACGAUGGAAAUAAUACACGUAUACGAUGUUUAAUAUUUUCCUAAAUAGAAAAAAAAGUAAAAACAUCAGGUGUACCCGUUUGCACAAUAUUCCCAAAUCCCACUCAAUCCCCCUCCGCCACAUCAAAAAUCCAAUUCACACGUCACCCAAAAUCAAGCUUCCUUCCACGUGUCAACCUCCAACUGGGUUCAUUACUUUAACAACAAGACUCUUCAGCAAAAACAUAAAACACGUGGCACUUAACGACCGGGACUGGAGACAAGUAGGAUCCACACACUCGUCCACAUAGAAAUUAAAGCUAUGUGUCAACUCGCUCUCUAUCCUUUUAAACUCACUCACUGAGUCACCAUAACGAAAACUCGCUCUCUUUAGGUUUUUAUAAAAUCCGAGAAAACCCCCCCUCUCUCUGAGAAACGCCAUGACCCUGGGGUUUUAUCUCCUCUCUCUCUUCUCCUCUCUCGCUCUCUCUCUCUAGACAGAUCUCUCUGAUCAGGUAAAUCUCCACCGUCCCUUUCCUUUCCCUUUUCCCCUAAAAAAUUUCAAAGAUUUUUCUGAUUAUUCAAAAUGUAAAUGUUCAAUUUUUUUUAAAUUUAAGAGAUUUGUUUUUUAAUUUCCGCUGUCUAUCCUCUCUGCAUGCAUUGAUUUUUUGUGAAAUCCUUAGUUACUGAAAUAAAAAUCUGCACAUGUCUUUAUGUUUUUAUGCGGAAAUUACUGAAAAUGAUCGAAAUUAGUGCUAAUUAGUUAUUAGAGUAAUUUUAUUUUGAUGAUUUUUGUGUAUAAGAGUAAUUUAGGGCAUUUUAAAUGAGGAUAAUUAGUGUUUAGUAAAUUUUAUAUGGUAGAAUUUUUUGAGUAUUUAUGUUAGAGUGUAAGCACGCCUGUUGCGAUUGCUGAACAAUGGAGUUAUUAUCGGGAUUUUGCGGUUGCUAGGGUUUUAGUAAUUUGUGUUUAGGAGAGCUGUUUAGGGGUUUUAGAUAGCGAGUUAAGAAUUUAGAGGUUUGAAGGAACUGAUUUUUUUUUAGUGUGUUUUUGAAGUGGAUUGAAUUUCCUGUUGAUUCUGCUGGAAGCUUGAAGUUGAAAGUGAGAGAAGGAGAACAAUGUGUAGCAAUGUACGAGUUUUUAUUCUUGAAAAGCAGAAUUUUUGUUAAAUUUGUGGUAGUGCUGAAAAGAUGAUCAGAAUUUAGAAAUAAAAAUAACGGUAUUCUAUGAGUGAGCUUAAUAAAUUGUGUUUAUGUUUGUGGGUUUUUUUAUUUGUUUAUUAAUCGUAGGGGUUGGAUCCUAAACUUGAGGGUUUUUUUUUUUUGUUUUUUCUGUUGAGGUCAGGUGUUUUUAAUUUUAUGGGAGAGCAUAGACAACGGAGAUAGAUUUUUGUUUCGUUGCAUAUGUAUACAAAACGUUCUGGUCAAGGAGAUGGCCCAGUUGCAAGGCCUGUGCGGACUAGUGAUAGGCUUAGGAGAAGACCAAAAGUGUUUAGCCGGACAUACUUGUAUUAUACCCCAAGCAUUAUCCGGCCUAGGAAAGGAAAAACGAAGACGAGGACUGCAGCUUCUCGGAUUGCCAAGAUGUUGGGUAACCGGGCAGUGCGGGCUGCAAAUGCUAAUGUAAGUGUUCAUAUCUCCUUUAACUUCAUUUCUCUUUUUGUUUAUUCUUCUGUCUUUGGGACUUUUUCAUGGAGGCUGAACAUGCUAUUAUGAUGAGUUUAUAGAAUAUUUUUCCUCUCUUAAUGCUAAUUAUAUUACUCCGUGAUUCCCUAUUCUUAUUAAUGUUAUAUGUUCUAAAAUAUGACAUUAUGUUGUUUCUGAUUCUCUCGCAGUCAGUUCCAACCAAUCUUCGACGCUCAACAAGAAAGAGGAGGCUUUCUGCUCAUCUUGAAGAUUACACGGAUAGUUCUGGAUCAGAGGAUGAAGACUUGAUGGUUAGAAUCUAUACUCUUGCAAGCCCUCAGUUUUUGUGUAUACAUGUUACUAUAGUUUUUCUCAACUUCUAAGGGCUUAGGUUUUAGAUGGUAAAAAUGAUUUGUUCUCCAUUUUCCACUUCAUGUAAAGCUUUGGGUAACAUUAUUUUUCAGAGACCUGCAUUUCGACCUUUGAGGAAUCGGAUUCAUAAUAGUGCAAGUCAAGAUGAGUUAUCAUCUUCCAAGCGUAAACAAAUUGUGGAGACUAAAUCAACACCUCGACGUGAAGGAUUGCGGCCCCGUCGUUCAAGAACAAUCAAAACAGAGCCAUUGGCUUUAGACUCUGGGGAUGAGCAAGAUACUUCUGAGGAGAAGGCUGUCGAAGAUGAGACUGAAAAUGGGAACGAUAUUGAUGAUAAUGAUGCAGAUGAUGGUCAGAAUGAUGAUGAGGGUGAUGGAGAGGGUGAGGACGAAGGCGAGGAAGAUGAUGAUGAAGGUGAAGAGGAGGAGGAGGAACAGGAUGGAAGGAGGAGAUAUGAUCUCCGAAAUCGCGCAGAAGUCCGUAGGCUCUCUAUGGAGGAAGGUAAGCAAAGACCACGAUCUCCUCGAAGGGUAUUGCAUCAAGGAAUGGGAACAAAGAUCAAUAGGGAUGUAAGGAAGGGGGGAUCAAGGGUUCACAAGCAUCAUCGUCUAACAAGAGCAGAAGAUUCUGAUGAUUCCCUUCUUGUGGAUGAGCUAGACCAAGGUCCUGCUAUUCCUUGGGCUCGAGGUGGGAGCAGAUCUGGACCACCUUGGCUCUUAGGGGGACUAGAGAUGCAUGGGACGACAGCAUGGGGACUGAAUGUUGCUGCAUCUGGUUGGGGCCAUCAAGGUGAUGCCUUAGCAAGCUUGACUUCUGGUGUGCAAACUGCUGGCCCUAGCUCUAAGGGAGGGGCAGAUAUCCAACCUUUACAGGUUGAUGAGAGUGUAAGUUUUGAUGACAUAGGUGGGCUUUCAGGAUAUAUUGAUGCUCUGAAGGAGAUGGUUUUCUUUCCCUUGUUAUAUCCAGAUUUCUUUGCCAGUUAUCACAUUACCCCGCCAAGAGGGGUUUUGUUAUGUGGUCCUCCUGGUACUGGGAAAACUUUAAUUGCCAGGGCACUAGCAUGUGCUGCUUCAAAAGCUGGCCAGAAGGUUAGCUUUUACAUGCGCAAGGGUGCUGAUGUACUCAGCAAAUGGGUUGGUGAGGCUGAAAGGCAAUUGAAACUUCUUUUUGAGGAGGCGCAAAGGAACCAGCCUUCCAUCAUCUUCUUUGAUGAAAUAGAUGGACUUGCUCCUGUUAGAUCUAGCAAACAAGAGCAGAUUCACAAUUCUAUUGUUUCUACUCUGCUUGCAUUGAUGGAUGGUCUGGAUUCUCGUGGACAAGUUGUUUUGAUUGGAGCAACCAACAGAGUUGAUGCCAUUGAUGGAGCCUUGCGUCGCCCUGGUCGGUUUGAUCGAGAAUUUAACUUUCCUUUGCCUGGUUGUGAGGCCCGUGCUGAAAUAUUAGACAUUCACACCCGCAAGUGGAAGCAUCCUCCUUCAAAGGAGCUAAAGUCAGAACUGGCAGCUAGUUGUGUCGGCUAUUGUGGUGCUGAUUUAAAGGCAUUAUGCACUGAAGCUGCCAUCCGUGCUUUCCGGGAAAAAUACCCUCAAGUUUACACAAGUGAUGAUAAGUUUGUGAUAGAUGUUGAUUCUGUAAAGGUUGAAAAGUAUCAUUUUGUUGAAGCCAUGUCCACAAUUACCCCUGCAGCUCAUAGAGGUGCUGUUGUGCACUCUAGGCCAUUGUCUUUAGUAGUCGCACCAUGUCUGCAAAGUCAUCUCCAUAAAGCCAUGAAUUGCCUAUUCGAUAUAUUUCCACCUCUUGCUGUGUCAUCCGAGUUUAUCAAACUUUCUAUGCUUUCCUAUGGAUCUGCAAUUCCUCUUGUGUUUAGGCCACGGCUUCUGCUUUGUGGUUGUGAAGGUUCUGGUCUGGUAAUUAUCUUUUAACCAUUCGAUCUUUGAAUAUUGAUCAUUAUGUAAACACCGAACUAAGAGUACUUACUGAUUUAGUUUAACAGGAUCAUCUUGGGCCUGCAGUGUUACAUGAACUGGAGAAAUUUCCUGUUCAUUCUCUUGGACUUCCAUCUCUGCUUUCAGAUCCCAGUGCAAAGACACCAGAGGAAGCAUUGGUGCACAUAUUUGGUGAAGCACGGAGAGCAACGCCAUCUAUCCUUUACAUACCUCAUUUUGAUCUUUGGUGGGAUAACGUAAGCACAUGCCUCCCUCUGCUAACUUUAGGAAAAUGCAGUAAAAUUUUUGUUGUAUCACAUGCACUGUUUUUUCCCCUACAAAUUCAAGGGAGUCAUUCAUGUUCUUGUGUCUAACCUGAAACAAUUGACCAUGCUUGCUUAAACUUUCUGAUUUUUGAGUGAUGUAUUUUUGAUUAAGCACCUUAAAGUCAAUGAUCUCAUUGCAUCAUCCUUUUUCUGAGCUUUACGAACUUGAUGUUGCAGGCGCAUGAACAGCUCAGGGCUGUUCUUCUCACUUUAUUAGAAGAAUUGCCGUCAGACUUACCCAUUCUAUUACUUGGAAGCUCUUCAUCUCCACUUGCUGAAAUUGAUGGUGCAUCCUUGGUAUUUCCCCAUCGUUCAGCGUACGUUUUAUUUUUGAAAGCAAUUGUCUGUUGCAAUCCCUGUACUGCUUUUAAUCAUUAUGAUGUAACUUUUCUAGCUAGUAAUGUUGCUCUUAAAUUUAAAUUCUUUACUUUAAACAUCAUUUUAAUAUCAUACUUUAGACAUCCAUUCUUGUUUUUCCAAAGUAAGAUUAUGUUACAAAUUUGCCCAAACAGAAAGGACUAUCUAACCUUAUUAUGCUUAUAUUAAGACUUCUUGGAAUCAUUGUAAUCCACCAUAGCUGAUAGGAAGACAAUCUUUAGGCAUCAAAAGGCUUUCAAUGCAAGCUUGUAUAAUACCCUUUAGUCCUUUUCUCUUGCUUUUAAAUGGAUGCAUGGCAUUCCUUUGGUGCCUGCAAAGACCCUGUUUCCUGGUGAGCCAUUUUUACAUAAUCAUGAUGACAAAUAAUUUCCUUCUUAAAUCCAGUAUUUUGUUUAUAUAUUAAAUUUCUGUUGUCAGCUAUCAAGUGGGGAAACCAUCAACUGAAGACAGAUCUUUGUUCUUUGACCAUUUAAUUGAGGCUGCCUUAUCAGUUGUGGUGGAGGACGUGACCAAGAAAUCACAAGGAUCUGCACCCCUUCCUGAACUUCCCAAGGCACAAAAAGUGGCAAGUGGCCCAAAGGCCUCAGAGUUAAAAGCCAAGAUAGAAGCUGAGCAGCAUGCUCUACGCCGAAUGCGCAUGUGCCUCAGAGAUAUUUGCAACCGGUAAGACCAUAGUCCCAGUCUUUUGGGUAGAAGAUCGGUAUAUAAUGUUGACAUCACACUUGUGGUUUUACCCCAAACCACAUUUUACCCCAAAAUGAUGUGAUUUUACUGCCUUAAUGCAACAAGAAAUUUUAUAAUUAAUACUGUAGUUGUAGUUUAAAUCACAUUGAAAUGGUCUAAACAAAACACAGAUAUGGUAGAGCUUGGUACUUCAAAGCAAUGCAAUAAGGAAUUUGCUUCUUCAUGCAACAAGAAAUUUUAAAUUUGGAUUGUUGUUUCACUUUGUAUCAUUGUUGAAAUGGUCUCAAUUUAGUCCAGCAUGUGGGUUCUAAUAAAAUGCAGACGUCAUGGAGCAUAUUUCACUUCGUCUAGUUAAUUAAAGCCAAAUGCAGAUUGUUAAAAAAAAGUUGGUGAGCUUGGAAUUGGUACUCCUAUGCCUUUCGCACAGGCAAUACCCAUGACACUCUUGAAUCUCUUAUCUUUUGAACAAAUCAAAUCUAAUUUUUAUUGAAUAGAAUCAAAUUUCAAAAUAAAUGAAGAGGAUGGUAGAGUAAAGUAUGUGGUUACAAACCAAAGAGAGAUGGGAGGAGCUAGAUGAGAGAUAUAGUGAACGAUUUAGAUCCAGAAGAGAAUGAAAUCAAUGAAAAGUUGUCUGGGUGAGGGAUAAGGUCAAGAAAGGGCGAGUAGACUGUAUGUCUCUGUGCACUCGCAUGUGAGAGAGAGGAGAGGGGUUUCCUAGCAAGGUCUGGUAUGUUGUCUGCAUUUGAAAUUACAUCACCCUAUGAUCAUCCCACUCCAUUGGUUGUUACAGCACAUGUUUCUUGUUACAUACAAGCUGGUUGUCUCUGUCCAGUAUUUGUGCUUCCUUUCACUGUUUACACUUAACAUUCUAACUUCUUUGCUGCAGGAUGUUGUAUGACAAACGAUUUAGUGCCUUCCAUUAUCCUGUCACUGACGAGGAUGCUCCAAACUAUCGCUCUAUAAUCCAGAACCCUAUGGACAUGGCUACCAUGCUGCAGCGUGUUGACUCUGGUCAAUAUAUCACAUGCUCAGGAUUCCUGCAAGACAUUGAUCUCAUUGUGACCAAUGCAAAGGUGUGUUUUGUUCCUAGCUUCAUUUAAUUCUAUUUCUAGGUUCUCCUUUCAUUGAAUAAUUUAACACCACUAUAACUCUGGUCAGUGCAUCUAUUUCAUGCUUAAAUUUGGCGUGCAUGUUUCUAAUAUAGGUGUACAAUGGAGAUGAUUACAAUGGAGCUAGGAUUGUCAGUAGAGGUUAUGAGCUUCGGGAUGCAGUAAGUUUCCAUGCCUUUUGGUUUUCUAUGAUUUUUCCUCUCAUCUUGUCCUAUCACCUAAAGCAUCAUUUGAUGAAUCCCUUUUCAUAAUAUUUUACAGGUGCAUGGAAUGUUGUCACAGAUGGACCCUGCGCUUGUCACUUACUGUGACAAGAUUGCUGCUCAAGGGGGUCCUGUACAAAUACCAGAUGACUUAGGGGGAUCUAUUUUCCCUUCAACCCCAGUUGUGCAGCUUGGAACAGUUACUAGAACAAGUGCCAGGCUACGCAAUGUCCAGCCUGAUGUUAAUCUGGAUCAAAGCUACGAGGCCUUGAAAAGGCAGAAGAAAAAUGCUGAUGCUGCUCAUGCUGGUAUGUUCAUCGGUAAAGCUAUAUACUUUGUCCUUGUGAUAUUGCUGUUUGUUUUUCCCACCUAUCUGAAAGAUGUCUUGAAACAUGUCAAGUUGCAAGACACAUUUUACAUGUUGAAUUUUGGUGCGGAUACUGAUGUAAUAGAUCAGUAGCAAGUAAAACUAAUAUCAGCCAUCGACUUCUUGUAUAAUAGACAUGACCUGUUCGUAGUUCAUGUUUUUAAAUUUCCUUUCCUAGUUAGAAAAACCUCUUGUAAAUAUUGACAAUUAAAUCCUGAAGCCAGAAAUCCGAAUUUUUCUAUUCAAUAUAUGAAUUUGAUCUCACAGCCCAUAUUCCAAACUAGCAUUCUCUUCAGCUUGUGCCCUUUAUCUGAAGUUUUUAACUCCUAAUUUUCCUAGAUUUGUUAUAUUUAAUGUUAUUCUUUGACUGAACUCUUUAAUUUGCCAUGAUCGCUCUUUGGAUACAACUCUCUGAUCAUUUUAUACUUUCAUGAAAAACAGCUUCAACAGCAGAAGAUAAAUCACGGCAUCAGGAUUCAGUGCAGGCAAAGCUGCCAGAGGAAGCCGGGGCAGAUGAUAUGAAUCCAGACAGACCUGAGUCCUCUUCAGCCGAUGACAGUCGACAUGAAACUUCAGGAGGAGAAGCUUCUGGUCAUACCGAAGGGAGUGGAUCCCAAGAUGUUACAAUGUCAGAAGCCGAAGUAUCAAGCCACGUGGAUUACGUCAAGCGGCUUUUCGUGGAGCGCACUGAAAAUUAUGGCAUUCCACUGCUUGAAAGGCUCUACACUCGUAUAAUGAAGGGAAUCUUCGAAACCAAGGACAAAGGAGUCGAAGAUGAUGGCCCCAGAUACUCAAUUUUGAGGUUUUUGGUGAAAUUUGCAGAGAAUACUGCAAACUUCUGAACUCAAUACCUUUUCCCCUUAAAACCAGAGGAUAAAAGAAAAAUGAAAAAUGAACCCAAAAAAAAGAAAUCUUGCAGGUAGCUGAUGUAAAGUCGGGAUUUUCUUUUCAAUGCAAAAAAAUUAGAGUGAAAGCAGUCUCUCUCUCUCUCUCUCUCUUUACCUCUCUCUCUCUUUACCUCUCUCUCUCUCUCUCUCUCUCUCUCCCCCCCAGAGUACAGUUUCCAUAAACUUAUUUGACCUCACAAGCUGUCAAGCUCCAUGGUUUUGUUAUGGCUGGUGGCAAAUCCGAUGUGGCAUUCUUUUACAGGGAGGACUAAGUGGGAUUUGAAUCUCAGCAAAAGCAUCGCUGGUAUAAAUUAGUCUCUUUCUGAUUGACACUAUUCUUGAAUAUUUUUUCAUAGUUUCCAAGAUGUUUGUUUAAUAUCUUCAACUUCAAACUACUCAGAGAGAGAGACAGGAGACGAAAGGGUAUUCAAGCUAUUAUUUUAUUUAAUUUAAAACCAAGUAUUUUUUCGGAGAAUCAAAAUUAUGAUAUUAAGUCUGAAAACUAUUUAUUUUAUUUUCAACAUUUAAAACUAAAUCUAUAUAAAAAAAACUAAAAAAAAAACAUGCUGCUAAAAUAGGAGACAAGUUAAAAAAUAGAAAAUGCAGCGACUCAAGAAACAAGAAGAAAAACAGAUGGGAAGGCGCCAAGCCCUCAAUUGAUACUUAUGUGGGCCGUUCUAAAACAGAAGCCCUGAUUGGAUCAUUUCUUGUCGUAUUUCCCUCCGAGUCUUCUAACUCCUCAAGGUGUUGUCUCAAUACAUUACUAGGUUUAACAUCCGGGGCCGGGCAAGCCUCGUUGUUAAAUUCCUUUUUUUUUUUUUUUAAGUUUUAACUAGCCGACUAUUGAAUUAUUUUUUAAGAAACAUAAAGAGUAAGGGUAUUAUCAACGUAUUUUUUAGUAAACAAAAUUAAUUAUAAACUGAAUAUAUAUAUAUAUAUAUAUAAAAAGAUAUAUAUAUAUAUAUAUAUAAAGAUAUUUAAAAGUAUGAUAAUGAUUGUUUUUUAAAGUGAUUUUUGUUUGGAAAUAUAUUAAAAUAAUAUAUUUUUUAUUUUUUUAAAUUUUGAUACUAGUAUAUAAAAACGAUUUAGAAACAUAAAAAAAUAUUUUUCUAUAAAAAAUUAAAAAUUUUCCGCUCCCAUUUGAAAUAUAAUGCCAAACAGGGUUGUUUUUGCCUCACCAUUCAAACUUGGUAUAACAUCUCAGGCUGAAGUUGUGCUUGGGCCUGCCAAAGAACUUUUAAUAUGGGCUUGUUCCUUUGCUUCUUUUACUGAAGCUAAUAAUUCCUCUCGAUCUUGGCCCACAUGUUUGCCUUUAGGCCCCUCCGGCCUUUUCGUUUGGGCCUGUGGUCUAGCUUCGGUAUUCUUUAGUUUGAUACUCUGACCCUUCUUAGGGCUUCAAAGUCGAUUCCUUUAUUUUGGCUGUCCAUCCUCGUAAUCAUUUAUGGUUCCAAGAUUCUCGGCACAAACAAUCUCUGCGCCAUUUGUUUCCUUAUCUGAAUCCUGUAAACCGUGAAACGAGAUUCCAUUGCCGGACUGUUUCCUCCGGUCCUCUCCUGAAUAUUUAUCCCGUUACCAUUAAUUUUUAAUCUUUGAAUACCAACUAUAUCACCUUCAAGGAGAGUGUCUAAAAACCUCCACCGAAAAUUUAUAGUUAAAAAAUAUAUGUGAGAAAUAUAUUAUUUUUAUUUUAAAAAAUAAACUUAUAUUUUUAUUGAUGGUUAUGCGCCUUGAGGUGAUUCAAGUGAUAAUUAUAGAGGGAGUUUUUAGAAGGAACAUGUUUAGGAAGUGAUAUUAAAAUAUUUGCUUUGAUCGCUUGAUAACUUUGAGUGGAUAAUUCUAUUUUGAUUCAAAGGAGUUAUAAAUUCUUAAAACACACCAAAUGAAAGUAGGUUGAUCCCUUAUAGGAAAAUAAUUUCACUUGAAAGGUCUUUCAUGCUAGUUGUUUUUGUAAAAAUAAAGAGGCCAAUGUUGUAGCAAAUUAAUCUUUUUUACCUAUAUGUGAUUUUUCAUAACUUGCUUAAAUUUGAGCAAGUUUUUGUCAGAUAAAGCAUAAAGUUUUUUUUAGAGAGCAUGUUUUUCUACUUCUUUUAUCAAGGCCUCUAAGGCUACAAGCUAAGGCUACAAGUUCAAGCAUUUUUUUCCCUUUAAAUAUCUUUCCAUUAAACCACUUUAAAUAUAUCUAUGUAAACUAACUCUCUUAUUGAAUAACAUAGAAUAGCUUUGUAAAUUUUUUCCUGACUGACAAGUAUGUUGGUGUUGAAGUAUACCACUCGCUUGGUAUAGAAGUUAUUGAACCCUUUCAUAUAGUUUGAGUGCAAAUUAUAAUACAAUGCACACGUAGACCUCUAGAAAGUUGUGGGGAGAAUUUUACGUAUUGAAUCAUUAUUUUAGAUAAUCAAUUCUAAAUUAUCGUGCAUAUUUUGCAUAUGCUACUUCAGAUUAGCCAUGCCAUCAUAAAUUUCUGGAAGAUACUGAUCUUGUCACAAAAUAAUGCUAGCUACUAAGAAGAUAUAUACUGAUCUUGGCACAAAAUAAUACUAGCAACUAAGAAGUUUCCUAGCUGAUUAUACGAUACAACUUUGGGCCCAAGAAUAUAUAUCUAGUGGAGAUCAUUUCAUGAGCUCAAUCAAGCCAAUCAAGCCCUUCACUUUCCAGCAAAUGAAUCUUUGCAAAUAUUUGCCUUUCUGUAACUAUUUAGACCUUUAAGUGACAACUAGGAAUAGGAAAAUGAAAGACCAGGUUGAUAAUUAGGGAAAUUCUAACCCUUUUACACGGCGUAAUUAAGCUAUAGCAAAACAGCAUCCUGUUCACCUUCUCAAACCCCCCCCCCCCCGGUUUCUUUCCUUGAGAAACAGUUUAUCACUCCUGUGGCGUAUGGGAUGAUGUCAAUAAGAAGGCACUUGUGUUCAAUUGGACCGAAUUUAAAUUUUUUUUAGGAGCUUAUUUUGCGGAAUCAGAUUAUCACGUUUUUUUUGUUUGACCUACCAGUCUAAUCUUGGUUUAAUGACGCUGCUUCAUAUACUUUUCUUAGGCUAAAUUUUCAGUCCAUUAUUAAAGUUUUCUCAAGUCAUUGCCAAUGAAAACAUUUUUCUCCUUCUGGACUGUGCAUAACUUCUAGCAGGAAAUAGAGAAUCUCUCGUUGCGAUUUCUGUCAUUAUCAAUUGUGCUUGCCUUUUCUUCUUUGAGUAUUUUGCUAUAUCUACCUUUUAGUCCCUUUGCUCUAUUUAAGGAAGCAGCAUUGGAGGCCAUUUUUCAGAGAAUUAGCUCUCUAAAACGAAAGGGAAACUACUUCGUUAUAUACUUCGAAGAUGGUGCCGCAUGGGUUCAGGUUCAAUCCCACUGAUGAAGAGCUCAUCCAAGUCCUAGACAGAAAAGCUUCUGGCCAAGAAAUGCCACUUCAUUUCAUUCUCGAAAGAAAUGUUUACGAGCGUGAACCACAGGAUCUUGAAUGUGCGUAAUAUGCACUAUGUAUUUCUUUGUUCUACUGCAUAUAGGGCUCGUGAUUUUUCUUCCCUUUUCUUUGCAAUAAUGGUAUAGUGGAAAUGAUUUUUUCAAGCUUUUUUGCAUUUAUACUAUAUGGUACAAAUUUCAGGCUACCUAUAUAUUUUCUAGGGUUCAAGUUUAGAGGGAUAAUAUCAUAUUCCAUGAUCUUGUCCAUCCAUUGAAAUUUACAGUAUCAAUGUUGAGUUUAUGUUAGUUUCUAUAUACCUUACUAUGAUAACUGACUGCUUAAGUCAGAUCUCUUUAACAAUAUUGUUACAUGCAGGGAAUCAAACCGCUCCUUUAAGCAAUGGUGAGAGAUACUACUAUUGUACGAGGGAGACAAACUAUUCGAGGGAAGUACUCGGUCGAGGAUGGUGGAAAGCUACGAGCCAUGUCAAGAAAAUACAUGCUAAUAAUGAUGAUCAACUUCUUGUGGGGAACAAGAGGCCUUUAAAAUUCCAUAGGUUCAAGGACAAUGAAAGAAAUCGCAAUAAUGCCGUCAAGACUAAUUGGAUCAUGUAUGAAUACAGCCUUGAAUCAAGAACCACGGUACUAGUUUUAAUAUUUUUGCGUGCACAGUUCUAAGUUAGUUAGUCUUAAUUAAUUAUAUGCAUCUUCUUCUGUUUGUUUCAUUUGUCCUACUUUCAUUUUGUUAGGAUUGGAGGCUUUGCAAGAUUAAGCAUAAGGGGAAACCAAGCGUGCAAGAAGAGAUGGAGAGUAUGAGGGAACAAUAUUCAUCGAGGAAUGAUUUCGAAGCCGGUAGUUCGACCAAUUUUGUUGGUGGGCAACAGCAACAGGAACAAACCUCACUGCCUACAAAUUAUGAAGGAUACGAUCAUCAUCAAUCCUAUUAUCAAUGGAACAAUAUGCAGCAGUCACCACCAUCUCCAUAUGAUCCUUCUCUACCGGCACCACCGAGUACUAGUAGUGGUCACUAUUAUGUGGAGCAGCAAGAGAAGUUAGAGCCCAGUGAUGAGCACCCAUUUCCUAGUCUUUGGUCUUGGACGAACUAGGAUUUUGUUGCAUCUAAAUCCAGGUUGCUAUGAAUGUAAGAAAAAAUUGCUUGUGCAUGUUUAGGUAUAGGGAAGGAUGUCUCGUUGCCUUUCUGUUACUGUAGUCAUUAUUGCUAUGUUAGAAAUAAAUACGAUUGUUCAGUACUUGUUUAUCCUCUAUCUUGGUUCCCUCAUUUACUACGUACGUUGUACUUCUUUCUUGGUGCUAAAAAUUGUAGCCAUACCGAUUAACUACCCUUCAUACAUGCUAAAAUACAUUGAUGCUACUAUUUUGGUAAAAAUGGGGAAUAUCCUUUGUAGCCAAGUUAGGAUAUCAACAGAAACUAAAUACACAUUUGUUCAAACAAGAAUCAACAUCUAUUCAUUUUUUUUAUUUGAUAUUUGUUGUGAAACCUGCAACAAUAAUGAUGGAUAUUAUACAAGAAAGAAAACAAGAAAUUAAAAUACACAAAUUCAAUGUUGUUCAGCAAUAUUAUUUCUAUUGAUAUUCACAAGAAUCAUGAAUUUUAUUUCAUUAUAUGUCAAAUUAGAGUUAAAUAAUGUGUAUUUAUAGUAAAUCCCAGUCACUCUAGGGAUAUCAAUAAUUUUUAAUAAUAUCUAUUUAUCAUACCACGGGGGUGUUGGAUCCACACCCUCAACCUAUCAAUCAUUUCGCUGCCCUUGUUUUAAUGCAACAUUGUUUAUAAGCUAUAAACUGCAACGACAUUUAUAGAUAUUCUUGGAUCUACAUCAACUGAAAUUAAGUUCUCUAAUCAAACAACCUUAAAGAGAAACAUGUGAUCUAGCGUAAUAUAUUUUAAGGAUAAUGAAAAAAUAAUGUAAUUUUCUUAAAAGUUAUUGACAUACAAAUUUUUUUUGUAUAGUGAAGUAUAGGUCACACUGUACUUAGCUAGGUUGUAUGUUUGUAAUACUUGUAAACAAACAUCAAUCAAUCGGCUACAUAGACCUAAUUGCAUUAGUUCCAACCCUUUUUAUUUUUACAAAAAGAAAUAUACUUUUCUUUUAAGUUUUUGACGUACAGUACAUUCGUAUUGUGAAUUAUCAUACUAUCGGUUAUAAAGUUCGUAAUACUCUUACAUCAAGACUUUAAGUAUGAAUAUGUACGGAUAGAUCAAUUGAAUCCAUUGAGUGAAGGAGGAUUUUAAUGUUCAUAUUAACAAAUUUAAAUAUCGUAAUUCUUAUUCUCUUUAAGAAGUAACAUUUAGAUUCCGCUCUAAUUCGCAUUGUUGAAUUUUGCAGGGUCAAAAUUCACGCAAAUGAGUAAUAUUCCUACACAUAACUAUCAAUCUAACAUCGUCCACUUACUUGCUGCUAGCUACAUGUGGAAUGAAUGCCAAUGAGUGUUGUAUAUAUGUACAGUGAAAAAUGUGAAUGCAUCCUUCCGUUCAUACUAAUUUAGCUCUAGGAGUCAAAAGGUACGUGGAUUUUUGUUAGAUUUCAAUGAGUGAAAAGGAAACAAGAGCAAGUACCCAUGCAUGUACAUUCAUUGAUGAUGAUGGUCAAUAAAUACCUUAAGCCGACAGUAGAAGGUGCAUGGAAUAUGGAAAUGAAUGUGAGUGAUAUAAUCCACAAAUCAUCUGUAAAAGUGUACUGGCUAGUAUUGUCAAAUACUAGCAAUAUUAGCAAAUAAUUCGUGUUCCUAUAUAUCCAACUGGUAGCCAACAAGCAACCUUUACACUAACCCGAAAGACAAUAUUUGAUGAGUGGUUAGAGGGUACAAUGAAAAGGAGAGAGACCUAAGGGGAAUGUCCUCUUACACGCGCUAAUUAAGGUAUGAAACAUCCUUAAUCGGGUUUUACUUUUCCUGAGUUCAAGAUGAUUGAAAAGACCCCAAUGUUGAUUGGAACAAGGAAUAGGAACAGUCGGUCAUCAUGGAAUAAGAACAGUGCUGGUGUAGAAAAUAAUAUUAAUUAUAUUUUGAAAUAUUUAAUAAUUUAAAUUAUUGAAUUGAAAUGAUUUUUUAAUAUAAUAUAAAGUCUUGAUAUUAAAUAGUCAUAAGUUUGAAUUCUUAUUUAUUUGAUAAAAAUUAAACACAAGAUAGUGUGAAUAUAUAUAAAUUUCAAGUUUAAAAACUUUCACUUAAAGAGGUAUGUUUGAGAAUAAUAUAAAUUAAUUAAAAUUUUAUUUAAUAUCUUUAAUUAUUGAGUUGAGAUGAUUCUUCUAUGUAGAGUUUGAUGCAAAGCUUGAAGGUUUCUUUAUAGCAAAUGUAACAGGGCUGGUGCAAGUAAAACCAACCCUCAAUGCUCCUCCAUUCACCCAGGUGGCUUCAGAUAAAAGCCAUUGUGGUGCUUUAAAUGGCCUCGUGAGUAGAGGUCAUGUCGAGUUUUGAUAGCAUUAGCUUCUCGUGGAGGAGAACUAUUUUUGGGAUUCGUUUAAUUGCCAAUAUUCUUCUAUCUUUCAGUACAGUAUACAGAAUUUUAUUAGUUCAAGGAAAGACACCAUAGAUUCACAUGGAUUUCAACAACUGUUUAGAGCAACAAACAAAAUACACAGAGGGACUGCACAAACAGCGUAGCAGUACUGUGGCCUAAAUGAAUCAAGAGGUGCGGAGGGAACCACAGUUCAUAGGAAAACAAAAUCAUGAAAUGGCAACAACAAAGUUUUUUAUUCAGCAGCAUGCCAAGAUUGAUACAGUCAAUGCAAUACCAAAAGGGGGCAUCCUUCAUGAAAAACAAAACCAUGCCAUCCAACAGGCACGUGUAGGGCCAACCGCUCAUGCAAAUGCAUAUACAUUUCCCAUGCAUCUGCUACAUCCAUGGCUAUUAAUGAAGUCAUUGAAGAACCACUUGCCUUAAAGUCCUUUGUAUCUACUGGGGCCAAGAAAACGACGUAACAAAAAAUUCAGACUCAAAACAAGUAACAAGCUGGAAAAGGCCCACAUGACAUGAGAAUUGAGAUAGAAACUACGAAGCUAUGCCAGCAUCAACACCUUCUUAGUCAUUCAUGUCAUAAAGAUAUUAAAUAGAAUCAACUUCAUAACAUCAUAGUAUCAAUUCCUUGAUUGCCUAUAUAGCACUAAAAUCCUACCUCCUUUUAAAGACAGACAAAACCAUGAACCUUAAUUCCAUUCCCCUUGAAAGAAAUACCAAAUAAAAACAUAACAAGAACUCAGAUUUUCACUUAUAUGGCACAAAUACAACGGUUGAACUUUAUCAUGUUCCUUUUCUUUUCCUGUUCUUCUUUCUAAGGAACAAAUACAUAAUCAAACAUGCAAUACAUUCACAUACUGCAUUAAUUAGAAGAUCACGUACAAACACAUAAAAGUAAUAACACUACAACAUUAUCCAGUUUUACCGACGGAUUAAUUCCGUCGGUGAUAGCAAUGAAAUCCGUCGGUGAAACCAAUACCGACGGAUUCACCGACGGAAGUGUUCCAUCGGUAAACCAGUCGUCGGUAAAUCCCAUUUCCGUCGCUAAUUCUGUCGCAAAUAAAAAAAACCAUCCACCGACGGAAACACCGACGGUAAUAUAGACGGAUACGCGCGCCAAAAAAAAUUCAUCGCGGGAACAUUACCGACGGCCAAUCCGUCGGUAAUUUUAAGGGUAAUUACCGACGGCAUCACCGACGGGUUUUCCGUCGGUAUUUAUGGCAUGGCUUGUAAUUUUGUUGCAACUCUCUGUGUAAUACCGACGGAUAUUAUCCGUCGGUCGGACGUUAAUCACCGACGAAUAUUAUCCGUCGGUGAUGCCAUCGGUAAAUAUGGCAUGGAUGGUAAUUGUUCGGCAACUCUCUGUUAAAUACCGACGGAUAUUAUCCGUCGGUAGGUAUUUGAAAUAUAUAUAAAAAAUAAUUUAUUAAUUGUAAAAAACAUUAAUAAACAAAUAAAAAUGCAUUAAACAUUAAAAAUGUAAAAGUAAUAAUAUUCAUUACAAAUUUAAUGUGUUUAAAAAACAAAAUUAAACUAGAAUAACGGCGGAGCUGGAGGAGGAGGCGGAGGAGGAGGAGGCUGGUUGUUCCCGGGACCAAACGGCCAAAAAGAAGCUGCACAAGUAUCGUCACCCAUCUUUGAUCUCAUCUCCAUGACUAUUUGACGGAGCUCAUCAUAAUUCGUCGAGAGUUGUUGAUAUUGUUGUUUCAACGCAAUGAACUCCUCAGACUGGGUGUUCGAUACUGAUGGAGAGCUUCCAACAGUUGAGACACUACGAGUCGAACGCAAGUUGUCAGCCGUAGUGUUGGAGAGCCCGUAGACCCUGUUUUUAUCGGGUCCACCAGACGAUCCCGCCUCCAUCCACAAAUCUGGAUCAAAAUCUGGAUGGGUCGACGGAUUGUCCCCAUAUCUCUCCCUCAACCGGCUAUUAUAGGUCUCCUGAAAAUUCCAUCGGUAAAAAAAUCAUCAAAUGCAAUUCAAGAUGCAAUUCAAGAAAAUAAUAACUUACAAAAUAAAAUGAAUGAACGAACAUACCACGAAGUGCUGAGCACGGUUGUCCACGAACUGCUGCACCCCUUUUUGGCGGUCUUGACUCCGCACAUGCGUCUCUAGAAACAGCUCCAUUGGACUCGGUUCACGUCCAAGAGACGCAGCCUGUAAUGCAAAAAUAGGUUGAAAGUUAAAUAUAUUAUAAGGAACGACAAAUUAAUUAUCGAUAUAUUUCAAUAAAAUUAAUCUUACCAUCCGCUUUGCAUGUGCGCUGAAUGGGACGGAUCCGCCAGUGUGCGUGGUCACCGAACCAUAAAUUUGCCGGUUCCGGUUGUCGGCGCCAGACUGUGAGCGCCGUGAGAACCGCUCUGAGGUCACGUGCUCAAUAUAUGCCGUCCAUAUUUCCCCCGAGAUGAAUGGCGGUUUGAAUUCCUGCCAAACCGCCACCUCAUUCCAUCCUUCAAGACCGUUAUCCCUCGCAUGUUUUUUUGAUUUUUUUUGGGUGUCAUACCAAAAAUCACGCAACCUACUUCCAUAGUAACAAAUUAGAAUUUAAAACAUUAAAUUAUAAAACAAAAAUAAAUAUUAUUUUUGAUGUUACCUAGUUGCCGCGUGAUUCUCCCAUACUCUCCUCACAACAUUGUUGUCCGCCCUAUCCCACUCAAAUUUGUUCUGUGUAUAUAAAUAAUUCAUAUAAAAUAAAAAUAGUACAAGAUAUAAAAUUAUAAAAAUCAUUUAUUAAAAAUAAGCUGGAAAUUAAAAAUUAACACCGACCUGAAAUCGCUUAAACCAUGCAUCGAUAUUAAGUUUCCACUCAGGAUGUUUGGAAACCUGGCUCCAUUGAAACAAUGGAAUCUCCAUCGACGAUUUAAACGCCAAUGUUAUAGUCCUUGCAGUCUCAAUGUUUGUAAACCUGAAAUUAAAUAAAAGUAGUAAUUAAUAUUAAUUAGUUGUUCAUAAAUUAUGUUAUAAGUAUAUAUAAAAAAAUCUAAAACCUAAACGAACUUACAUUGAGAGGUCAUCCUUCCAUUGUGCCUGGUACUUGCGGGUGAAUUGACCCCGCUGUGAAGGCACACCGCUUCUGCGCUGUGAAACCGCGCUAGAAGAGGCAGCAUCACAAGUUGGCGUAGAUUCCUCGCCGUGAUCAACACCUAAGGAUACGUCCUCCUCGCUGCUAGAAGAACUAGCUGCAACCGUCUUCUGACGACGUGCUGUAGAUUUCAUUCUACGCAUCUACACACAUGUAUACGAAUAAUUAACUUCGAUUAUUUAAAAAAAAAAUUCGACAGAGUCUCCCCUGUACUGGGGGGUCCCAAGUUGUCGACAAAAUCAUAUUACACUUCCAAUUUUAUUUCACAUCCCGAUCCAAUCAUCCUGGAUCUCAACCCAACUCAUCAUCAUCAACACAACAUUUUAUUCAAUAACAUCAUAUAGAAUUACAACUAUGAACAUUCAUUUAAUUAUUUUAUCCUAAAUUAAGAUAAACUAAUAAUUAAAUGCAAUUCUAUAUAUAUAAAUUAACAUUUUUAAAAUAAAUCAACAAUAACAAUUAUAUUUAUAAACUAACAUUUUUAAAAUAAAUCAAAAAUAACAAUUAUAUUUAUAAACUAACAUUUUUAACAUAAAUUCAACAAUAACAAUUAUAGCAAUACAAACAAUAAUAUCCUAAAUUAAGAUAAACUAAUAAUUAAAUGCAAUUCUAUAUAUAUAAAUUAACAUUUUUAAAAUAAAUCAACAAUAACAAUUAUAUUUAUAAACUAACAUUUUUAAAAUAAAUCAACAAUAACAAUUAUAUUUAUAAACUAACAUUUUUAACAUAAAUUCAACAAUAACAAUUAUAGCAAUACAAACAAUAAUAUCCUAAAUUAAGAUAAACUAAUAAUUAAAUGCAAUUCUAUAUAUAUAAAUUAACAUUUUUAAAAUAAAUCAACAAUAACAAUUAUAUUUAUAAACUAACAUUUUUAAAAUAAAUCAACAAUAACAAUUAUAUUUAUAAACUAACAUUUUUAACAUAAAUUCAACAAUAACAAUUAUAACAAUACAAACUAUAAUAUCAAAACUAAAAAACUAAAAUUAAUAAAUAAAAUUAAAAAACUAAAAAACACUACACAACACACAAAAUUAAAAAACAUUAUAUCAAUUCAAAAUAAAUUUGGGAAUAAAAAAUGCUUACCUUAAUAAUGUGUUGAAUUUAAGAUUUUAUCUACAAACAAUAUACAAAACAAAGAACACCAAAAAAAAUAAUCAUAAUUAAAAUAAAAAAAAUACAAAGAUAAAGAAAAAAAAAUACAUACCUUUUGAAACUAAACUUGAGAAGAAGAUCACACUUGAGAAGAGGAGAAGAGAAAGGGAGAAGAGGAAAGGAGAAGAGGAGAAGAGAAGUGAAAGGAGAAGAGGGGGAGAAGAGGAGAAGAGAAAGGGAGAAGAGGAAGGGAGAAGAGGAGAAGAGGGAGGAGAAGAGGGGGAGACGACGGGGGAGAAGAGGGAGGAGAAGAGGGGGAGACGACGGGGGAGAAGAGGGAGGAGAGGGAGGGGGAGACGACGGGGGGAGAGGAGGGGAGGGAGGAGACGGUGCGGGGGGGGGGGGGGGUGGGGGGCCAGUAUAUAUAGUGAAAUUCCGACGGAAUUACCGACGGCCCUUAAUUGCUGUCGGUGCGAUUAAUUUCCGUCGGUAAUUCCGUUGGAAAUUAAUUGAAAUGCGCACCAAAAAAGUUCGAAAAUCCCGCCAAACUUUUCGAUCCGUCGGUAAUCAGUCGGAAAUGCCGUCGGUGAUGUGCAGACGGGACACGUGUCAGACAUGCGUGCGGACAAUUCCGUCGGUGAUGCCGUCGGAAAGCCGUCGGUGAAUGUGGCAAAAUCCCGUAAUUUUUUUGCAACUCUCUGUGAAAUACCGACGGGUUAUAUUUCGUCGUUAUAGCCGUCGGUGAAUGUGGCAAAAUCCCGUAAUUUUUUUGCAACUCUCUGUGAAAUACCGACGGGUUAUAUUCCGUCGGUAUAUCCGUCGGUGAAUGUGGCAAAAUCCCGUAAUUGUUUUGCAACUCUCUGUGAAAUACCGACGGGUUAUAUUCCAUCGUUAUAUACGUCGGGAAACCCGUAAUUUUUCUUAAUUUUUAUAUGUAACCCUCUCAAAAAAUCUUGAAUUGCUAACUAAAAAACACACACAACACAAUAACAACGGCUGACCCUUAAAGAAGAAUAAAUAUUUCAUGUUUCAAAUUAUUACAUUAUAAAAAUAAGGCUUUAUAACAUGUUUAGUUAGUCGGAAUUUUCAUCUUCGUCCUCCAUUGAAUUGUUAUCAUCAGCUUCAUCGCACUCUUCAAUUUCGUUAUCAUCUUCUUCAACAACAUUCUUUUUUCCACUAGUGGAGCUCAGAACAACAUUCAACUCCUCUGCGUCAACAUCAACAAGACUAUCGUUGAAAACACGAAAAUUCGAAUUUUCUUCUAAGUCAAUCGACGGAGCAACUCGGUAUGGUUCAACCAACUCACUAGCUUGAAAGACUUCAUCUAUCACACUUGUGUCUUCGUUCUCAUCCUGAACAACCUCGACACGACCCUUGGGUUUUGUUUUUAAAACGGAUAACCAAUCAACUCUUGAUCGGUCCUUUCUAAAGGAAGGGGUGUAUGUGUAAUAAACUUGUUGGCAUUGCUUUGCGAAAACAAAGACGUCGUUUACGUUGCGGUGUCUAGCUUUUGAAUUGAUUUCAACGAGACCAUAGUGAGGAUCUACUCUGAUUCCUCUGUCAGUUGUGUCAUACCAAUAACAUUUGAAUAAAAACACUCUAUUUUGCUCGCUAUGAUAUUGCAGUUCGAUGACCUCUUCCAAUCUACCGUAGUAGUCAACUUCAAACUCACUAGAAGUCGAUCCCUUAAUACAAACACCGCUGUUGUAUGUCUUUCUUCCAUGCCCGUAUUCUUCAGUAUGAAAGACAUAUCCAUUGACAAAAUAUCCAUUAUAGCAUUUGACUUUUCUUUCAGGGCCCAGACAUAGUAAAGACAGUGAAAUAGCAGCACUACCUCCCAUUUGAUAAACCUAGCUUGUAAAUUAAAUACAACAAUAAUCAAUAAACGAAUAUUAUGUAACAUUGACUACAAUUAAUUACAUUGCAAGAGAUAAUGAGUUUGUGCUAGGACUUACAUGUGUUCUAAACCAUGUGGCAAAUUGUUCAUCUUGUAAUUGAAAGAUCUGGGAUUCGGUCAGCUGUGAGUUAUUGGACAGUAAGUAUCGUCGAUGUUGCCUGCAAGGUUGUUCCAAAGUAUAUGAGUGUAUGGUAUCACAAAACAUAAAUAGUACACUCUUGACAAAGUUUAAGUCGAACAUCUACUUACUUAAUAAAAGGUCUCAGCUCAUCACAGUUAAAUAGGACAUAAUUGUGUGCUUGUCUGAACUCUAUUUCAGACAAAUAUCUUCCCCUCACGGCAUUUUUAGGUGUGGGUCGUCCAGGAUUGGAGAAUAUUGACAAGUUCCCACUUGAAUGCACUUCACCACCAUCAUCAUGCCGUGGAACACGGUUUAUCCUCGUUCUCAAAUGAGGUUCGAAAUAGUAUGAGAUAAAUGUUGAGAUCUCCUCAACAAUAUACGCCUCACAUAUUGACGCCUCAACAUGCGCCUUGUUCUUAACCUUUUUUUUAAGAUUGAACAAGUACCUGCAUAUAUAUAUAUAUAUAAAAUUAUCAAUUAAAAACAUUAAAAUAAAAACAUUUAAUUAUAAAUGUCAUAGCAACUGUAAUAUCUAACCUCUCGAAUGGAUACAUCCAUCUGUACUGGACCGGUCCUCCAACUUUUACCUCAAACGGUAAAUGUACGGGUAGAUGCUCCAUUGAGUCAAAAAAUGAUGGAGGGAAUAUCAUCUCAAGUUUGCAUAUUGUCUCGACGAUAUUCUUUUCAAGCCUCUCAAUGUGAUCAACAUUCAACUUGCUGGAGCAUAUAUCUCUGAAGAAAUGACUAAUCUCCGUUAGUGCAUCCCAUAUCCCCUUUGGCAACAAAUCACAAAAAGCUAAUGGGAUGAGUGUUUGCAUAAACACAUGGCAGUCAUGACUCUUCAUUCCAUAUAAUCUGCAUUCCUCCGUAUUAACCAGCCUUGAUAUGUUCGAGGCAUGUCCAUCGGGGAAACGCAGACUCUUAAGCCAUUUGUAGACUAGUAGUUGUGCGUUUUUCUCUAGCACGAAGCUUGCUCUUGGUUUUGCGACCCGUGACCCAUCCCAAACCAACUCCAUAUUUUUACGGUUACAGAACAGCGCUACAUCCAAUCUAGCCUUGAUGUUGUCCUUUGUCUUCCCCUUCACAUCCAUGACGGUGUUGAAAAUGUUCUCAAACACGUUCUUUUCAAUGUGCAUGACGUCAAGGUUAUGGCGGAGAAGAUUGGUCUUCCAAUAAGGAAGCUCCCAAAAUAUACUUCGUUUCACCCAAUUAUGGGUCAAACCAAAACCAGGAAACUUCUGCUUACCUGAUUGGAGACCAAACACAAUUUCACCGUACUCUGACACAACAUCAAACAAUUCUUCACCGGAAAGACGCGGGGGUGCAACAUCAUUUUCAACCCUGCCAACAAAGAAAUCCUUUCUGUUCUUUCUGUACCUGUGGUUAUGUGGCAAGAAACGACGGUGACAGUCAAAAAAAGAAGCUUUACCCCCGUUUGUUAGCGUGAAUGCCUUGUUGUUCUCCAUACAAUAUGGACAUGCUAGCUUUCCAUGCGUGCUCCAACCAGAAACCAUUCCAUAAGCUGGGAAAUCAUUGAUAAUCCACAUCAAAGCCGCUCUCAUAAUAAAAUUUUGUUUCCUCGAGAUGUCAUAAGUCAAAGCUCCAGAGGACCACAACUGCGUCAACUCAUCAAUCAACGGACGAAGACAAACAUCUAUAUUCCGCCCCGGACUGCUCAGACCUGGUAUGACCAUAGAUAAAAACAUGAACUCCGGCCUCAUACACAUCCCCGGUGGCAAGUUAUAAACCGUCAGUAUGACCGACCAACAAGAAUAAGGAGCAGCAAAUGACCCGAAUGGAUUGAAUCCGUCUGUACAUAACCCAAGACGCACGUUUCUUGAUUCAGCUGAAAAGGGAGGAUGCAUACUGUUAAAGUGUUUCCAGGCUUCACCGUCAGAAGGAUGAACCAUCACUCCAUCAACCGCAUGGUGUGAUUGGUGCCAUGUCAUGUGCUCAGCAGUCCUUGGUGACAUGAAUAACCUCUGCAGUCUAGGUGUGAUUGGGAAGUAUCUAAGUUUUUUAUAUGCCACGAGAGUCUUCCCUCUACCAGUUCUGGGUUUGUAAUGGGAAUGCCCGCACGUCAUGCACUCGGUCAUCUCGGUAUUUUCAAGGUAGUAUAACAUGUAGAAGUUAGGGCAUAUAUCAAUUUUCUGGUAUCCUAAACCGAGGGGUUUCAUCAUGGACUUGGCAGCAUAGAAGUUCUCUUUCAGCCUGUUCCCUUCAGGUAAAAUGCUUCUCGCCCAUUCAAUAAUCUUGUCAUAACCGGCCUCACUCAACCCGUGAUCUGACUUGAUGGUGAACACCUGUGCUACGGCUGAUAAUUUACUGUGGUUCGUGCAGCCAUCCCAUAAUGGUUCGUCAGAAUCUCUCAACAGAUCAAAAAACCUUGCUGCAUCUGCAUUAGGUUCUUCUUCUACGAUUGGACAUCCCCUGACAUUAUCUUUGUCGCACGGUGCGCGACGUCGCGGCGAAUAUUCCACUUUAAAUCUAGGAAGUGUGUAUGGUAUCUAUCUGGCAAAUAUGGGGAGACAAGAAAAUAUUGUCUUUUGUUGGUAGAAAAUGGAAUGGGAGUCGCCACCUAGUAUUUUGGUCACUAGGAACCCUAACUGGUCUCAGAGAUUGGGUACGGGGACUGGUUGCGUAAAGGGAAGGUAUUAGCACCCCAAAUACGCCAUACCUAAGGUAAGCUGCAUUGUUCAUUUGUCUGAUAAAAUUCAAGGUCUCGUUGUGUUUCCUAGUUGUUGGUCCGUCUAUGGUUCAAGAAAAGUCCUCCUCAAUAAGGAGGUCCUUAUCUUAUCGGGUAAAACCUAACCGUUCUAACAUCUAUAUAAAAACUAUAUUUUUAACAUCAGGAAUAUGUUUUACGUAUAAAUUCAUAAUCCCAGAUACUAAAAGAAGACAAAAAGAUUUUUUUAGAAUUUUUGAAAUAUUGGCCUAGUUCUCAUGGCUUUAAUAAACUGGUUAUUAAAGCCGAAAUGCAUGUUAAUACAUAUAUUGUUUUUGAAAUUUCCUUUGUUGUGUGAAAAUAUGAUGUUAUAAUAUUUAUAUAUAUAUAUUGGAGAGACUAGGCCGUAUGCAUGAAAACAAAACAUUUUUUCUAAAAACUUGACAAAAACCAGGUAUUUUAAUACCGGAUUUGUAUCUUUACAGUAUAAAAAUACAAACCGAUAUUGAUCAGAAUACAGUAAUAAAAUUACAGAAAAUCACAUAUUUUUUGGAAUAAUUUUUGAAGAAUUUUUGUUCGAACGGGCCAGACCCGGCCCAAAAGGAAACUGGGCCGAAAUCAGCCCAAAAUGAAUUCUACAGGGCUGGACUCAGCCCAGCCCAAAACCAACAUGGCUGGUACUGUUCACGGUACAGUAAUCGGGUUACUGUGCAGGUGAACAGUACCUGUUAAUUAAUUAGCCGGUUACUGUGCACACAGUAACCGGGUAAUUAUUUUCUGGCUUGCAGAACGUGCACAGUGCACGUUCUGCAUGCAAGACGAUGAACAGUAAACAGAGAUAAGGGUCAGAGGGCUGACCUGUGGUGGCUCUGAAGGCGGUGCUGCUGGUGGUUGCUGACCGGAGGAUGGCCGGGAGGGUGGUCGGUGGCUGGGGAGCCCGAUGACAGCAGCUGUUCUUUCUUCUUCUUCCCUGUGCAGAGGUGCCCACCUCUGGUUUUUUUUCCUUUUCACGUCUGCUUUUAUUCUACUCUCUGUCACUGUCUUUGUUUCAUCUCCCUUGUCCCAAAGUCUUCUCUCCUUCUGGUCCGUUUUACUCCAGUUUCUCUCCUCUCUUUCUCCUCUGUUCGCCCCUGUUUUGUCUUCUCCUUCUGUUGCUGAUGGUGUUUUCUGCUGUCAACAAUGUUCUUCCUUCUCUGCAACGUCUUCGUGGAGGUGCUGGUGGCAGGGCAUGACUGCGGCUGCUCCUCCUCCUGGUGUUGUUUCUGCUGCUGGGAUGGAGGAGAAAAUGAGGUCGGUCUGGGGCUCCGUUGACAGAGAAGGCUGUUUCGGGUGCAGGGAAGAAAUGGUCGAGAGAGGGGAAUGGCCAGGAGGGGGACUGUUUUUGGGUGCUCUCUCUCUUUCUCGUUCCAAAAACACGCCUCCCCUUUUAGUUUUCCAGCCCCCUCCCGUUCAACAAAACUCUCCUCGUUUUAAACUUCUUCCUCUCUCCGUUUCAAAAAGUUUUUCCCCCCUCUCUCUCUGCUGUGUUGGGUGCUAUUUAUAGAGCAAGUGGGUGUGGCUUUUGCUGUUGCGCAUGGGAGCGGGUCUCGCGGCGGCUGGUCGGCCAUUGGGUGCUACUGUCGAGGUUCGGCUCCAACGGCAUGGAGCGCGGCGGGUAGAGGAACAGUGUCAAAACGACACUGUUCAAAUUCUUUUUUUUUUUUAUUAUUAUUAUUAUUAUUAUAUAUUUUUUUAUUUGUGGGGACCCAAAAAUGGGUUACAACAAUCUUCACUCAUUCUCAUUGCAUCCAUAACCAUAUUCCUGUAAGGAUUACUGUUCUCAUUUCCAACUUCAUGCAUGUUACUAGCACUAGAAGUUGACCCAACCACCUGUUCUUCCAUGCUCUCAUCAGGAACAAAUAGUUCUCCGUGAGCAUACCAACACAGGUAAUCUUCCAUGAACUCUUUGGUUAGAAGAUGCAUCGUUACAACAUCUUGAUGCAGAAACUUUAAAUUUUUACACUUCCUGCAUGAACACCUAAUACCGCCAUCAGUAAAAUUCCUCGGAAUAGAUGUUGCGAAAUUAAUAAAACCCUGGACACCGUUACAAUAAUCCAUCCUCCGCAAUCCUUGGGGUGAGUUCCGAUACAUCCAUGAACGAUCAUCCAUGACUUCUAUUGAACCUCUAUAAAACAUAACAAAAAUAUUGGUUUUCCCCGACAUUAUCCAACAAGCUAAAACAACACUUAUGUUAAAUAUUCAUUAUCAAUUAUCAACUAUCAACGUUCAUACAUACAAAUUUAUACAUAUAUAAAUUUACAGAAUUACUCACAACUUCGAAAUAUAAUUGAUAACAAUUAAACAAGACACUUAAAUAAGCUAUUAAUUAUUUAUUUCAUCACAACGACACAUUUAAUUCGGUGUAAUUCAAACAAAAUUUCAACAAUUUACAAACAAAUAUAAUUUGACAAAAUCUAAAACAACCUAUAACAACUACAAAAUUAUACAUUCAUACUACAAGUUUCUUUGACAAAUAACAAUUAAACAAGUACAAACGUUAACAAAAUACAUAUACUAAAACAAUAAAAUUCACAAUUAAAUAUUAAAACUAAUUAAAAAGGAUAGAUUUACUUACAAAAAAAUGAUAAAAUCUACAAGAAACGGAUAUUGUGACCACGUACAAGAUAUAAGAAACUUGAGUGCUCGUGUUGAGAAUAGUGGAGAGUUUGGGAUGGGUGUUUGGCUGCAGUUUGGGAGGAGUUUGGGAGGGGAGAGGUGGGAUGGGAAAGAAGAAGAAGGAGAAAUAGAGGAUGAGAGUGUCGGCACAUGGGUGCAUAUAAUGGUUUUUUCCGACGGUAUCACCGACGGAAGGAAUCCGUCGGUGAUGCUGUCGGUGACAUCGCCACGUCACUGUACGGCUAUCACAGUUUGAAUCCCUCGGUACUUUCCGUCGGUAAAAUCCCCUGACGUCACCAUGCCGUUGCGUAUUUCCAGACGAAAUGUAUAUUCCGUCGGUGAAGUCGACGGUAUAUACCGACGGAAUAUUUCCGUCGGUAUAUACCGACCGAUUUUGAGACGGAAUUAUGUCCGUCGGUAAUUAAUACCGACGGAAUAUUUCCGUCGGUAAUUCCGUUGCUUUUUUCCGGUUUUCUGGUAGUGUAAAAUCAGAUACCAAGAUGCAAUUUCUAUUGUUUUUCUAAAUCUCAACAACCUCUGCCAUAAAAGCAAGCAACUUGCAUUACAGAAAUUCACAAAGAUCAAAACCUUAUCAUUAUAUACCAUAAAAAAUGCACCAACAAAAUACAAAAACUAAAAAAAACCCUAAAAUUUAAACACAGUAAAAUAACAUUCUCUUGCAUUGGCACAUCAACUUGUUGCAUGCUGAAUUGAAGUGGUUCCUACGUACUGGGACUUCUUUCGAGUAUUUGGGUGAACUUUGGGAGCUCACUGUCAAGGCUAGCCAUGGCUGGUAGGGUUUAGAAUCCAUAGAAGAAGAAGAAGAGAAGGGAGAGAGAGAGAUUCUCAGAAUUCAUCAUUCAUUCAUUCAUCAUAAUUUGUUGGCUAACCAUCCAAAGUCUGUUACAACCACAUAAGACUAUAUAAUUUUAACCCGGAUUAAUUUACAAUAAUCAUCAUCAUCAAAACUUUCAUCAUCAUCAAAACUUUCUCUUACCUGACCAUACAAAUUCAUACAAUUACAACCCUUAAAUAAAACAUGUAACAUACCAUAGAUAGAGAAGCAGAAAACUUUGAAAAAGAAAAAUUGGGUUUUGUUUUGUGAGUUAAAACAAAAGGCAAUUAAUGACUAAGAAAUUAGUGAUGAAUUAUUACACAAAAUUCUCAAAGAGACCAAUUUUUCAUUCAUACAAUUAAAUUACUUUUUAAACCUUCAUAAUUUAAAUCUUAUAACUUGCUUUAAAGAGUAAUAUAAUUUUUUCAUCGAGACAUUUUUACUAUUACAAGAUUGGAUAUGAAUGGAGAAGUCUUUUAACCUUUUAUUUGCUUAGUGUAAUGUUUAAAAUACCUUUUGCUUUUUUUUUUUUGGCAUAGUGUAAUUAUUAAAAUAUCUUUUGAAUAAAAUUUUUUAUAGCAAUGAUUGAAGGGCUUUUUGAUCCUUUUCUUAUGUUUUUUUGUUAAUAUUGUGUGGAGUCAGGGUAUUUAUAUAUUUAUAUAAAUUAGAUUAAUUAAAAAAAAAAAUUGUUGGUGUAUGUAAUCCAUACUAGUAUGUGAAGCGGCUACAUCUUUUCAACGGUAAGUACGACUUUUCCUAGCUGUCAAAAUAGGCUGACUGUUGUCUCUUUGAAAGGUUUGGUGGUCGUUGAAUUGGCCGACUGUUGUCUCUUUCACAGGUUUGGUGGUGGUUGAAUUCUCCCUCUCUUUCUCUCUUUCUUCCCCUUGCAACGCACGCUAGUAUAGCCAAAAUUAAGAGAAGUCCUGGUUUCAUGAAAUUGAUGGUGCAUCCUUGGUAUUUCCCCAUCGUUCAGCGUACGUUUUAUUUUUGAAAGCAACUGUCUGUUGCAAUCCCUGUACUGCUGCUUAUAAUCAUUAUGAUAUAAUUUUUCUAGCUCGUAAUAUUACUCUUAAAUUUAAAUUCUUUACUUUAAACAUCAUUUUAAUAUCAUACUUUAUACAUCCAUUCUUGUUUUUCCAAAGUAAGAUUAUGUUACAUAUUUGCCCAAACAGAAAGGACUAUCUAACCUUAUUAUGCUUAUAUUAAGACUUCUUGGAAUCAUUGUAAUCCACCAUAGCUGAUAGGAAGGCAAUCUUUAGGCAUCAAAAGGCUUUCAACGCAAGCUUGUAUAAUACCCUUUAGUUUUUUUCUCUUGCUUUUAAAUGGAUGCAUGGCAUUCAUUUGGUGCCUGCAAAGACCCUGUUUUCUAGUGAGCCAUUUUUACAUAAUCAUGAUGACAAAUAAUUUCCUUGUUAAAACCAGUAUUUUGUUUAUAUAUUAAGUUUCUGUUGUCAGCUAUCAAGUGGGGAAACCAUCAACUGAAAACAGAUCUUUGUUCUUUGACCGUUUAAUUGAGGCUGCCUUAUCAGUUGUGGUGGAGGACGUGACCAAGAAAUCACAAGGAUCUGCACCCUUUCUUGAACUUCGCAAGGCACAAAAAGUGGCGAGUGGCCCAAAGGCCUCAGAGUUAAAAGCCAAGAUAGAAGCUGAGCAGCAUGCUCUACGCCGAAUGCGCAUGUGCCUCUUCAUGCAACAAGAAAUUUGCUUCUUCAUGCAACAACAAAUUUUAAAUUUUUGAUUGUUGUUUCACUUUGUAGCAUUAUUGAAAUGGUCUCAAUUUAGUCCAGCAAGUGGGUUCUAAUAAAAUGCAGUCGUCAUGGAGCAUAUUUCAAUUCGUCUAGUUAAUUAAAGCCAAAUGCAGAUUGUUAAAAAAGUUGGUGAACUUGGAAUUGGUUCUCCUAUGCCUUUCCCGUAGGCAAUACCCAUGACACUCUUGAAUCUUUACUGAAUAGAAUCAAAUUUCAAAAUAAAUGAAGAGGAUGGGAGAGUCAAGUAUGUGGUUACAAACCAAAUUAAGAGAGAUGAGAGGAGCUAGAUGAGAGAUAUAGUGAACGUUUAAGAUCCAGAAGAGAAUGAAAUCAAUGAAAAGUGAUCUGGGUGAGGGAUAAGGUCAAGAAAGCGCGAGUAGACUGUAUGUCUCUGUGCACUCGCUCGUGAGAGAGAGGAGUGGGGGGGGGUUUCCUAGCAAGGUCUGCUAUGUUGUCUGCAUUUGAAAUUACAUCAACCUAUGAUCAUCCCACUCCAUUGGUUGUUACAGCACAUGUUUCUUGUUACAUACAAGCUGGUUGUCUCUGUACAGUAUUUCUGCUUCCUUUCACUGUUUACACUUAACAUUCUAACUUCUUUGCUGCAGGAUGUUGUAUGACAAACGAUUUAGUGCCUUGCAUUAUCCUGUCACUGACGAGGAUGCUCCAACCUCGCUCUAUAAUCCAGAACCCUAUGGACAUGGCUACCAUGCUGCAGCGUGUUGACUCUGGUCAAUAUUUCACAUGCUCAGGAUUCCUGCAAGACAUUGAUCUCAUUGUGACCAAUGCAAAGGUGUGUUUUGUUCCUAGCUUCAUUUAAUUCUAUUUCUAGGUUCUCCUUCCAUUGAAUAAUUUAACACCACUAUAACUCUGGUCAGUGCAUCUAUUUCAUGCUUAAAUUUGGCGUGCAUGUCUCUAAUAUAGGUGUACAAUGGAGAUGAUUACAAUGGAGCUAGGAUUGUCAGUAGAGGUUAUGAGCUUCGGGAUGCGGUAAGUUUCCAUGCCUUUUGGUUUUCUAUGAUUUUUCCUCUCAUUUUGUCCUAUCACCUAAAGCAUCAUUUGAUGAAUCCCUUUUCAUAAUAUUUUACAGGUGCAUGGAAUGUUGUCACAGAUGGACCCUGCGCUUGUCACAUACUGUGACAAGAUUGCUGCUCAAGGGGGUCCUGUACAAAUACCAGAUGAUUUAGGGGGAUCUAUUUUCCCUUCAACCCCAGUUGUGCAGCUUGGAACUGUUACUAGAACAAGUGCCAGGCUACGCAACGUCCAGCCUGAUGUUAAUCUGGAUCAAAGCUACGAGGCCUUGAAAAGGCAGAAGAAAAAUGCUGAUGCUACUUGUGCUGGUAUGUUCAUUGGUAAUGCUAUAUACUUUGUCCUUAUGAUAUUGCUGUUCGUUUUUCCCACCUAUCUGAAUGAUGUCUUGAAACAUGUCAAGUUGCAAGACACAUUUUACAUGCUGAAUUUUGGUGCGGAUACUGAUGUAAUAGAUCAGUAGCAAGUAAAACUAAUCUCAGCUACCGACUUCUUGUAUAAUAGACUUGACCUGUUUGUAGUUCAUGUUUUCAAAUUUCCUUUCCUAGUUAGAAAAACCUCUCGUAAAUAUUGACAAUUAAAUCCUGAAGCCAGAAAUCUGAAUUUUUCUAUUCAAUAUAUGAAUUUUAUCUCACAGCCCAUAUUCCAAACUAGCAUUCUCUUCAGCUGGUGUCCUUUAUCUGAAGUUUUUAACUCCUAAUUUUCCUAGAUUUGUUAUAUUUAUUGUUAUUCUUUGACUGAACUCUUUAAUUUUCCAUGAUUGCUCUUCGGACGCAACUCUCUGAUCAUUUUAUACUUUUCAUGAAAAACAGCUUCAACAGCAGAAGAUAAAUCACGGCAUCAGGAUUCAGUACAGGCAAAGCCGCCAGAGGAAGCCAGGGCAGAUGAUAUGAAUCCAGACAGACCCGAGUCCUCUUCAGCCGAUGACAGUCGACAUGAAACUUCAGGAGGAGAAGCUUCUGGUCAUGCCGAAGCGAGUGGAUCCCAAGAUGUUACAAUGUCAGAAGCCGAAGUAUCAAGCCACGUGGAUUACAUCAAGCGGCUUUUCGUGGGGCGCACUGAAAAUUAUGGCAUUCCACUGCUUGAAAGGCUCUACACUCGUAUAAUGAAGGGAAUCUUCGAAACCAAGGACAAAGGAGUUGAAGAUGGCCCCAGAUACUCAAUUUUGAGGUUUUUGGUAAAAUUUGCAGAGAACACUGCAAACUUCUGAACUCAAUACCUUUUCCCCUUAAACCAGAGGAUAAAAGAAAAACGAAAAACGAACCCAAAAAAAAGAAGAAAUCUUGCAGGUAGCUGAUGUAAAGUCGGGAUUUUCUUUUCAAUGCAAAAAAAUUAGAGUGAAAGCAGUCUCUCUGUCUCUCUCUUCCUCUCUCUCUCUCUCUCUCCCAGAGUACAGUUUCAUAAACUUAUUUGACCUCACAAGCUGUCAAGCUCCAUGGUAUUGUUAUGGCUGGUGGCAAAUCCAAUGUGGCAUUCUUUUACAGGGAGGACUAAGUGGGAUCUGUUAGCUAUUUGGAGACAAGCAAUGUCCCACCUCCACUAUGUGCUUAGUGGGAAUACCUAAUCUCCACUUAGCACAAGUGGAGGCAAACGGUGGGCAUAAAUCAUGGCAUGAUUCAUGCCCUUCACUCCUAGCUUAAUAUAUAUGUAUGCUCAGUGAAGAGCUGGAGUGUUGUUGAGUGAAGAACGCAGAGAAGAGUGAAAACACAGAGAGAAAAACAUGAGAGAGAGAGCUUGAGUUGAGUAGAGAAGAUUUUCUCCUCCUCCUUGUUUUGUUGUUUGUAUUGUUUCUAAGCUUGAUUAAUACAAACCAGUAGCUCCGUGGAGUAGGCAAGUUGCCGAACCACGUAAAUUUGUGUGUGUUUGAGUUCUGGAAUUACCCAACAGGAUCUUUUCUGAAGCAGACACAUCAAGAAUUGGGUUUGAAUUUCAGCAAAAGCAUCGCUGGUAUAAAUUAGUCUCUUUCUGAAUGAAUAUUUUUUCAUAGUUUCCAAGAUGUUUGUUUAAUAUCUUCAACUUCAAACUACUGAGAGAGAGAGACAGGAGACGAAAGGGUAUUCAAGCUAUUAUUUUAUUUAAUUUAAAACCAAGUAUUUUUUCGGAGAAUCAAAAUUAUGAUAUUAAGUCUGAAAACUAUUAUUUUAUUUUCAACAUUUAAAACUAAAUCUAUAUAUAAAAAAAUAAAAAUAAACAUGCUGAUAAAAUAGGAGACAGGUUAAAAAAUAGAAAAUGAAACAAGAAGAAAAACAGAUGGGAAGGCGCCAAGCCCUCAAUAGAUACUUAUGUGGGCCGUUCUAAAACAGAAGCCCUGAUUGGAUCAUUUCUUGUCGUAUUUCCCUACAAGUCUUCUAACUCCUCAAGGUGUUGUCUCAAUUCAUUACUAGGUUUAACAUCCGGGGCCGGGCAAGCCUCGUUGUUAAUUAAUUAUAAACUGAAUAUAUAUAUAUAUAUAUAUAUAUAUAUAUAUAUAUAUAUAUAUAUAUAUUAUAGCAUACUUUUUUAAACUUUGAUAGUCUUCCUGUAGCAUCUAGUGGUCUCGGCAUCUCCGAUGAAUUAGUGUUAUUGAAUUAGUGUUAUUGGUCUCACGAUUGUUUUUUAAAAUGAAUUUUAUUUGAAAAUAUAUUAAAAUAAUAUAUUUUUAUUUUUUAAAAUUAAUUUUGAUACUAACACGUAAAAAUGAUUCAAAAACAUAAAAAAAUUAUUUUUAAAAAAAAAUUAAAAAACUUUCCGCUCCCAUUUAAAAUAUAAUGCCAAACAGGGUUGUAGUUGCCUCACCAUUCAAAUUUGGUAUAACAUCUCAGGCUGAAGUUGUGCUAGGGCCUGCCAAAGAACUUCUAAUAUCGGCUUGCUCCUUUGCUUCUUUUACUAAAGCUAAUAAUUCCUCUCGAUCUUGGCCCACAUUGUUGCCUUUAGGCCCCUCCGGCCUUUUCGUUUGGGCCUGUGGUCUAGCUUCGGUAUUCUUUGGUUUGAUACUCUGACCCUUCUUAGGGCUUCAAAGUCAAUUCCUUUAUUUUAGCUGUCCAUCCUCGUAAUCAUUUAUGGUUCCAAGAUUCUCGGCACAAACAAUCUCUGCGCCAUUUGUUUCUUUAGUUUAGGGGUGUUCAAAAAAACCGAAUAACCGAAAAAACCGAGAAAACGGAUGGAAAAUUAACCGAGAAAACCGAACCGAGAUGAAAAACCGAUUAAACCGAUUACUAAAACCAAAAAAUCUUUCCGGUUCGGUUCGGUUCCCGGUUUCACCACCAAAACCGGUGAACCGAACCGGCUACCCAUACAAAAUUAAAAAUAAAAGCUGAAAGGCAGCAAAGCGACCUAGUAUAAAUACUAAAUGUUACAGUAAAGUGUAAAGUGUAAACCUAAACCUAAAAACAUUGCAAUUUACUUCUGCAGCCGCCGCCCACACCAGACCAUCCUUCUUCGAUUCUUCCUUUCCCCUUCAAUUUUCAUCUUCUCUGCCUCUUGCCCCCUGCAUCUAUCUCUUGACUCUCUUCUCUAGCUGAUCAAUAGUAAACAACCCAUAUCUCCGCAUCCAUCUAGUAGACUUGCGGUGGAAAAAAAACCCGAACAAAACCCCUUGGCGUCUCUCUUCACCUGCAGCAGAAAGAGUCAAAGAGGUAAAGUUUACUGUUUAUCCAUGUGUUCAUUCUCGUGUGCUUGUAAGUUUUACUUGUAAGUUGUAACAUUUUUUCCAUUAGAGAUUUCUGACCUCUGCUUCUUUUUCUAUCCUCUUGCAGCUAGGGUUUUUACAUUUUUCUGUUGAUUUGUGUUCAUUCAGGUUCGCCCCCCUUUCUCCGGCUCUCUCUCUAAUAUUUUUGUUGAUUUGUGUUGAUAUCGAGUUAUUGAUUGCUUUGUUUAGCAUUGUUAACUUUCUUUCCUUCAUUUUUAGAAUAGAAAUUGGUCCAUUACAGACUUUUUGCAAUUGAAAUUGGUCCAUUACAGACUUUCAGGUCCAUUGCAUGUGUAAUUUACAGUAUGUAGGUUUUUUAGAAUAAAGAGGUGAUAGAUGCCUUUUUGCAAUUAUAUGAACCUAACAUGAUGCUCAUUGCUCAACUUCUGCUUGAUUCUCAAUUGUAGUCAGAUGUUGAUUCAUGUUGUUGUUUUCUUAAUUUCAGAUGGAUAGUGGGGAAAAUCCUAGAUCGAAUGAGUCAAAUCCUUCAAGUUCAGAACCAAAUUCUUUGCCUAUUCCAGUUCCAGUUACUACCUCCAGCACAAACAGCAACACUGAAGAAGGUAAUCCAGCUUCUAGAUGUAAUAAAAGAAAAACAUCCCAAAUUUGGGAUCACUUUAAAAAACUAGAUGGUAAUGCUAAAACUCCUAGGGCUGCAUGUAAGUAUUGUGGAAAAGACUAUGUAUGUCAUACUAUACUUAAUGGGACUAGUAACAUGUGGAGUCAUCUAGGUGUAUGCAAAAAAUUUCCUUUUGUCAUUGAUCGAAAACAAAAAACUCUAGUUUUAGAACCUAAGCCUAAAAUAGAGGGGGGUGAUAAUGGAGAGGAAAAUUUGGUGACUGUUAAGGCAGUAGGUUAUAAUUAUGAAGAGUGUAGGAAAGCCCUUGGAAAAAUGGUUAUACUUGAUGAGCUACCUUUUAACUUUAUAGAAAACCAAGGAUUUAAAUCAUUUUGUAAAGUAAUGCAGCCUAGAUUUGAUGUUCCUUCUCGUUUGACGAUUUGGAGAGAUUGUUUGAAAAUUUAUUUAGUUGAGAAGGAGAAAUUAAAGAAAGCUCUUAAGGAUCAAUGUUUAUGUUUAACAACUGAUACUUGGACAUCAAUCCAAAAUAUUAAUUAUAUGUGUUGGACUGCUCAUUGGAUUGAUGAAGGUUGGAACUUGAAUAAAAGAAUUCUAAACUUUUGUCAAGUUUCUAAUCAUAAAGGUGAAACCAUUGGCCAAGCGAUUGAGAGUUGUUUAUUGGAAUGGGGAAUUGAUAAGAUUUUAACAGUUACUGUAGACAAUGCAAGUUUAAAUAAUUUGACAAUAAAAUAUCUGAAAAGAGUAACAAUUGGGUGGGCAACUAAUAUAUUGUCAAAUGACUUCAUGCAUGCUAGAUGUUGUGCACAUAUUGUUAAUCUUAUUGUAUGUGUGGGGUUGAAAGAUAUUGAUGAUUCAGUGGUUAAAAUUAGAAAUGGAGUAAGGUUUGUUAGAUCUUCUCCUUCUAGACAACUUGUUUUUAAUCAAUGUGCGGAAAGGUUGAAAAUUGGGAGUAAAAAAUCUGUUUGCUUGGAUGUUGCAACUAGAUGGAACUCUACAUAUAUGAUGCUAGAUGCGGCUGUUAAAUUUGAUGUGGUUUUUAUGAAGUUAGAAGAAACCGAUCUUAGGUAUUUGAGUUACUUUGAGGUUGAUUCACAAGGGAAACAAAAAAACUUAGGUCUUCCUGCAUUAGAAGAUUGGGAAAAGGCUAGAUCUUUUGUCAAGUUCUUGAAAUUAUUUUACACGGUUACAUUGAAAUUUUCUGGCUCGUUGUAUGUGACAUCUAAUUCUUUCUUCCAUGAAUUGAUUUCCAUGCACACAAGCAUAUCUCAACUUUGUAGAAGUGAAGAUGUUUAUGUAAGUAACAUGGCCAAGAAUAUGAUGGCAAAGUAUAAAAAAUAUUGGGGGGAUCAAGAUACACAAAACUUUUUGUUGUAUGUGGCUGUUGUGUUAGAUCCACGUUUCAAAUUGAAGUAUGUGAGAUUUUGUUUUGGAAGAUUGUAUGAUGUUGAAGAGGCUGGAAAUUUUACAACUAAGGUUAAAAAUACUUUGUUGAGGUUGUUUGAGCAUUAUAUGAAUGUUGAUGAGAAUGUUGAUGUUGUUCCUAGUGUUGGAACUAGUAUAAAUGAAAAUGUUAAUGUUGAUUUAACGGUGGUAAAUGAUGAUAUGGUGGAUGACUUAGCUUCUGAAUUCAAAAAACAUUUAGAGGAAGAAGGUUGUGUCAAAAAAAAAAAUGAGGUUGAGAGGUAUUUGGGUGAUGAUUGUGAGGAUCCUAAUGAUUUUAAAUUAGAUAUUUUGGGUUGGUGGAGGUGUAAUGCUACAAAAUACAAGAUUCUUUCUAAGGUGGCACAACAUGUGUUAGCUAUCCCGGUAUCUACAGUUGUUUCCGAAGCAGCAUUCAGUACUGGCGGUCGUAUAUUAGAUCCAUUUCGAAGCUCUUUAUCUCCAUCGACAGUGCAAGCACUUGUUUGUUGUCAGAAUUGGUUGAGUUUAGCACCAAUUCCAAUCAACAUUAGAACCUUCAUGGAUUAUAUUGAAAAUUCUGAGAUGAUUGAGUCAGGUAAUUUCUCUUACAAAUUUAAAUAUAGUUAUUUUAUAAUAUUGUUUAUUGACAUAUGUUUAAUAUAACAUUUUAAUUUAUGUUUUUGUAGAAUUUGGUGAAAGUUUAAAAAUCUCAACUGAUUGUUUGUAAGUAGUAUUGGUGGCUUGGUGCAAUCUUGGAAUAUAAUUGUUUUGGGUAAUUAAUUUACUUUACCUUGUUAAUUAUCCUUAACAUUUUGCAUACUUAAUUAUGUCAAUAGUUGAACUCUAAUAUGUUGCUAAUUUUCUAUUGUUUUUUUAUAGCAUUAUCGUUGCUGGAAUUUUUGGAUACUGCCAUUGCUGGAAUUUUUGGAUGCUGGUGACUGGUGUUGCUGGGUUUUUUUCUUCAAACUAUGCCGGAUGUUUAUGAUAAUUUAUUGCUGGUUGCUAAUGUAUUCGCUUGUUAAUGUUAACUUUUCUAGUGCGAACAAACUUUUAAUUUGAGAUGUUCAAAUUUGAUCAUGCAUCUUGCAUUGAUUUAUCACUCUGAGAAGCAUAUUAAAAGUCAGCUAAUUUGCAUUUGAUUUAAUUCAGGUUGCUAUAAAUUUUAAUGUAAGGCUAAGCCAAUUUAAAAAAAAACAAAAAAAAAACCCAUAUAUGAUAGGAUUAGGUUUCCCGGUUUUUUCCAAAAAAACCGGUUCAAACCAAACCGGAAAAAACAAAAAAAAACCCUAUAUAUUAAGGGAUUAGGUUUCCCGGUUUUUUUCCAAAAAAAACCGGAUCAAACCGAACCGGACCGGUUCGGUUUGAACCGGUUCCCGGUCCGGUUCGGUUGAUAUUUACCAAAAAUACUAAAAUUCGGUUCGGUUGGUUUUUUGCGUCUAAACCGAACCGAACCGAACCGUGAACACCCCUACCUUAGUUGAAUCCUGUAAACCGUGAAACGAGAUUCCAUUGCCGGACUGUUUCCUCCGGUCCUCUCCUGAAUAUUUAUCUCGUUACCAUUAAUUUUUAAUCUUUGAAUACCAACUAUAUCACCUUUAAGGAGAGUGUCUAAAAACCUCCACCGAAAAUUUAUAGUUAAAAAAUAUAUGUGAGAAAUAUAUUAUUUUUAUUUUAAAAAAUAAACCUAUAUUUUUAUUGAUGGUACGCUCCUUGAGGUGAUUCAAGUGAUAAUUAUAGAGGGAGUUUUUAGAAGAAACAUGUUUAGGAAGUGAUAUUAAAAUGUUUGCUUUGAUCACUUGAUAACUUUGAGUGGAUAAUUCUAUUUUAAUUUAAAGGAGUUAUAAAUUCUUAAAACACACAAAAUGAAAGUGGAUUGAUCCCUUAUAGGAAAAUAAUUUUACUUGAAAGGUCUUUCAUGCUGGUUGUUUUUGUAAAAAUAAAAAGGCCAAUGUUGUAGCAAAUUGAUAUUUUUUACCUAUAUGUGAUUUUUCAUAACUUAUUUAAAUUUGAGCAAGUGUUUGUCAGAUAAAGCAUAAAGUUUUCUUUAGAGAGCAUGUUCUUCUACUCCUCUUAUCAAGGCCUCUAAGGCUACAAGCUAAGGUUACAAGUUCAAGCAUUUCUUCCCCUUUAAACAUCUUUUCAUUAAACCUCUUCAAAUAUAUUUAUGUAAACUAACUCUCUUGUUGAAUAACAUCGAAUAGUUUUGUGAAGCUUUUUUUAAUAGGUAUGUUGGUGCUAAAGUGUGUCACUAGCUUAGUAUAGAGGUCAUUCAACCCUUCAUAUAUAGUUUGAGUGCAAAUUAUAAUACAAUGCACGUGUAUACCUCUAUAAAGUUGUGGGGGAGGAUUUUAUAUAUUGAAUCAUUAUUUUAGAUAAUCAAUUCUAAAUUAACGUGCAUAUUUUGCAUAUGCUGAUUAGCCAGGCCAUCAUAAAUUUCUGGAAGAUACUGAUCUUGUCACAAAAUAAUGCUAGCUACUAAGAAGAUACUGAUCUUGGCACAAAAUAAUACUAGCAACUAAGAAGUUUCCUAGCUGAUUAUACGAUACAACUUUGGGCCCAAGAAUAUAUAUCUAGUGGAGAUCAUUUCAUGAGCUCAAUCAAGCCAAUCAAGCCCUUCACUUUCCAGCAAAUGAAUCUUUAGACCUUUAAGUGACAACUAGGAAUAGGAAAAUGAAAGACCAGGUUGAUAAUUAGGGAAAUUCUAACCCUUUUACACGGCGUAAGCUAUAGCAAAACAGCAUCCUGUUCACCUUCUCAAAACCCCCCCCGGUUUCUUUCCUUGAGAAACAGUUUAUCACUCCUGUGGCGUAUGGGAUGAUGUCAAUAAGAAGGCACUUGUGUUCAAUUGGACCGAAUUUAAAUUUUUUAUAGGAGCUUAUUUUGCGGAAUCAGAUUAUGACGUUUUUUUUGUUUGACCUACCAGUCUAAUCUUGGUUUAAUGACGCUGCUUCAUAUACUUUUCUUAGGCUAAAUUUUCAGUCCAUUAUUAAAGUUUUCUCAAGUCAUUGCCAAUGAAAACAUUUUUCUCCUUCUGGACUGUGCAUAACUUCUAGCAGGAAAUAGAGAAUCUCUCGUUGCGAUUUCUGUCAUUGUCAAUUGUGCUUGCCUUUCUUCUUUGAGUAUUUUGCUAUAUCUACCUUUUAGUCCCUUUGCUCUAUUUAAGGAAGCAGCAUUGGAGGCCAUUUUUCAGAGAAUUAGCUCUCUAAAACGAAAGGGAAACUACUUCGUUAUAUACUUCGAAGAUGGUGCCGCAUGGGUUCAGGUUCAAUCCCACUGAUGAAGAGCUCAUCCAAGUCCUAGACAGAAAAGCUUCUGGCCAAGAAAUGCCACUUCAUUUCAUUCUCGAAAGAAAUGUUUACGAGCGUGAACCACAGGAUCUUGAAUGUGCGUAAUAUGCACUAUGUAUUUCUUUGUUCUACUGCAUAUAGGGCUCGUGAUUUUUCUUCCCUUUUCUUUGCAAUAAUGGUAUAGUGGAAAUGAUUUUUUCAAGCUUUUUUGCAUUUAUACUAUAUGGUACAAAUUUCAGGCUACCUAUAUAUUUUCUAGGGUUCAAGUUUAGAGGGAUAAUAUCAUAUUCCAUGAUCUUGUCCAUCCAUUGAAAUUUACAGUAUCAAUGUUGAGUUUAUGUUAGUUUCUAUAUACCUUACUAUGAUAACUGACUGCUUAAGUCAGAUCUCUUUAACAAUAUUGUUACAUGCAGGGAAUCAAACCGCUCCUUUAAGCAAUGGUGAGAGAUACUACUAUUGUACGAGGGAGACAAACUAUUCGAGGGAAGUACUCGGUCGAGGAUGGUGGAAAGCUACGAGCCAUGUCAAGAAAAUACAUGCUAAUAAUGAUGAUCAACUUCUUGUGGGGAACAAGAGGCCUUUAAAAUUCCAUAGGUUCAAGGACAAUGAAAGAAAUCGCAAUAAUGCCGUCAAGACUAAUUGGAUCAUGUAUGAAUACAGCCUUGAAUCAAGAACCACGGUACUAGUUUUAAUAUUUUUGCGUGCACAGUUCUAAGUUAGUUAGUCUUAAUUAAUUAUAUGCAUCUUCUUCUGUUUGUUUCAUUUGUCCUACUUUCAUUUUGUUAGGAUUGGAGGCUUUGCAAGAUUAAGCAUAAGGGGAAACCAAGCGUGCAAGAAGAGAUGGAGAGUAUGAGGGAACAAUAUUCAUCGAGGAAUGAUUUCGAAGCCGGUAGUUCGACCAAUUUUGUUGGUGGGCAACAGCAACAGGAACAAACCUCACUGCCUACAAAUUAUGAAGGAUACGAUCAUCAUCAAUCCUAUUAUCAAUGGAACAAUAUGCAGCAGUCACCACCAUCCCCAUAUGAUCCUUAUCUACCGGCACCACCGAGUACAAGUAGUGGUCACUAUUAUGUGGAGCAGCAAGAGAAGUUAGAGCCCAGUGAUGAGCACCCAUUUCCUAGUCUUUGGUCUUGGACGAACUAGGAUUUUGUUGCAUCUAAAUCCAGGUUGCUAUGAAUGUAAGAAAAAAUUGCUUGUGCAUGUUUAGGUAUAGGGAAGGAUGUCUCGUUGCCUUUUUGUUACUGUAGUCAUUAUUGCUAUGUUAGAAAUAAAUACGAUUGUUCAGUACUUGUUUAUCCUCUAUCUUGGUUCCCUCAUUUACUACGUACGUUGUACUUCUUUCUUGGUGCUAAAAAUUGUAGCCAUACCGAUUAACUACCCUUCAUACAUGCUAAAAUACAUUGAUGCUACUAUUUUGGUAAAAAUGGGGAAUAUCCUUUGUAGCCAAGUUAGGAUAUCAACAGAAACUAAAUACACAUUUGUUCAAACAAGAAUCAACAUCUAUUCAUUUUUUUUAUUUGAUAUUUGUUGUGAAACCUGCAACAAUAAUGAUGGAUAUUAUACAAGAAAGAAAACAAGAAAUUAAAAUACACAAAUUCAAUGUUGUUCAGCAAUAUUAUUUCUAUUGAUAUUCACAAGAAUCAUGAAUUUUAUUUCAUUAUAUGUCAAAUUAGAGUUAAAUAAUGUGUAUUUAUAGUAAAUCCCAGUCACUCUAGGGAUAUCAAUAAUUUUUAAUAAUAUCUAUUUAUCAUACCACGGGGGUGUUGGAUCCACACCCUCAACCUAUCAAUCAUUUCGCUGCCCUUGUUUUAAUGCAACAUUGUUUAUAAGCUACAAACUACAACGACAUUUAUAGAUAUUCUUGGAUCUACAUCAACUGAAAUUAAGUUCUCUAAUCAAACAACCUUAAAGAGAAACAUGUGAUCUAGCGUAAUAUAUUUUAAGGAUAAUGAAAAAAUAAUGUAAUUUUCUUAAAAGUUAUUGACAUACAAAAUUUUUUUUAUAGUGAAGUAUAGGUCACACUGUACUUAGCUAGGUUGUAUGUUUGUAAUACUUGUAAACAAACAUCAAUCAAUCGGCUACAUAGAUCUAAUUACAUUAGUUCCAACCCUUUUUAUUUUUACAAAAAGAAAUAUACUUUUCUUUUAAGUUUUUGACGUACAGUACAUUCGUAUUGUGAAUUAUCGGUUAUAAAGUUCGUAAUACUCUUACAUCAAGACUUUAAGUAUGAAUAUGUACAGAUAGAUCAAUUGAAUCCAUUGAGUGAAGGAGGAUUUUAAUAUUCAUAUUAACAGAUUUAAAUAUCAUAAUUCUCAUUCUCUUUAAGAAGUAACUUUUAGAUUCAGCUCUAAUUCGCAUUGUUGAAUUUUGCAGGGUCAAAAUUCACGCAAAUGAGUAAUAUUCCUACAUAUAACUAUCAAUCUAACAUCCUUCCAAUGAGUGUUGUAUAUAUGUACAGUGAAAAAUUUGAAUGCAUCCUUCCGUUCAUUCUAAUUUAGCUCUAGGAGUCAAAAGGUACGUGGAUUUUUGUUAGAUUUCAAUGAGUGAAAAGGAAACAAGAGCAAGCACCCAUGCAUGUACAAUCAUUGAUGAUGAUGGUCAAAAAAUACCUUAAGGCGACUGUAGAAGGUGCAUGGAAUAUGGAAAUGAAUGUGAGUGAUCCAAUCAUAACACAAGUGACUGUAUCCACAAAUCAUCUGUAAAAGUGUACUGGCUAGUAUUGUCAAAUACUAGCAAUAUUAGCAAAUAAUUCGUGUUCCUAGCUAUCCAACUGGUAGCCAACACGCAACCUUUACACUAACCCGAAAGACAAUAUUUGAUGAGUGGUUAGAGGGUAUAAUGAAAAGGAGAGAGACCUAAUGAUAGCAUCCUUAAUCGGGGAAUGUCCUCUUACACGCGCUAAUUAAGGUAUGAAACAUCCCAACACGUGAGGGAAAGGAGGGUGGUUUUAUUUUUCCUGAGUUCAAGAUGAUUGAAAAGACCCCAAUGUUGAUUGGAACAAGGAAUAGGAACAGUCGGUCGUCAUGGAAUAAGAACAGUGCUGGUGUAGAAAAUAAUAUUAAUUAAUUAUAUUUUGAGAUAUUUUUAAUAAUUUAAAUUAUUAGGUUGAAACGGUUUUUUUAACAUAAUAUUAGAAUUUUGAUAUUAAAUGGUUACAAGUUUGAAUUUCACCAUCUCUAUUUACUUGAUAAAAAUUAAACAUAAGAUAAUAUAAAUUUAUAUAAAUUUUAAGUUCAAAAUUUUUUCAUAAAAUAUAUUUAAGAAUAAUAUAAAUUAUAUUUUAAAAUUUUACUUAACAAUUUUAAUUAUUGCGACAAAUAAAAAUUCCAAUUGAUCUAUAGCUUGAUGCAAAGCUUGAAGGUUUCUUUAUAGCAGAUGUAGAGUGUGUUUGGUAUUGCGGUAGCUUUUGUGGUUGUGGUUUGAAAAAAGUUGUUUUAUAAAAAGUACUUUUAGUUGAGGUUGGUUUGAAAAAAUAGGUGUUUGGUUAAAACUGUAGUUGAAAUUGAGGUUGAAGAAAAAGUAGUUUAAUGUGUUUGGUUAAAAAAAUGCUUUUCAAAUUGAGGUUAUAAAAUAAUUAAAAUAUAUAUAUUAAAAUUGAUGAUUUUUAAUUUAAAUAUUGUAGAUUUAACUAUUACUAUUACUUCAUGAAAUAAAUAAUACUUUAUAUAAAAUAUUUUUUAUUAUGCCAUUAAACCAUCUACAAUUCCAUUACGUACAAAAUUCAUUCCACAAGAACUACAGUUUCUAUAAUUUUUUGAGCGUGCAAUAAAAUUAGAUAAAAUAUUAUCAGGAAUAAAAUUAAUUUGAUAUUACAGUGCGAGUGAAUUUAAUUCACUCUAUAUUAGUUUUUCAGGAAAAAAAAUAUUGUUUACAUGACAAUGUAAAACUAGUUUUUUUUAAAAAAAAUAUAUACAAAAACUAUACACACUAAAAAAAAAAAAUCACCCGAACAGUGCAAGUGAAUUGCACUGUUCACGGGAACAGUGCAAUUUACUUGCACUGUUCGAGUGAACAGUGCAAUUCACUUGCAUUGUUUGUGACAGUGCAAGUGAAUUUGCAGUGUUUGCGUGCACAGUGCAAGUGAAUUGCACUGUGCACGCGAAUACAAAAUUUAAAAAAGCAGCCUGGAGCUGCUUCGCCAAUGUCGCGUUCAAAACGUGAAUUGGCAUGGAUCCCACCGGUUAUUUUUAGCGUUUUUGAUAUUACCAAACGCUUGACUCUUGUGUUUUGAUUGAAACACAAUCUCUACCGCGUAAACAAACAGACUCGUAACAGGGUUGGUGUAAGUAAAACCAACCCUCAAUGCUCCUCCAUUCACCCUGGUGGCUUCAGAUAAAAGCCAUUGUGGUGCUUUAAAUGGCCUGGUACGAGUAGAUGUCAUGCCUAGUUUUGAUAACAUUAGCUUCUCGUGGAGGAGAACUAUUUUUGGGAUUCGUUUAAUUGCCAAUAUUCUUCUGUUUUUCAGCACAGUAUACAGAAUUUUAUUAGUUCAAGGAAGGACACUAUAGAUUCACAUGGAUUUCAACCACUGUUUAGAGCAACAAAUAAAAUACACAGAGGGACUGCACAAACAGCGUAGCAGUACUGUGGCCUAAAUGAAUCAAGAGGUGCGGAGGGAACCACAGUUCAUAGGAAAACAAAAUCAUGAAAUGGCAACAACUAAGUUUUUUAUUCAGCAGCAUGCCAAGAUUGAUACAGUCAAUGCAAUACCAAAAGGGGGCAUCCUUCAUGAAAAACAAAACCAUGCCAUCCAACAGGCACGUGUAGGGCCAACCGCUCAUGCAAAUGCAUAUACAUUUCCCAUGCAUCUGCUACAUCCAUGGCUAUUAAUGAAGUCAUUGAAGAACCACUUGCCUUAAAGUCCUUUGUAUCUACUGGGGCCAAGAAAACGACGUAACAAAAAAUUCAGACUCAAAACAAGUAACAAGCUGGAAAAGGCCCACAUGACAUGAGAAUUGAGAUAGAAACUACGAAGCUAUGCCAGCAUCAACACCUUCUUAGUCAUUCAUGUCAUAAAGAUAUUAAAUAGAAUCAACUUCAUAACAUCAUAGUAUCAAUUCCUUGAUUGCCUAUAUAGCACUAAAAUCCUAUCUCCUUUUAUAUGGCACAAAUACAACGAUUGAAUUUUAUCAUGUUCCUUUUCUUUUCCUGUUCUUCUUUCUAAGGAACAAAUACAUAAUCAAACAUGCAAUACAUUCACAUACUGCAUUAAUUAGAAGAUCACGUACUAACACAUAAAAGUAAUAAAAUCAGAUACCAAGAUGCGAUUUCUAGUGUUUUUCUAAAUCUCAACAACCUCUGCCUUAAAAGCAAGCAACUUGCAUUACAGAAAUUAAACAAAGAUCAAAACCUUAUCAUUAUAUACCAUAAAAAAUGCACCAACAAAAUACAAAAACUAAAAAAAACCCUAAAAUUUAAACACAGUAAAAUAACAUUCUCUUGCAUUGGCACAUCAACUUGUUGCAUAAUACAAAAACUAAAAAAAAACCCUAAACUUUAAACACAGUAAAAUAACAUUCUCUUGCAUUGGCACAUCAACUUGUUGCAUGCUGAAUUGAAAUGGUUCCUACGUACUGGGACUUCUUUCGAGUAUUUGGGCGAACUUUGGGAGCUCACUGUCAAGNNNNNNNNNNNNNNNNNNNNNNNNNNNNNNNNNNNNNNNNNNNNNNNNNNNNNNNNNNNNNNNNNNNNNNNNNNNNNNNNNNNNNNNNNNNNNNNNNNNNNNNNNNNNNNNNNNNNNNNNNNNNNNNNNNNNNNNNNNNNNNNNNNNNNNNNNNNNNNNNNNNNNNNNNNNNNNNNNNNNNNNNNNNNNNNNNNNNNNNNNNNNNNNNNNNNNNNNNNNNNNNNNNNNNNNNNNNNNNNNNNNNNNNNNNNNNNNNNNNNNNNNNNNNNNNNNNNNNNNNNNNNNNNNNNNNNNNNNNNNNNNNNNNNNNNNNNNNNNNNNNNNNNNNNNNNNNNNNNNNNNNNNNNNNNNNNNNNNNNNNNNNNNNNNNNNNNNNNNNNNNNNNNNNNNNNNNNNNNNNNNNNNNNNNNNNNNNNNNNNNNNNNNNNNNNNNNNNNNNNNNNNNNNNNNNNNNNNNNNNNNNNNNNNNNNNNNNNNNNNNNNNNNNNNNNNNNNNNNNNNNNNNNNNNNNNNNNNNNNNNNNNNNNNNNNNNNNNCUUUUUUUUGGCAUAGUGUAAUUACUAAAAUAUCCUUUGAAUAAAAAAAUCUAUAGCAAUGAUUGAAGGGCUUUGUAAUCUUUUUGUUAUGUUUUUUUUGGUUAAUAUUGUGUGGGAUCAUUAGAUUAAUUUUAACCAAAAAAAUUAUUGGUGCAUAUAAUCCAUUCUAGUAUGUGAAGCGGCUACAUCUUUUCAACGGUAAGUACGACUUUUCCUAGCUGUCAAAAUAGGCUGACUGUUGUCUCUUUCAAAGGUUUGGUGGUCGUUGAAUUGGCCGACUGUUGUCUCUUUCACAGGUGUGGUGGUGGUUGAAUUCUCCCUCUCUUUCUCUCUUUCUUCCCCUUGCAACGCACGCUAGUAUAGCCAAAAUUAAGAGAAGUCCUGGUUUCAUGAAAUUGAUGGUGCAUCCUUGGUGGUAUUUCCCCAUCGUUCAGCGUACGUUUUAUUUUUGAAAGCAACUGUCUGUUGCAAUCCCUGUACUGCUGCUUAUAAUCAUUAUGAUAUAAUUUUUCUAGCUCGUAAUAUUGCUCUUAAAUUUAAAUUCUUUACUUUAAACAUCAUUUUAAUAUCAUACUUUAUACAUCCAUUCUUGUUUUUCCAAAGUAAGAUUAUGUUACAUAUUUGCCCAAACAGAAAGGACUAUCUAACCUUAUUAUGCUUAUAUUAAGACUUCUUGGAAUCAUUGUAAUCCACCAUAGCUGAUAGGAAGGCAAUCUUUAGGCAUCAAAAGGCUUUCAACGCAAGCUUGUAUAAUACCCUUUAGUUUUUUUCUCUUGCUUUUAAAUGGAUGCAUGGCAUUCAUUUGGUGCCUGCAAAGACCCUGUUUUCUAGUGAGCCAUUUUUACAUAAUCAUGAUGACAAAUAAUUUCCUUGUUAAAACCAGUAUUUUGUUUAUAUAUUAAGUUUCUGUUGUCAGCUAUCAAGUGGGGAAACCAUCAACUGAAAACAGAUCUUUGUUCUUUGACCGUUUAAUUGAGGCUGCCUUAUCAGUUGUGGUGGAGGACGUGACCAAGAAAUCACAAGGAUCUGCACCCUUUCUUGAACUUCACAAGGCACAAAAAGUGGCGAGUGGCCCAAAGGCCUCAGAGUUAAAAGCCAAGAUAGAAGCUGAGCAGCAUGCUCUACGCCGAAUGCGCAUGUGCCUCUUCAUGCAACAAGAAAUUUUAAAUUUUUGAUUGUUGUUUCACUUUGUAGCAUUAUUUAAAUGGUCUCAAUUUAGUCCAGCAAGUGGGUUCUAAUAAAAUGCAGUCGUCAAAAUGAUGUGAUUUUACUGCCUUAAUGCAACAAGAAAUUUUUAUAUUAAUACUGUAGUUGUAGUUUAAAUCACAUUGAAAUGGUCUAAACAAAACACAGAUAUGGUAGAGCUUGGUACUUCAAAGCAAUGCAAUAAGGAAUUUGCUUCUUCAUGCAACAAGAAAUUUUAAAUUUGGAUUGUUGUUUCACUUUGUAUCAUUAUUGAAAUGGUCUCAAUUUAGUCCAGCAUGUGGGUUCUAAUAAAAUGCAGUCAUCAUGGAGCAUAUUUCAAUUCUUCUAGUUAAUUAAAGCCAAAUGCAGAUUGUUAAAAAAGUUGGUGAGCUUGGAAUUGGUUCUCCUAUGCCUUUCCCGUAGGCAAUACCCAUGACACUCUUGAAUCUCUUAUCUUUUGAACAACAAUCUGCAUUUGAAAGGGCGAGUAGACUGUAUGUCUCUGUUCACUCGCACGUGAGAGAGAGGAGGGGGGUUUCCUAGCAAGAUCGUCUGGUAUGUUGGUUGCAUUUGAAAUUACAUCACCCUAUGAUCAUCCCACUCAAUUGGUUGUUACAGCACAUGUUUCUUGUUACAUACAAGCUGGUUGUCUCUGUCCAGUAUUUGUGCUUCCUUUCACUGUUUACACUUAACAUUCUAACUUCUUUGCUGCAGGAUGUUGUAUGACAAACGAUUUAGUGCCUUCCAUUAUCCUGUCACUGACGAGGAUGCUCCAAACUAUCGCUCUAUAAUCCAGAACCCUAUGGACAUGGCUACCAUGCUGCAGCGUGUUGACUCUGGUCAAUAUAUCACAUGCUCAGGAUUCCUGCAAGACAUUGAUCUCAUUGUGACCAAUGCAAAGGUGUGUUUUGUUCCUAGCUUCAUUUAAUUCUAUUUCUAGGUUCUCCUUCCAUUGAAUAAUUUAACACCACUAUACCUCUGGUCAGUGCAUCUAUUUCAUGCUUAAAUUUGGCGUGCAUGUCUCUAAUAUAGGUGUACAAUGGAGAUGAUUACAAUGGAGCUAGGAUUGUCAGUAGAGGUUAUGAGCUUCGGGAUGCGGUAAGUUUCCAUGCCUUUUGGUUUUCUAUGAUUUUUCCUCUCAUUUUGUCCUAUCACCUAAAGCAUCAUUUGAUGAAUCCCUUUUCAUAAUAUUUUACAGGUGCAUGGAAUGUUGUCACAGAUGGACCCUGCGCUUGUCACAUACUGUGACAAGAUUGCUGCUCAAGGGGGUCCUGUACAAAUACCAGAUGAUUUAGGGGGAUCUAUUUUCCCUUCAACCCCAGUUGUGCAGCUUGGAACUGUUACUAGAACAAGUGCCAGGCUACGCAACGUCCAGCCUGAUGUUAAUCUGGAUCAAAGCUACGAGGCCUUGAAAAGGCAGAAGAAAAAUGCUGAUGCUACUUGUGCUGGUAUGUUCAUUGGUAAUGCUAUAUACUUUGUCCUUAUGAUAUUGCUGUUCGUUUUUCCCACCUAUCUGAAUGAUGUCUUGAAACAUGUCAAGUUGCAAGACACAUUUUACAUGCUGAAUUUUGGUGCGGAUACUGAUGUAAUAGAUCAGUAGCAAGUAAAACUAAUCUCAGCUACCGACUUCUUGUAUAAUAGACUUGACCUGUUUGUAGUUCAUGUUUUCAAAUUUCAUUUCCUUGUUAGAAAAACCUCUCGUAAAUAUUGACAAUUAAAUCCUGAAGCCAGAAAUCUGAAUUUUUCUAUUCAAUACAUGAAUUUUAUCUCACAGCCCAUAUUCCGAACUAGCAUUCUCUUCAGCUCGUGUCCUUUAUCUGAAGUUUUUAACUCCUAAUUUUCCUAGAUUUGUUAUAUUUAAUGUUAUCCUUUGACUGAACUAUUUAAUUUUCCAUGAUCGCUCUUCGGACACAACUCUCUGAUCAUUUUAUACUUUUCAUGAAAAACAGCUUCAACAGCAGAAGAUAAAUCACGGCAUCAGGAUUCAGUACAGGCAAAGCCGCCAGAGGAAGCCGGGGCAGAUGAUAUGAAUCCAGACAGACCUGAGUCCUCUUCAGCCGAUGACAGUCGACAUGAAACUUCAGGAGGAGAAGCUUCUGGUCACACCGAAGGGAGUGGAUCCCAAGAUGUUACAAUGUCAGAAGCCGAAGUAUCAAGCCACGUGGAUUACAUCAAGCGGCUUUUCGUGGAGCGCACAGAAAAUUAUGGCAUGCCACUGCUUGAAAGGCUCUACACUCGUAUAAUGAAGGGAAUCUUCGAAACCAUGGACAAAGGAGUUGAAGAUGGCCCCAGAUACUCAAUUUUGAGGUUUUUGGUGAAAUUUGCAGAGAACACUGCAAACUUCUGAACUCAAUACCUUUUCCCCUUAAACCAGAGGAUAAAAGAAAAAUGAAAAAGGAACCCAAAAAAAAAAGAAAUCAUGCAGGUAGCUGAUGUAAAGUCGGGAUUUUCUUUUCAAUGCAAAAAAAUUAGAGUGAAAGCAGUCUCUCUCUCUCGCCCCCCCCCCCCCCCCCCCCUCCCAGAGUACAGUUUCGAUAAGCUUAUUUGACCUCACAAGCUGUCAAGCUCCAUGGUAUUGUUAUGGCUGGUGGCAAAUCCAAUGUGGCAUUCUUUUACAGGGAGGACUAAGUGGGAUCUUUUCUGAAGCAGACACAUCAAGAAUUGGGUUUGAAUCUCAGCAAAAGCAUCGCUGGUAUAAAUUAGACUCUUUCUGAUUGACAAUAUUCUUGAAUAUUUUUUCAUAUUUUCCAAGAUGUUUGUUUAAUAUCUUCAACUUCAAACUUACUCAGAGAGAGAGACAGGAGAAGAAAG
rnacentral:lncRNA from 1 species